rnacentral:lncRNA from 1 species
AUAUAUAUAUAUAUAUGCAUCUUUACGGAUAACAAUUAAUUGGUUUUGAGUUGGAUGCUCUAUUUCUUUUUCUUUCUUUUUUUAUAUUAAAAAAAAACAACUGGUCUACUCCUUUCUAGCAUAAUAUGUAACGUUGUACAUUUUUAAAUGAGAAAUGAAAUACCUUGUCUUAGAAAAUUAAAUUAUUUAGACUCUUCAAUUAUAUCCAAAAUUUUGAAUUGAUGUUCAAUUAAUUAAUUAUAUGGAAAAGUUGAUUUUAGCCCAAUUCUUAUAACGUAUUACAAUUCAAAAUUGUAUAUUUUCAAAUUUAACCAUUUGACUAGCUUUCCAAUCAAACUUUUUCUUUUUAAGGUGAUGAGUCAGAUUAGGGUUUAGAAAAACUCUGAGCGAAUUUUUCAUACCUAUUUGAACUAUGAACUUGAGACUAUAUAUUUGAUAGGGUAAUGCUAGGAAUGUAAAUCAGAUUUUAUAAACCAUAUGAUAUGAUUAUUGAUGAUUUGAUUUAAAUAGUUGAUCUCCUUAGCAUUACUUUAUCAAACAUAUGGCCUUGUGUUGAUAGUUCUACAAAGGUAGGGCAGUAGCAUGCUAAAAACACAACUGAAGAGAGAUAAAACAAAACGUGAGAAAGCAAUGAUUCAAACAAAAAUAUUAGAACGGCAGCUGAAUCCUUGGGAUGUUGUCUACCGAACUUCAUUUUCUUUCAAUGGCAGUUUUUGUAAUUUGUAAUGAAAACUAUGGCUAUAUUUCACUUACAUGGAUUAUCUUUCUAACUUAUACGAAUUAUAUUUAAAGCUAUAAAUAUAUAUUGGUUUGAUCUGGUGGAGAAUAUUAUCACUACUUCAGUGGCAACGAGAAGGAUAUCCAAUAUUCUGAGACUGAGUACUGGUUUGGUAUUAAUGUUUUUUUAUAAAAAGUGGGUAUAAAAAAAAUUGAGCUCAAAAAGGUGUUUGUUAAACACUUAAAAACAACUUAUUUUCAUAGUUUUUGGUGAAAAAAGCUAAAAAGUGAAGCAAUGUUGGAUUAUAUGUUGAAUGUUGGAUUAUGAUUUCUUGUUAAACGUUGGAUUAUGAUUUAUUGUUAAACGUUAGAUUAUAUGUUUAAGAUAAAAUUUAUAAAUAAUUUUCUUUUUAAAAUAAAGUAUAUUUAGUAACUCACCUUUAUUUGUUAAGAAAAUUAAAUUAAUGGCACAUCUAAUACCAUUUUUGGUUAUUUCACACAGUCACAACUGUUUUAUAUAAAAGUUUACUAAACACUAUAAUACUUUUUUUUUUUUCCAAAAGCACUUUUACAAAAAAGUUUACUAAUCACUCUGCUGUUUAUUCUCACAACACAACAGAAACAGUUUUUUUUCUUCAAAGCAUAACAAUACCAAAUCAGCCCCGAACACCAUGAUUUAUCUACUUUAAGACCCAAUCAAACUCUUACAAAUAAAAAAGUAUGAAAGAUAUUGGAUUGGAUUGAACACACCAAUAUAUUGGGUGCUUCCAUUUUAAGCAUAUACUUAAAUGUAUUUAUAUUAUUGUAGCAUAAAACCCCAUUCCACGUUUGCUAGCAUGGACAACCCAUUGCGGAAAUAUUUGCCAUAACUCUUUUGGUCCUGUAUUAUUCUCAUCCCAAUGUUUUGCUUGCAUUACAUGCACAAAAGGAAAAUGGCCCCCUUUUUGCCGAUAAAUAUUCAAAAAAUAAUGCGUUUAUGAGUGUAUUUUUCUUCUUCUAAAUAUCGAAAGUUUGGAGUGCAAAAUAAGAAUUUUGGAGUGCCAAUAACAAUUCCCUAUAUAUAUAUAUAUUGUCCUACUUAUUGCCAAUAAAUAAUGCGUUCAUGAGUUUCUUUUAUUUUUUUGCUUUUCUAAAUAUUCUAUUAUUUUUUUUCUUUAUUCGAUUUAGAAGAUAGAUAUAAAAAGAAGGGAUGUGAUAUCCACAUACUCCUUUUUACUCUCUCACAUUUUUUUGGUUUUCGGCCGUCGGAUCGGAUGAAUUGAAGAAGAUCAACAGACAGAAAUUAACAAGGAGUGUGUGAGAAGUAAAAAAUAGUGUGUGGAUAGCAUACCCCUAAAAAGAAGUGUAUGUCAGGAAUGAUUUAACUUUACCAACCUACUUUCAUGCACUUAAUUUCUAGAUGGGAAUAAUUGGAGAGAAGUUGGAUAUUGACUUUGUAAUAUCCACCGGCGAUAAUUUUUACGAAAAUGGAUUGACGGGCAUCGAUGAUCCACAAUUUGAAGACUCAUUUAGCAAAAUCUACACAGCACCAAGCUUGCAAAAGCAGUGGUACAGUGGUAUGUAUUCCCAAACCUUAAUUAUAUAUUCACUUAUAAAACAAUAAGGAAUUUUCUUUAAAUUAAAAAUAUUAAUUCAUGUUUGUCUUUGUUUAAUUAUUGUAUUGCAGUUCUGGGUAACCAUGAUUAUAGAGGGGAUGUUGAGGCACAGUUGAGUCCUGUCCUUAGGGAAUUGGAUAGCAAAUGGCUUUGCUUGAGAUCCUUCAUAGUUGAUGCCGGUAAGGCUAAGGCCAUACUACAUAACUAUUAUCAAUAAUUAAUUAUAAUCUAAACAGGAGAUUUAGUUUUUUAAUAAGGAUUUUUUUUUUUUUUGUUAUUUAUCUCAAAGUUAUUUGCCUAUUUUGGCAGAAAUUGUGGAAAUCUUCUUUGUGGAUACAACUCCCUUUGUUGAUAAAUACUUCACUGAUCCGGAGGGCUCUGUCUAUGACUGGAGUGGCAUAUUACCCCGAAAUUAUUACCUAUCAAAUCUUCUCAAGGUAAUUUGUUUUCUCGUCAAACAUAAUUAAGACUUACGACUAAAUAAAUUAACUUUAAAAUAUCUCCAAACAAUUUUUAGAAACCCAAAAAAUUAGCUCUAUGCCUGCAGUUGUCUCUAUACAUUAGAGAUGAUAUCUGUAAUUAAUAAUUUGAAUUUUUUCUCUGUGAAAGGAUGUGGAUUCAGCAUUAAAAGAUUCUACUGCAAAGUGGAAGAUUGUGGUUGGUCACCACACGAUUAGAACCGCUGGAUAUCAUGGUGAAACGAAGGAGCUUGUAACACAGCUUCUCCCAAUUCUUCUGGUACUUUACUCAUGCUAAAACUAGAAAGGAAAACCAAAACGGUCGCCUUUUUCCCUUGUUUGUCUUUUUGCUCAAAUGUCUAUAAAUUUUCAGGAAAACAAUGUCGAUCUUUACGCCAAUGGCCACGACCAUUGCUUAGAACACAUAAGCAGUCCCAACAGGUACUAGCAUUUUGUAACUCUUUAAUACACAUAAAUUUAACAAAUGAAUCGAUUUUAUGUGUCUAAAUAAAAUUAUUGUUCUAUUAGUAUAUAACUACUUUUGUACAUGGGAUCUAAUCUGAAGCAUUUCUGUGCAGCCCACUUCAAUUUCUAACAAGUGGUGGUGGUUCAAAGGCAUGGAGGGGUGUAGUUAACCCGUACAGCCCAAGCGAAAUGAAGUUGUACUACGAUGGGCAGGGUUUCAUGUCAGUGCAAAUCAAUCAAACCGAAUUGGAUAUUGCAUUCUAUGAUGUUUUUGGCAAUGUCUUGCACAAAUGGGGGACAUCAAAGCCGCACUACUCUUUCAUGUAGAGAGGUGGACAUGCAGAAGUAUAUGCAAUCUGUUUAAGGUUCUUAGUCUGCUAUAUAUAUAUAUUGUAAAGCAAGUAACAAGAGGCAAUAUUUUAUAAGUGCCUAUGUGAUUAAUGGAAAUUAUUUUGCUUAAUCUUGCUAGCUGAUCUGCUUAAACAUAAUUAAACUAUUAAUAGGAAGAAAACUGAUCGCUUGUUCCUUUUCGGAAAGUAGCCCAUCAUUUUGAAGGACGAAGUAAAUUCCGGCCUAGUCCAUGAAAACCUAGCAGAUGUUUGAAUUAUGGGAUAUGGGAAUGCGAUUCAAACUUGGGGGAAAAGUUCACUCUCCUUUAAUUUGUAAUUUAUCUUCCUUUUCUUUUUCAUAUCUUUUUUUUUGUUUUGUAUUAUAACAAGUUAAGUUUAUGUCUUCUUGGACUAGACAUACUAUUUUUUUUCGAUGUCAAUAAAAUUCCCUACUUACCGUCGAAUUUUCUAAAAAUAAAAACAAUUCGAACAUAAAUGAAAAUAUGAGUAAUUGAAGCGAAUGGUUGAAAACUAAUAAAAGGAAGAUUUGAUGUUAAUGAUGGUGUACCAAAGUGUAUACGGACGUUAAGUAUAAGCUGUUCAUUUAUAGGGUUUUUGAUAAACUUUUUUCUUUGUGGAAGAUUAGGUGAGUUAGAAUGACGUGGAGAGAGAUUGAGACAAGGGGGGUUCGAAAAGAGAGUUAAGAAUAUUGCAUUUAUCAUUUUAUGGAAAUGAUAAAUGCACAUAUUUUUUUGUAUAGGCAUUUUUUUAACAGCUAUCUCUCUACCAAAGUCCGAGCUUUGAGAUUAUAAAAAACAAAGAAAAAUGUUAUGAAUAUUGCAUUUCGUACUACAUUGACAUAUUAUCUAAUGUGACAAGUGAUGCACACAUAUUACGUCAAUUAAUCAAUUGAUCUCAUUGUAUGUUGGUUUCACACAUUAUUGGUACCUUAGUAUAAAUAUUUGGUUUCACGAGUACCACUCAAAAAGAAAUUAUAAGAUAAAUUCUACAAGAUCUGAUGCGAUUUUUCUAGAAAAAUUAAAUAAAAAGGAAUAAAUGAGGGUUCUUUUAGAAAAGCUGAUACUAUUGGGAACUUCAGGUCGUAUAUAUAUAGCUCUUCAUCAAAGCCACUUGACUCAAUUCUCUCAGAGUUUUCUGCGGAAAACUCAAACUCUCGUGGCUUCUUUGUCUAAUACUUCUAAUAAUCAUAAAGCCAUGAUUUCCUCCUUUCACUUCAAGGGAUGCCUCCUGUCACUUUGUUUGGUUGCUUGCGCAGCUGAGCUUCAACGUUUUAAGCAGGCACCAAAACCAGAUGGCUCUCUCAGCUUCCUGGUUGUCGGAGAUUGGGGAAGACGGGGACAAUACAACCAAUCUCAAGUUGCUCUCCAGGUACGUUCUACAUAUGUAUCAUUUCAUUUAAAAUUUUCAUUGUUAUCAUCUCUGUGUAUUUUACAUUUAAAUGUUUGCAUGCUUUUGCAUGCUUUUGCAUGUAUAUGAUGUCGUUAAUUUCAUUGAUUUAAGCUGAUUCACUUACCUCAUUUACAUGCCUAAUUAUAUUACUACGUUUCUUUCAAAAAAUUUCACCAUCUUUUGACAAAAUUAAGCGAUACUAAAAUUUCAUGAAUUAAACUGAAAAUUUACGCAAAUAAAGGAAGAAUAUAAACGGUAUUUGGGCCUUACCGACACUUAAAAUAUAUAUUGUGGAUGAAAAUAAAUGAAAAGGUACCACAAAUUGGUGUGCAGUCAAGUUCUUUGAAUUUGAAGGUACAAUUCCAGGCAUAUACCAUAUCAGUAUCACUCUUUACAUAAGCCUUGUUUGGGAGGGUAUAUUUCCAAGCAUAUCCUCUAGUACAAGCUAAGGCCAGAAUUUGAUACUCCAUGCAUAUUCCAAAGGAGAAGGAUUGUCUGCCAUCCACUUCCGGUGCCCUUCUUGUGCCCUCCUGAUUUGUGUGGUCACGAUUAAGCCACGUCAAUAUUUUAUAUUGUUUUUUUAUAGAUAUAAUAAGACAAAAAUAAAUAGUAAUUAAAAUGUUGACGUGACUUAACCGUAACCACACAAACAGAAAGGCACAUGAAAGGUACCGGAAGUGGAAGCAGACAAUCCUUGUCCUAUUCCAAAAGGGUCGUUUUCUGUCUCCAGUCUAGCAGUUUUCUUUCAAUUUGGCAACCAUCCCAUCACUCACAGUAUCCUUACUUAUUUGGUACGUACCUGUGACUUUCAGCUCAAGAAAGAUCUUGACUGGUUGUUUUGACUAUUAGAGAUGUUCAUUCGGCAAUGCAUGUGGUUUAACUUAAGCAGAUUUUAUUAACUUUAAUCCCUAAUUAAUUAUUACUGACUUUAUGUCGAAAUUACUUGCGGAUUGUAGAUGGGGUUAAUUGGAGAGAAAUCAAACAUAGACUUUGUCAUCUCCACUGGUGAUAAUUUCUACGAAGAUGGUUUGACAGGCGUCGACGAUCCAGCAUUUAACGAAUCGUUUUCCAAUAUUUAUACUGCUCCCAGCUUAAAGAAGCAAUGGUACAAUGGUAAAUUACUUACUUACUCAGUUAAUUAUACCACACGUAAUAAUUCUAAGCAAUUAUGUAUCCUUAAUGGUAUAUUAAGUGGUUAAUUUGUUUCAUGCAGUGUUGGGCAACCAUGACUAUCGGGGUGAUGUUGAAGCACAAUUGAGUCCCGUUCUCAGGGCAAUUGACAGUAGAUGGUUUUGCUUAAGAUCAUUCAUUUUAGAUGCAGGUAGUAUUUAUUCGCACUCAUUAAUUAGUCACUAAUAAGCCUUUUACCGAUUUUAUUAUGUGCAACUAAUAUGUUUUGCUAUUUGUCGGUACUCCAGAAAUCGUAGAUUUUUUCUUUGUGGACACAACCCCAUUUGUGGAUGAUUACUUUACAAAUCCAAAGGAGCAUACUUAUGAUUGGAGAGGUGUGACUCCUCGGGCGGAAUACCUUUCAAAUCUCUUGAAGGAUGUGGAUUCAGCACUAAAAAAUUCCACAGCAAAAUGGAAAAUUGUGGUCGGUCACCAUACUAUUAAAAGCGCAGGACAUCAUGGUGUCACCGAAGAACUUGUAAACCAACUUCUCCCAAUCCUUAAGGUAACCUAGAUGUUCCUAAACAAUGCAUUGACCCUUACUCUUGAGGUCUUACGUUUGACUUCUUCUUUUUAAUAUCGCUUGUUUGAUUCUAACUUUUUAUUUUCACUCCCACUUUUCUCCAGUCAAAUAAUAUCGAUUUUUACGUAAAUGGACAUGACCAUUGCUUGGAGCACAUAAGUGAUUCUGAUAGGUAAAUUUGUACACACAAAAACUUGAUAUUAACCUGGUAUUACAUACGUAAGCACAAAUUAAUUUGGUUUAACUGGUUGUUAAUUAUGCAGUCAAAUUCAGUUCUUUACAAGUGGAGGUGGGUCCAAGGCAUGGAGAGGUGAUAUAAAGUCGUGGAGUCCAGAGGAGUUGAAGUUGUAUUACGACGGACAAGGUUUCAUGUCGUUUCACAUGUCCAAGGCCAGUGCUGAUGUUGCAUACUAUGAUGUCUCUGGCAAUGUCUUACACAAAUGGAGCCUUUCCAAAGAGAUCGACUCAGCCACUCACAGAACAUUCACCUACUCUUAAAAUAGUAACUCUGCCAGUUUAGUUAUUGGAAAAUAAAACUUACUCGUGUAUAAGGCAUCGUGAACAUAUCUGUUACACAAAAAUUUCAAUAAUUGCAGUAUAAAUUCUUUAGUGAUCUAGCUUAAUCUAGUCUAAAUUACGGUGUGGAGAAUUCAAAUGUUGGGGCAAAGAGGGAGGCACACUGCCUUGGCCAACUUGGCUACGCCUUAUACCAAAAGAAAAUGACAGUCAGCAUUGGUAUGAAUACCCGAAGUGCAUGCAGUAUGUUGAUGAAACUCGUGGUCAAACAACUCAUCUCCCCUUGCUAAUCGCGGUGGCUCCAUCGUUAACUCGGCAAUGUUGUAACAGUGUGACGGAAAAGUAGCUCAUAUCCAAGAACAUGCAGUCUUGCCUGGCAUAUAUCAAAACCCAACUGGUGAUCAGAGGAAGUUUGGUCGGGUGAAAACCAGUACAUAUUACUAGAUGCUGGCAAAGGUAGUCAUAAUUUAUGAACAUGAUCAUGCAGCAGACUCUGUGAGAGAAAGAUAUACGUUAAUUAUCCUCGUCAUAACUAGCAUCACGACUGAACCAUAAUGCCAGCGUGAGUCUUUCGCCAUCAGUUAUCUGCCAAAUGAUAUCAGACAGCAAAUCAGACCCACCAAGGAAAAAAGGAUGUUGUGGCUGUCAGCUGUGUAUAUCACAACAUCCUGACAAAUAUGUUCUCAUUAAUUUUGGUGGCGAUGAGGUGCGCGACAGUGGUCGAGAAAACAUUGGGUCUGUAGCCAGCCCAAAUGGGUGAGCUAGCUCCUUGCAUUCUUGGAGGGAAAGGAAUUCGUGGAGGAUGAGGCGGCGGCGACUGCCUUCUUCUGCUGCUUCUGGCUCACUCAUUUUCGGCUCUCCGGUGCUGGGUGUAAAACAGUCGACGCAACAAAUUGACUCAGACGAACAAGUGAUUGGGAAAUAGUUUUUAACUGCCACCUAACUUUUACCCUUGUUACAAUUUACCACUCGAAUCCUACUGAACCAGUUUAUAUUAGUUUAGAUUUUCCCUCCGAUUAAAAAUAAUAAUUAAGAAAAGAAUUACCUGAAAAGACUAAUAUACUCUUGAAACCGAUUAGAUGUAUUACAGGUGCGUCAUCUUCUGCGAAAAUUAACUGAAUAAUUAAACGUAGGGUUUCGGGUUCCCGAAACGCAUGGGUUAAAGAGGAAGCCAGUUGCAACCAGAGUCAGAAGUUUAAGCGGCUACAAUGUUUGUAGCAGUAAUUUCUGUAAACAAACUACCUCUGAUGCCAAACUGACACACCCGGACCCGAUUAGCCUUCCAGCUAAGGGUUGGAAUGUGUUGGCCGACACUAAAUUGACAAUAAAACACCACCGCAAAGGUGACGAAAUACUAUCAACUUAAUGACAAAGGCACAAGGAAAUUGUGAUGUGAAUUAUUUCGAACCGCUGCAUUGCAUGACAUGACCGGAUAUGUGGAGCAAUGACAUCAGAUGGAGAAAGAAGCAUCAAAAUUUGAGGAAAGAUAUUAGAGAAGAAGAGCAAAAGAUGGAUUCAUAAUGUGCUUUGCUUUGCACAGACUAAUGUAAGAGUUGAUGGAAUAAGAUUAACCAAAAAACAAAAAGAGGACAAGGGAUCUCAAUCCAUCCUCCCAAAGAGAAUCGAUAACUUCUUCCGCCUGUUCCUCUUGCUACUAUGACUUUAGAUCUUCACUCUCGCCGCUCUUUACAUUUGUUUCCAACUCUCAUUGCAGUUUGCAGCCUCUACUCUGUUUCUCCUUAAGAACCUCUCUCUCUCCCCUACCCCCUCCUAAACUGCUCCGGCUUGAUCGCUUGUUGUCAUGCUGUCGGAGUGCUGAUCUUCUUCUUCCUUAACGGCUGCUCUUCCACUGCCAGUUCCAUCCAGACUUCCAUUGCACUCAUGGCUCUGAGCUUUCCCAUCCGAUUUUCCUUUUGGAGGAGUUGUGCUAUGGUUGGAUUUUGCAGACCCGCUCUCUCUCUCUGUCUGGGGAGGAAUCUCAACAGAAGGGCUCAUUUGAGUUGCAGUAGUAGGCAGCUGUUGAGGAGCUGAUGAGUUACCCGAACCUGGGGGAGGGAGGAAAACACCAGUGCCAGGAGGAGGGAUGCGAGGUGGAGGAUGCCUGGGAGCUGCUGCCCAUCCAGCCGAAACAGGUGGGAUGGAAACUGCUCCGGCAAAAGGUAUUGCUGGUGGUCCUACCGGAGGUGGCACAAACAAUGGCUGGAUGCCAUUUGGAGGUGGAAGUUGGGACCGAAUUGGUGGGGCUGGCAACACACCAGUUGUCGGAACUGCUGCAUAGUGCUUGGGACCAGCAGGAUGCCGAAUGUGGCUUGGAGACCUACCUGAUGGUUGACCCCAGUAGGAUGACUGAGCUGGAGUAGGUGCAGGAAAACGUUGACCAUCGCUCAUCGUAUUUUUCUUUGGUUGAGACUUUGUGAAAGUAACAAGUACGCGUUGCUUCCGUAUAGAAGGUAUUGCAUGUUUAGCAAAGUCUGUGGAUUUCCCUUGCAGCAAAAGGAGGGAUCUGCAGUGUGAUGAUCAAAGACCUUAUGUCAGGAAUCUCAAACGAAAGUAAGCAGGCUUUAAGUGAAACGAUGACCUGAUUUCAAGUGCAGGUAAAGAGAAAGGAUAAGAUAAUUUCAUAUGGAUGUGAGAAAACUACGUCAUGAUCCUGAAUUAUGCAACUCAUAUUCUUCCGGCAUGCAAAAGCAACAAGAAAAAUUGUGUUCUAUUAGUAUAAAUAAUGUAAUGAUCUCUAAUGGAUGUGAUACAGCCAACUUCUGGAAAAGCUUCAACUGUUACUAGGCCCUCAGAACUCAAUAUAUCACUGCUAAGUAACCUUAACUUGAUUCCAAUACGUUUAAAACAAUACUUCUCAGCCUACCAUACUUUAUUUAGAAAUACGACAAUAGAGUACAUGACAGAGAAGCAGCAGCAAACCAAAUAAAAGUCACACUGAAGAAGAUAAAUAUUAUCAAAUGAGAGCAGUCAGAAAGGCUACCCAGGUGUAAGAGAGAGCUUGAGUGGGCCUCUAUAAUCCCCAGGAUGGUCUGAUACUAGUACUCUCCCAAAAGUCAUGUCACAUUCUGUCAGGAACAAGACGCAAAUAGGCCUUCCAAACCAAGGUGGCCACGUGUGAGGGUGUGAAUGAUCUCCCUACAAAUAAUCGUCACCAAAUUUCAUAAAAUUAUGAUUCUUAGAAAAUUGUACAAUUAUAGAAACCUAGAACAAGAAAAAAAAAACAGUAAACCAAUAUCAACCUCAUUAUAGAAAUCAAUGAUACAAGAGUCUGGCUUCACAGUAGUAACUUGCAUCCCAGCUAUGCGAUCAAUAACAUCCUGCAGCAAGGAAGGGAUAGCUUCUAUUCUCCGAUCUACAGAUAUAGGAAAUCAACAAAUGGCAUUUGAAUAAAAUGUGAGUAGUCAUUUCCUUAUAUUGGCAAAAAAAUAAUAAAACAAAAUUCCAAAAUUUCUAUCAAAAGACCAUUGUGAAUUCCAACAUGCCUUUGGAGGUUCCUGACGAAAUUUCAUCUUCAGAUGGAGUAUCAAUAACAGGUAGGCCCAAUUGAAUCAUUUCUCUUCCAUGUCCCCUCAUGGGCCUCUUUGAGACCACAUAUGUCUGACCUGCUUUGCAUAACCAAAGAGAUUAUAUAUUAUUGUCUGAUAGAACAUCACACUUUACCGCAAAACACUUUGAACUCAAUGCUUCAGAGAAAAACCCAACUUACUUUGUAACACCAAAGGAAUUUCACAACUACAAUCAGUUAGAGCAUGACAAGUGGAUAGAUAAGGGCGUUUUCUCCAAUUGUGCUCUUAAAGUGUUUUUCUUUAAAACUUAAAGUUGUCUGGGUGUUCUUUCUAGUUUACUUAAAAUAAUACUCUACUAAGAGUUAAUGAACACAAAAUUUACCAAAAUUUGAUUAGUAAUUAACACAAAAGUAUUUCCCUGGCAUGGUAUCCACACAGAUAACAUAGACCAUAGCGUACAAACAGUAAUACCAAACACAAGUGAUAAUGGCAUCGCUAACACUUACUUGUACUAGCAUUGUGAAAACUUUCCUCAACAGGUUUCAGGGGUAAAACAACCAAUAAUCUUGCAGGUUAGGAUAGCAAGGAUCUAAGGAAAAUAUAAGAACAAUGAUCAUAAUAAAGGAAUAAGUAUUAAACUAUGUGAGCUACUUCCAUGAAAAAUAUAAUGUAGACAUUAAUCCCCAUAUCCACCAGAUAAAACUUGGAUAACAAAACAACAAUCAAAAUGGUAAAACUAAGCCACCCAAACCCUCCCACUUAAAAAAAAAAGGGAACAAAAAAUGUUUACAAGGGAAAGAGAAAUACUCAACGAAGAAUUAAAAAACAAUAUAAGUUCAGGCAAUUAUUUAUUCAAUCGCUUAUUGAACCCUUUGCUUUGAGCUAAACAGUGACACAAUUUUUUUUAAAGAUCACUUCUUAAAGCACAGUGUUCAAAAACAAAGGUUUUAGGUAGUUUGAAAAUAUAAUACAAAAACCACUAGAGACUAGUUUAAUUGGAAGCUACAUGACAAGGAUGUUGACCAAAACUAACAUGGGACAAAUAGAUUAAAUAUUUUGAAUUUAUAUUAACAGCAUAAUAAAAAGGGCAAGAAUAUAUGUGGCAGAUUAAAUACGCUUAGCACAUGGGUAAGGAUGAUGGUGAUGAUUUGAUCAGCUCAAACAGUGUUUAAAUAUCAAAUUUCAUGACAACCACAUGGCGGAUUUAUGUUUAGUACUGGAAUCAACCACAAGUUUUUCAUAUCUUCUGCUUAUUUCUAAACACAAAGGAUUAUUAAACUCGCCUUGAAAUUGUCCUCUUUUCCCUGCAACCCUUAAAUCAUUAGCCAAAGAAACAAGUUUGGAGACUUCUGUGUCACCAAGCAAUCCUUCAUACAAUUUCAGUCCAUCGACCACGUUAACCUGAAAAAUAAACGUUAGAAAAUCCAUAACAUACUUCAAGUUAAAAAGACAGUAUCAAAUGAGGUAACUACCGUCUUUCCAUCUAAUAACUCGUUGCCAACAAAAGUUUUAGGAACAAUGGAGAGGUUCUGCUUCGCAUUCUGAAUUUGGAUAGAAUGUGAUUCAUUCUCUGGAAAAGAUCAAAGAAUCCCAAGUUUAAACACAAUAGUAGAAGAAAUAGAAUCAAAUACAACCACAUUUUGAAUCCAUGUCAUGAUAGACAGAGUUGAUGUACGUAACACACACCCCCCACAAACAUGCAAAGACUAAAAUCCCCAAAGUAAUGAAAGAAAGAUAAACUACAAAUUGUGUUACCUUUGGAGCUUGAGGUGCAUCCAUCUCCUACCGCAACUUCAGGUUCUGAAUUGCCAUAUAUGGUCAGUUGUGAAUUCUCCGAACUCCUUAAUCUACUAUCUUCUUGAGGUUCUGUAAGAGCAUUUGUAACAGCAAUCAUAACUAAGUAUUACAAUAGGUAUUACUUCCAAGCAUCUUUCUUAGUUUUAACAACUGAAAAUUAUCCGAAUCUGUAUAGUGCAGAUAGUACACAGGCAUAUUAAAAUGACUUCUGCAUGAGUAUGCAAUGCAUAUAGUUCAGAGACGGGCUACUACUUUUUUACAACUUUUCAUACAGCACAUUUACGCUUUAGUGAUUUCCUAGUUUUCAGGUCACCUGGUGAAACACAUUCCUUUUCAGGUCACAAUCUAUGAAUUUCAAAAUUACUAAAAGAUAAUUUCUUAACCUUUUGUGAACACCAACUUAAAAAAAAUCCCUAACAUAUUCAAGACAUGCUUGAUUCUCUUCAAAAGAUUGGACCUUUUCAUUCAGCUUUAAAGUUUGGAUUUGAUUACCAUCAAACCAGUAUUUAUUAUAUUUGUUCAAAUGAGCAUGAAAUCACCAAUCUUAAUCCCAAAAGUUACCUGUUUUCUCUCCAGCAGCUGCUAAACCGUUACCAUCCAACUUCCCAACCUCUCCACCGGGCUUGAGUUCCUCAGCUACCUCGCUUCCCCGCUCAACUUUCUCCGAAGCAACAAGCCCCGAAGAAUUCCCAUCAUAACUAUGAACCUCUGUACUAAAAUUAUGUCCUUCCUUGAAAUGCUCAGCCCUAUGUUGGCCCUUGUUAAACCCGGAACCGGAUCUCUUAUACUCCUUGGCCCCCACUUUUACAUGAUCAUAUUGCCUCUGCUGCCUCCUCCAGGCAACAUGUUGCAGUGCAUAUAUCACCUCCGCAACCGAAAAGUACUGCUGCAUAUGAAGCACAGGAUUCCAAUUGCACCUCCUCUGCUGAAUACAGCUGAUAACGCCGUCGUACUCGCCUGGCUCACCAACUACACGUAAAUGGUGGCAAAGGGAGUCUAUAAUCGCAUUAGCUGCCGCGAAUUCUCCGCGCAACCAUGAGAUGAACCCAUCACGCUCAUCCGGGAACCACUGACGGGGGAGCUGGGGGAUCUCGCCGCCUCCAACGGCCGCGGCGCCACCACCACUAGGAAACUGCAUUUUGUCCGAUAAAACCACAUUCCCCGACGGCAUUGUCAUCAGAACCCACUUCACCAAACUCACUAUUAUGAUACUAUCACUCUCAAAGCAUGCCUCAGUACCUUCCAGAUCCAAUAAAUCAAACCUACGGCUCUAUCCCAAAUCCCACAAAAUUCAAGCAGAUCCCACCAAAUUAAACCCUUAAUCUAGCAGGAAUCAGCUUAAAGACCACAACUUUCUUAAAUUUUACCACAUUUAGAAUACUAAACCCUGAAAAUUUCUCAAGAACAAUGCAAAACCUGAGAUGGGUUCCCCUUAAAUAGUUCAAAUAACGCACCGAUCCAACGAAACAGCCGGGUUCAAGCGAAUUGAGGUGAAAAAACGGAGCUUGGUGAUGCACUAGUCAGAUCUGGGAAAUGGGUUUUGUGGGAAUUGAAAGCAGAAUCAAAAGGGGUGUGGUCGUCUAUGCGUGUAUAUUCAAUUGGGGGCUGACGAGUGAAUCUCUCAUUGGCGUACAGAUUGGGGAAGUGGGGUUGGAACUUGGAAGAAGAAGAAGAUCUAGGGUUUGGCGAAAAAUGUUAGUCUGUUGGCGUGUGAAGUGAGGACCUGAGGGGGAAGGUGACGAAUGGCUUAUUGAGCACGCAUUUGGUCUUAAAUGGUGGCUGAGAAAAACCCUCCCUCCCUCUCGUCAGCGUGGAAGGGACCAAGAGAAGAGGAGAGAGCGUGUUCUCGAAUGUAAGGGUAGUUUGGUCAUUGUGUUAGGGUUUUAUGAAACUUGGAGUGGGGAUUAUGGUUAAUUAAUCUUGUAGCUUGAUUAAUCACCUGCUUACAAACCCAGAGUCCAAAUUUUCUCUCUUUUUUUAGAUCAAUUCAGUCCCCACAGAUUUCAGUUUCGUCACUUUUGUAUCAACUAUUUGUUCUUAAACUAAUUUUUGAAGUUCCUAUUUUUGGUACAUACAAUUCUGGUAUUCUGUGUUGCUUAUCUAAUCACUCGUUUAAUUUUUAAUUUUUUUUAUACAAACUAGUUUGAACUACAAGCCUCUCUUUGCCGUUGGCCUUGGGGGCAGCGGCAAUCUCUCUCGGCCUCUUUCUUUAUUUUCUUAUGUGUUUUUUAUUUUCUGGUUGUGGUCGCUCUUACAUUGUGGCAAUAAGAGUUUUUAUGAUUGUGGUUUCUCUCUUACUUUGUCGAUAUGAGUUUUUGUGAUGGCUAUAACUUACGGAGCAAAUUUAGAUCUUUAAGCAACGGCCAUUGCUCAAAAUUAAUGUUGGUUUUUGUUUUUCUUUUGGUUGUUAUACAUGACAAAGAACCAUGAGAAGUAAACUCGACAUUUGUUAGAGGUGACUGUAGCGGUGCUUCUUUGUUAACAAUUGCAAAAUCAUUAGGUGAUGCAGUCUUUUCCUCGUCAUGUUGUUACAUUGGUUCUACAACUCAUAGGGUUAUUAUCUUUCUAUGUACUAUUUUUAAUGACCAACUCAAAUUACUAGUGUUACAAUUUUGAAAGUAGCAAAAUCGACAAUACAUGUGACAUAUCGAUGUUGUCAAGUUGUUAUCAUCCACAAUCUUGUAGUACAUAGCUUUUAACUUUAUGGUUGUUGGUACGACCGGCGAGAGUUCUUUUUCGUUUGCAUCAUGAUCAACAAUGUCGUUUUCAUUUUAUUGUACACUACAUGCAUGAUAUACGCAACAAAUAUGUCAUACAUGGGAAUAUAUUUCGUUAGGUGAUACUUUCACACAUCAAUUUUAUUUGCUACACUCUUUCAAUUUCCGAUCAUAUGAUAGAAUGAAUUGAAGAAAAUAAAUAAAUAAAAAUUAACAAAUAUGUGUAAGAGAUAAAAAAAAAUGUGUGAAUAACAUCACUCUAUUUUGCAUUGUAUAUAUACGUGAUCGUUUAAAUUUGUGACACUGAUCAGUUAAUUAUGCUAUUUUAAUAAGUAUAUUGGUGUGGGUUGUCUUAUGGGGUACAACUUACAAGGUCUUUUCUUAUUUUUGCUCCAUCUUGCUUAAAGGGUUAAAGGGAGAUGAUAAAUCCAGUUGUUUGCAAUGGCUAACUGGCUCAUCUUUUUAAAAGAUUAUUCAUGUUUUAUUUGAUCAUCACUCCAUUCAAACUCCUUUAAGUUUUGACAACUCAUCUUUGUAUCAACAGAAGUUGAAUCGAAUAAAAUUGCAAUUAUAAUCAUUGUCGAAAGAAAAAUAACUAAAUUCAAAAUUGUAGUAUAGUUAUAUGAAUAUCGGACUCGAAUCUUGUUAUAGUAAACUAGGAAAUAAAAAAACGCAACAUUAUGGGUAUCAUUAUGGAAGGCAAAAAUAAAAAAUCAGAAACAUAAUAAUAACAAAAAAUUGUCAAUUAGUACUACGGUCUAGUUAUAUUUCUCUUCACUUAUAAGUGAGAGGUAGGUUCGAUUCUCGCCAAAAACGAAUUUGAACCACAUUAUUGCUAGCCCAUUAUAGCCUACUCCUCUUUCUUAAGGUAGAUAAUAUCGUUUGAUAAAAAAAAAUAAUGAUGAAAAAUUUAUGCCACUUAGUACUACGGUCUAGUGGUAUUCCUCUUCACGAGAGGUCUUAGAUUCGAUUAUCAUCAAAGAUAAAUUUGAAUCACAUAUUGGUAACUCAUUAUGAGGCUAAAUUUACCUCUCUUCUUUAAUAUAAAUAAUAUCGUUUUUUCUAUAAAAAAAAUGAAAAAAUUAUAAAGUAAAGGAAAAAUAAAAUCAAAGAAAGCAAUAUCAUUAAUCAAGAAAAUCCCAUUUUCCUUAUCAUACGCUAAAAAUAUGGUAAAAAUAUUUUGGACAUCAGACCGGCAGAUCCCUAUUACUUUUGUCUAAAUAUAAAAACGCUAAAAAAUUACCGGCGAGGCAUCUCUCUCUCCCCCCUCUCUCUCUCCCUCUCUCUAUCAAUGGCGGCCACAGUGACCUCUCAGUCCUCAAUCAUACAGUCAAAACCCGCUUUCUCUUCAAAAACCCUGCAAAACCCUCGUCCUGCCUCCGUUGCCGUGCCCUCCACCUCCCUCUCACGUACCUCUCUCAAACACACACCCGCUUUCUCUCUCUCACUCUCAUGUCAGCUAUCUCAAAUUGACACAAAGAUGUGAUUUUUGGGUGCAGGACUGCGAUUUGGUGUGAAAUUGGCAAAUGGGUUCGCCGUAAAAGCUUCAGUGGCCGUCGCUGAAACGAAUUCGAAGCCCCCUGUUGCCGAAAAGAGGACCAACAAUCCCAUCAUUGUCAUUGACAAUUAUGAUAGCUUUACCUACAAUCUCUGCCAGGUUACCAAUUUGAUUAAUUUUCUCAUCGAAGUUUCUUCUUUUCAUGAACAACGAUGAAUUUAAAUUUCCCCCUUUUUUUUUCUUCCACUUUGCUAGUUAGUUUGCACAGAAUGUUUGUUUUCUCUUCUGUAUUCAUGGAGACUGCCCUUUUCGAACAGAGGAGGUUUGAGCUUCUAGAGCCAAAACUUCAAUAUAACUGUUACAAAAACCAUGCAUUGUUACUCUUUUAGCUUUGUGACUGCUGCACUAGAGAGAAGAUAUGAAAAUGAGACACCUUGAUUUUCUCUUUUUAGUAGAGUGCAACGAGAUUUUGUAUGACCAUUCAUGGAAUGCUCCCCGAAACAUGCGUUUGACUUGAAUUCAUGUGCUUUAAGUUCUCUGGAUUUUUUAGAAGCCCUCUUCCAGGGUCAGGUGGGAGUUCCUGAAACAGUUCGACACGAGUCUAUCUGUCCUUUUAUUUAUUGAUGGUUCUUGCAAAUCAAGAAGACAUUGUACUAAGACCUUUCUUUUGAUGCGAAGUAUAUGGGAGAGUUAGGAUGUCUCUUUGAAGUGUAUCGGAACGAUGAACUAAGUGUUGAUGAACUGAAAAGGUAAGUAUCUGUACUUAACCUAUUAAUCAUUGUUUUCUGAUCCACAAGAGCAAUGUAUUGGGUGGCGAAGCAAUUAUGAUAAAAACAUAUAUUCUUUGCAAUGAAUCUGACUUAACUAACUGGUUCUUGUUUCCAUUCUUACAGGAAAAAUCCCAGAGGAGUGUUAAUCUCUCCAGGGCCAGGUUAGUUCUGGACCUUUUGGUGAUGUUUCAUCUAUAGGUAGUGGUUUGGGAAAGGAAGCAGGUACUGAUUCGUAAAUCUUGACACAUAGUAUUUCCUUAUUGUAGGCACUCCCCAAGAUUCUGGAAUAUCAUUGCAAACUGUUUUGGAGUUAGGGCCCAUUGUACCCUUAUUUGGUGUAUGUAUGGGUUUGCAGUGCAUCGGGGAGGCUUUUGGAGGUAAAUAUUCUUACAUAUGAUAAAGUCUUUUUAAAUCUUUAUAUUUGGUUUAGCAGUUGACUAUUCUAUUGUAUCUUUUCAUUGUACCCUUAUUUAUUGCGGGGCUUUAUCAUAAUCCACAUGGUGUUGCAGGGAAAAUUGUUCGUUCUCCUUUUGGCGUCAUGCAUGGGAAGAGCUCUCCCGUAUAUUAUAACGAGAAGGAGGAAGAUAGCUUGUUUUCAGGAUUGUCAAAGUAUGAAUUUCUCUGUCCUUUUGUGAUCCCUAUUUCUGUUUUUGUCUUCCUAGUUUAAAUUUUACCCUAGCUGUCAGCAAAUAUUAAAAAUCCUAUUUAUUAUUUAAACCGUUUCCAAACAUUAUUCACAUUUUACAUUUGUUUUCUUUUUUAACGUUAUGAAUGAUUGCAGUACCUUGUUGUAAACUGCUAUUUGUACCUUUCUUGAUUGUUUGUUAACUAUAGUUCCUUGUGCCUUUUGUCUAAAGCAGGCUUUAAUGUUGAUCAAAUGCAUUUUAUUAUCAGUCAUUUCUAGAACAGCAAUGUUGUGUAAGCUUAGUAGCAAAUUCUAAGUUGUAUUUAAAAUUUCUUGAUUAUAUAUGUAAACCUUACUAUAAAUCGUACUACUUUAGCCAGAUAUUGUUGGAAAGUAACAUCUCGGGGCUGGCGUGUGGUUGACAGUAGCAUAUUGGGGGUUGGAUUAGUUGCUAAAGGAAAUGUUUCAUUCAGUGUUUGAGGUUUCUCCUGUUGUUUGCAACGUAAUGAAAUGAUAAACUAGUAUGAGAAAACCUUGCUUAGGUUACCUUUUAAACUUUCAACCAUCCUGUGCAUUAAUGGGAUCUCAAAUAACAACUAAACUUUCUUUUUGUCUUUUCAGCCCUUUCACUGCUGGCAGAUAUCACAGUCUUGUAAUCGAUAAGGACAGUUUUCCUGGUGAAGAACUUGAGAUUACAGCAUGGACAGAGGAUGGACUGAUAAUGGCUGCUCGUCACAAGAAAUACAGGCAUCUUCAAGUAAGAAACGGUUUCCGUGGACUUUUUUUAUUUUUUUCAAAACUAUUAUGGAGUGGGAGAAUGUUGUGCUGCUUAGGUAAUAUAAAUCAUAAGUUGCUUUGCAUACAGAAAAUGCACUUUCCUGCACAAGUUGUGUACCAUAUAAAGAAGAGUCAUAAGAUUUUGACAGGCAGUUUCCAUGCGGUUCAUUUCUGAUCCUAGGAUUCCUUUAUUAGGUUACGGAGAGAUUUAAUGACAAUGCUUUGCGUUGAAAAUUCGUAGCUUUAAAAGUAAUUUUGGCACUUAUUGAACUUGAGGCAGGGAGUAGAUAGGUAGUAGGUACUGUUGGAGAGGAGCCCUGUGGAGAUUAUGUUUGCUAUUUUUUUGUGGGCAAUAGAUGAUUUGGCCAAUUAGUAGAUCAGUCAUGGGGUUAAAUAUAAUAUAUGAAAAAGGGUCGCGGAAUGUUUGAAGUAGCAUAGACUCAGAAGUUAUCGCACGCUAAAAAUACCAAGCUGGAAGAAAUAUUCUUUGUUCAGUUGUUCCAUGAUAUAAAAUUGUUAAUCAUGUAACAUAAAAGUUGAUGAAGUUGCGUCGAUUCAGUUAGCUGAUGUUCUUCGUUUCCUUGACAUGCAUUGCCAUGCGAUACAUCCACGAAACAGAAAAACUGCAACGAUGUAGCGUUGGAUUGCAGUUGUUUCGCCUCAAACAAACUAAUUUUAAUCUCAUUAGAUCUUAAAUUGUUGAAUCUGACUUCUAUGCCUUCUUUCUAACCAAAUGUAUGUGAAAUUUGCAGGGGGUUCAGUUCCAUCCUGAAAGUAUCAUAACUUCCGAAGGGAAGACAAUUGUGCGUAACUUUAUUAAGUCGAUAGAGAAAAAAGAGUCUGAAUCUGAGAAUUAGAGGCUUGACUGAUCUGCAGAUUCUGCACAAUGUUAUGUGACAUGGUGAUAAAUAUAAAUAUCAUUAUCGUCAAACUCAUCGCAUCUACUCGCUUUCAAAUAAUAGACAACAAAAAUUGAAAACCAAAUGUAUUAUUAGUCAAGUGUAUUAGUAUAAUUCUGAGUUUCUUGAACUUGGAUCUUGCUCGUAUAUCUUAAUGGAUUAUGUUGAACAUGUUAUCUUCACGGUUUUUUUAAAUGGUGAUCCGAUAACGAUCCGAUUCGUUAACGGUUUGUGUUAGUGUUGGAUUAAUGAGUUAAGAAAUUGUCUCUAUUGUCUAAACGUUGCAAACGGGUAUGUUUGUGUCAUUUACGUGUGAUACCCGUUAUCUUAAUGGGUUUUUAACGAUUGACCUAGUAACGACCCAAUUUGUUAACAUGUAUUUAAUAGGUGAUCCGAUAAUGACCUGACUUGUUAAUGAGUUGCCUCAAAACUUGUUAUUUUUGUGUCAUUUUAUAUCGAGUUAACUUGUUGUGCAAGAAAUUGUCAAGCCUAAUUAAUAGCGUUUAGUUUAAUCUGUCAACCAAACGGGUCCUAGGAUCUCAUUAAGCCGAAGAUUUAUCCUUUUUUUUUUAUAAUCUGGUAACCAAACAGGCCGUAACAUUAUGUAAAAUGGCAAAGGCAACAACCCAAAAGCAAGCAGAAUGGUUUAUGCCAAGGACAUGCAAUAAAAGUCCAAAAAGUUGUAAAAACAGCAAUCUGCUUCUUGUAAUUGAAUGAGGAUCAUCUCCAGAUUCUCUUUGUGAUGAUCUUGAGGAUCCUCAAAUCAUGUCCGUUCAUCGUACAUCGUGCGGUCAUAAAUUAUUUUAAAUAUUUUUAUUUAAAAUUAAAUAUGAACAGUACCUGACGAAAACUUACAUACGAUGUUCGAUGAACAGACACAAUUUAAGGAUCCCGGGGAUCCUCACAAAGAGGAUCCGAAGAUCCUCACAAAGAGAGGAUUCUCAUUCCUUGUAAUUGUCGAAAGUUGUUUUAAGAUUCAAAAACUUAAAGCCAGCCUACUCCCAUUUAUUAGAAAACCAACCCUAGCACCAUCACAACCUAAUUCUUUUGUUUUUUGAUUCGAGCGAUUUUCAUAUCUAAUUUAAACUGCUAAGAGGGAGACUUGAAUGAACUUGGGUGUAGAAACGAGGCACACUGCAUUAGCCUAUUUGGCUACAUCCAAGUUUGUCACAACCUAAUUCUUAUACAUAAUUUGUUAGUAAUUAUGUUGUGUUUUCUUAUAUAUCGUUAUGUUAUUUCUUGUAUUCGUUUUGCAAGGUUUUGAUUUCCUGUCCCUCUCAAUUUACUUUUUUUCCUUUCAUCUAAUACAUUUUGGGCUAGCAGAGGUGUUUGGAAGGUUGAGGAGUUUUCUAUCAAGGGCUAGCUUUCUAUCAACGGAUUGGUCUGAUUUUGUCAUCAUGUAUAUUGCUUGGACUUGUACAAAAUUGCAUGAACUAUAGGGGUAUUAAGCUAAUGAGUCAUACAAUGAAGCUCUGGGAGAGAGUCAUUGAGCAUAGAUUGAGGCAAGAGACACGGGUUUCGGACAACCAAUUCGGGUUCAUGCCAGGGCGCUCUACCAUGGAGGCAAUCUAUCUCUUACGAAGAUUGAUGGAAAGAUAUAGAGAUGGGAAAAAGGAUUUACACAUGGUCUUUAUAGAUUUGGAAAAAGCGUAUGAUAGGGUCCCAAGAGACAUUCUUUGGAGGAUUUUAGAGAAGAAAGGAGUACGAGUAGCAUAUAUCCAAGCUAUACAGGAUAUGUAUGAAGGAGCAAAGACUGCCGUAAGAACUCAUGAAGGACAAACCGAAAGCUUUCCCAUAACUGUAGGAUUACAUCAAGGCUCAUCCUUAAGUCCUUACCUCUUUGCGUUGGUAAUGGAUGAGUUAACAGGACAUAUUCAAGAUGAUAUUCCUUGGUGUAUGCUUUUCGCAGACGAUAUAGUGUUGAUAGAUGAAACUCAAGAAGGGGUAAAUGCAAAGCUUAACCUUUGGAGAGAAGUGUUGGAAUCUAAAGGUCUUCGCCUAAGCCGAUCAAAGACAGAAUAUAUGGAGUGCAAGUUCAGUGCAAAUGGAGGCCAAAACGAGUUAGGGGUGAGGAUCGGAGAUCAAGAAAUACCAAAGAGCGACCGUUUUCGUUACCUAGGAUCUAUCUUGCAAAAGAACGGAGAAUUAGAUGGAGAUCUCAACCAUAGAAUACAAGCUGGAUGGAUGAAGUGGAAGAGUGCAUCCGGCGUGUUGUGUGACCGUCGUAUGCCACUGAAGCUCAAGGGAAAAUUUUAUAGGACGGCAAUAAGGCCGGCGAUGCUGUAUGGCACAGAAUGUUGGGCGGUGAAGCAUCAACACGUACACAAAAUGGGUGUAGCGGAGAUGAGGAUGCUUCGUUGGAUGUGUGGGCACACGAGAAAGGAUAAGAUUAGGAAUGAGGAUAUCCGGGGUAAAGUAGGAGUAGCCGAAAUUGAAGGAAAGAUGAGAGAAAAUCGGUUACGGUGGUUUGGACAUGUGCAAAGAAGGCCUACUGACGCUCCGAUUAGAAUAUGCGACUAUGGGACAGAGGUUCAGGGCCGAAGGGGUAGAGGAAGACCCAGGAAAACUUUGAGAGAGACCCUAAGAAAAGACUUAGAGUACUUGGAUCUAACGGAGGACAUGACACAGGACAGAACACAAUGGCGUUCUAAGAUUCAUAUAGCCGAUCCCACUCAGUGACUUGGAUUUUCCAAGUCUCCAACCGAGAAGUUGUCCUCGUUCGGGAAAUUAAGGGAACACUACCUCAACCUACAUGCUCCACUCACAAAGCUCCAACAUACAAGCUUCAACAAAAGAAAAUUCAAAGAACUUAGCGAAAAAGGCUUUGGUGAUUUAACACAAUACGUUGAAAUGAAGGAAAGCUUAUUUAUUGAUAUCUUUGAUAAAUUACAAAUAUGUACAUAUACUUGAGUCAAAAUAAACAAACAAGAGGGAGCCUUCACAAAGGUUGCUUAGGAGAAGUCUCGGCAGUCGGUAGAGCCCCAGAAAGAGAAGGCACCGGGAGGGGGAUCAUUCGGAGCCUCAGUACUGGACAGAACCCUAGAAGGAGGAGGCAUCAGAGGUUGAUCAUUUGGAGCUUCAUUACGCGGUACAGCCCCAGAAGACGAAGGCAAUAAAUGCCUUUGGAACAAACCCACAAAUCUCUGAUGAUCAAGUAAAACCUGACCAUCAGAUUCCUUCAUCUGGUCAAGCUUCCUCUUCAUGUUUGUAGCAUAGUCAUGUGCGAGCCGGUGCAACUGUUUAUUCUCAUGCUUGAGCCCUCUAAAUCUCCUGUUUGAGACUCAUCACUUCAGCCGCCAAUGAUUCAACUUGGCGGGUUCGAGCAAAUAGGCGUUGUGCCAUAUUAGACACAGAACCUGCACACUGAACACUAAGAGCCAGAGAAUCCUUAACAGCCAACUCAUCAGACCGUUUGGAAAGUAGUCUGUUAUCUUUGGGAGUGAGAAGGUUCCUGGCCACUACCGCAGCGGUCAUAUCAUUCUUCAUCACGGAAUCCCCAACGGUAAGAGGACCAGUAGGGGAGACGAAGGAUGGGCGCCAUAUGUUGUCUGGAGAAGGCGGGGCUGCCUCUUCAACAAGGUUCAAGUCAAAACGACGGUCGGAGGGGCCAGACAUUUUCAAAGGUGUAGAAGAGAGAAGAGGUCGGACAAAUCAAGUUCUUAGAAGUGCAAGAAUGGAGCUUCUACAGGUGGAUAUUCAAGUGUGCUUUGGAACUUAAUGUUAGCCUCUAUAAAAAUCUGCACUCGACGAAAGCUUCAGAAAUCGAAGAGGCGUUUGCUUUCUCAAAAGCUGGGCUGCUCAGAGACCACGAGGGUCGAUCUCAGAAAUCGAAGAGGCGUUUGCUUUUCUCAAAAGCUGGGCUGCUCAAAGACCACGAAGGCCGAUCUCAGAAAAUCGAAGAGGUUUGCUUUCUCAAAAGCUGGGCUGCUCAGAGACCACGAGGGCCGAUCUCAGAAAUCGAAAGAGGUUUGCUUUCUCAAAAGCUGGGGCUGCUCAGAGACCACGAGGGCCGAUCUCAGAAAUCGAAGAGGUUUGCUUUCUCAAAAGCUGGGCUGCUCAGAGACCACGAGGGUCGAUCUCAGAAAUCGAAGAGGCACCUACUUUUCCAGCCUUGUCAGCACCUGUCACACGCACACUCAGCUUUGCGGAAAUUAUGGGCAUUCUGUCGAAGAUUUUCUGGCGAAGUAGAAAGCACAUGAAUCGUACUGUUUCAAUCACCCACUUCCCACACGCAACAGUAGCUCAUGGGUACCACAUAUUAACUUUGCCAAAGUUCUCUGACAAAGUUGAGACUACUUUUCCAGCCUUGUCAGCACCUGUCACACGCACACUCAGCUUUGCGGAAAUUAUGGGCAUUCUGUCGAAGAUUUCUGGCGAAGUAGAAAGCACAUGAAUCGUACUGUUCAAUCACCCACUUCCCACACGCAACAGUAGCUCAUGGGUACCACAUAUAACUUUGCCAAAGUUCUCUGACAAAGUCGAGACACGUGAAGCUUGCAACUCUCACUACAUCGCUCUGACCAAGAAGGGUAAAAGAAUAGCAAAGAAACAACACUAACAAAGUUUAGACACAUAAAUUUUGACGGCCUAGCUACCAUAUUAUUACCCACAAGGGUAAAGGAACAGUACCACUGCUGGAUAAUUGGAAAGUCCCGGUGUGUCAACCUCUGUGCUUCAUGGCAAGGUAGACUAGCAAACAUGCCCAACCUUUACUCACAUUCGAGAAAAACACUCCCAACAAGAUUGCUUGCCCCAAAAUCGAAGAGGCAUCGCCCUCCGAAUCUCGAGAGCCAGACUCCCAACAUGAUUACUUUCUCAAAAAUCGAAUAGAGGGUAAAGGAACAGUACCACUGCUGGAUAAUUUGAAAGUCCCUGUGUGUCAUCCUCUGUGCUUCGUGGCAAGGUAGACUAGCAAACAUGCCCAACCUUUACUCACAUUCGAGAAAACACCCCCAACAAGAUUGCUUGCUCCAAAAUCGAAGAGGCACCGUCCUCCGAAUCUCGAGAGCCAGACUCCUAACAUGAUUACUUUCUCAAAAAUCGAAGAGAGGGUAAAGGAACAGUACCACUGUUGGAUAAUUGGAAAGUCCCUGUGUGUCAACCUAUGUGCUUCGUGGCAAGGUAGACUAGCAAACAUGCCCAACCUUUACUCAUAUUCGAGAAAACACUCCCAACUCCCAACAUGAUUACUUUCUCAAAAAUCGAAGACACCGCUCUCCGAAUCUCGAGAGCCAGACCCCCAGCAUGAUUGCUUUCUCAAAAAUCGAAGACACCGCUCUCCGAAUCUCGAGAGCCAGACCCCCAGCAUGAUUGCUUUCUCAAAAAUCGAAGAGGCAUCGUUCUCCGAAUCUCGAGAGCCAGAUCCCCGACAGGAUUGCUUGUUCGAAAACCGAAGAGGCACCACUUUCCCAACUUCAAGAGCCGGAUCUCCUUGGAUAAAGCUUGUCUGUAAUCUCCACACGCAACAUCAGCUUUCCAGAUACCAUAGACCACUUUUUCAAAGUGCUCUGACAGAGUUAAAACUUGUGAAGCUGGCAGCUCCCACUACCGUGCUAUGACCAAGCAGGGUAAAGGAAUAGUAUUAUUACUUGAUGUUAGGGAGACUCCUAUAUAUGGCGACCUCCAUCCCCAACGGACAGGCAGACCUGCAAAAAUGCUCAACCCUUCCUCUUAUCUGAGAGGGCACUCCCAACGAAGCCUUUCAAAAUAUUCAGCUUUCUUUCCCCCCGAUAAUACCUCUGUAAACAAGCUAUACUAGAGCAAGAAUAUCUCAUAUCAUCAGGGUUAAAAGCAAGAGUAUCCCAUAUCAUGCUUUUUCCCUGUCUUUUCCUUUGGCCUUGUUCUUACCUGCAAGACAAGGAGAAAGCGAGCAAUCAGUCAGCACUUGGAAUCAAGCUUCCAGCCAGGAACUGACUGCCUGGAACCCCUUACCCUGGCAUUGCUCUCGAGUACUCAUCUUCAACAUCUUAUGCUUCCAAGGAAGAUACCGCAUCUGCCUGAGGAUAGGGCAAGUGAGAAGGAUACAAGGAAGCAUGUGGAGACAAGCGUAACAGCACACGUGCCGAUAUAUCCACUACUCUGUCAAAAGCAAAAGUAUCCCAUAUCAGCAGGGUCGAACGUACUCUAGAUUUGAUGGACUUGUUUUGACCCUCAAAUUCUUCAGUCGGCCUUAUACUUUGGAGGAAACCAGAAAAACCCUCCAGCCCAGUUCAAGAAUAAGCCUGUGGAAAGUUACUUCUUCAAAAGCAAAAGUAUCCCAUAUCAUCUCUUCUCAUUUUUCUUCUCUUUAUCCUUCAUGCUGCCUGCAAGAUAGGGAGAAUGUGAACAAUCAGCCGGAGCUCUGAUUGCUUACCUUGUCUGUUACCUCUUUCAGCAGAUCCCCUAGCUCGGCGACUUGGGGGACUCCUACUACAUGGUUUGUAUCGCGCUUGACCAAGCCUGAAACUACAAGUAAGCUUCAAGUGACAUUGAUACAUUACCUUGUGCAUCUCCACCAGUUACAGAUACCACCCCUGGAUGGAGGAAGAGUACUUCCAGAGAAGAUUCCACAUCUACCUAUGAGACAGAUAAGGAAAGUCAAGCCGAUACCACACUCCGGGACUUAGAAGUUUCGUGGUUACGAGAUCAUUCUCCCACAAUAUUUCCUAAUGUCAUUUGUACUAAAUCAUUCACUUGUACUCCCUAAAGGAGAGCUUGAACCUAUGUACUUGUGUAAACCCUUCACAAUUAAUGAGAACUCCUCUAUUCCGUGGACGUAGCCAAUCUGGGUGAAUCACGUACAUCUUGUGUUUGCUUUCCUAUCUCUAUCCAUUUAUAUACUUAUCCACACUAAUGACCGGAGCAAUCUAGCGAAGAUCACAAAAAGUUACCGUUUUCGCUACCUAGGAUCUAUCUUGCAAGAGAACGAAGAAUUAGAUGGAGAUCUCAACCAUAGAAUACAAGCUGGAUGGAUGAAGUGUAAGAGUGUAUCCGGCGUGUUGUCGUAGGCCACUGAAGCUCAAGGGAAAAUUUUAUAGGACGGCAAUAAGGCCAACGAUGUUGUAUGGCACAGAAUGUUGGGCGGUGAAGCAUCAACAUGUACACAAAAUGGGUGUAGCGGAGAUGAGGAUGCUUCGUGGGAUGUAUGGGCACACGAGAAAGGAUAAGAUUGGGAAUGAGGUUAUCCAAGGUAAAGUAGGAAUAGCCAAAAUUGAAGGAAAUAUGAGAGAAAAUCGGUUCCGGUGGUUUGGACAUGUGCAAAGAAGGCCUACUGACGCUCCGGUUCGAAAAUGUGACUACGGGACAGAAGUUCAGGGCCGAAGGGGUAGAGGAAGACCUAGGAAAACUUUGGAAGAGACCCUAAGAAAAGACUUGAUUACUUGGAUCUAACGGAGGACAUGACACAAAACCGAGCGCAAUGGCGUUCUAGGAUUCAUAUAGCCGACCCCACUUAGUGGGAAAAGGCUUUGUUGUUGUUGUUGUUGUAUAUUGCUUGGACUUCUUCGUCUUUUUGGUCUAAUUGCAGCUUAUUUUUAUGUUUAUCUCGUUUAACAUUUGUAAUAUUUUCUUCUAUCAAUGAAGUUCAUGUUUGAUAAAAAAAAAAAGAAAAUCAAGGACUAGCUUUGCAAAUGGAGGGUACUUGCUUUACGUGGUGUGCAGUUACGCUCGCCUAAUCUUUUUAUUACCUCGCCUAGUAUGGUUAAAAAAUCUGCAUUAAGACAUUUUGACCUACCAAAUCUAAGAACAGCUAGUAAUCACCAAUAUAAAAGUGUAACUUUACUGCUUUUGGUUGAAGAUAUAGCCAUAUAUAUAUAUAUAUAUAUAAUUAAACCAAUAUUAUAAAAUAAAGUUUGGUAUAAGAUUCCUUAAUUUUAUGGUUAUUGUAUUAGGGUUGGUGAAUAAUGCUGCAGACAAGAUUAGCUGUCAGAUGGAUUUUAUCGUUCUGCAGAUGUCAAAGCGAUUCGCGACAAUAAGGUUCUAACCUCGUAUUUGUUUUCUAAUUACGACCUUAAUAUUUAUUUAGUUUGGCAAAAACAUGCACCAAACUCACCCAUAGUGGUCGGUUCUGAAUGUUUUUGUUUUUGUUACACAAGAAUCUUGACCAUUUUAUUAAUCUAACUUAUAUUUUUCUGCGGAUGUUAAAGUAGUAACUUGUUGUGAAGAAAUUAAUAAAUAAUCAAGGGACAUAAAAGAGGAUUACAGGUCGGAAUUUACCAUCGCAAAAAGGAAACUGAAUUUGCAUGAAGCUUAUUCCUACUGUAAUUUCUUCUGUCUGCGAUAAGUCUGUUCAAUUGAACUAUUUAAAAAAAAUAUAAAAAAAAUCAGCCGGUGGCUUCGCAAUGACAAUUCAUCAUCUUGGGGCAGAGAAAACUCACAGAGACAUUUCAGUUUCCCUUUAACCACUAUCGUGUGAUUCACCAAUACCAAUAAUCAACAAAAUACAUAUACCAUGUAGAUAUGUUUUGUUUGCAACAGUGAUUAACAAUAUCGAUGACACAUCAGUACUUGCUUAUUUGUAAAAAACAAAACGGACGUCUAUUUCAUAGUUGUACUAUUUAAUUAUAUAUUUGUAACCGUUUGUUUGGCACUUGUUCACUCUGUUUAAGCAUGCCAUCAUGUUUUUUUACCCUUUUCAUCUUCCCUUCCGUUAGACCAUCUCCAAUGGUGGCUUAUAACCUAAAUUUUUCCCUUUUUCCCCCCCAAAUCCACUCCAACCCAAAACCUAAACCAAACCUAAAGCCUAAAACUUAAAAUGAAGGUAAAUAUAGGUCACAAAUUUAGCCCACAAAAGCUGCUGGGACCCAUGGAUGAGAGUGAAAAGUGGACCUUGUCCUGUAGCCAACGGCUACUUUUCUUCAUCGGGUGGUGGUGGUAAUUGGACCGUUAGUUAAUCCAACGGUCCACAUUCAAUUUUAUUAUAUUUUAUAUUUAUAUAUUUAUUGGAUCCAACGGCUUAAAUAGAAUAUAAUCAAAUCUAACGGUAAAAAAAAAAUCUAACGGUCCAAAUUUAAAUCCAAGGGCAAGAAUAAUCUUAAAAUUUAUCGGAAUUUAAAUAUUUUUUUCCAACGGCUAGAAUAAUUUUUUUUUUUUAAGUUUAUAUGGUUUAUCAUGAUUUUCAUGUAUUGAUUUAGUGAUUUUUCAAAAUUUAUCGGAAUUUAAAUAUUUUUAGGUUAAAAUGUUCAUAAAAUUAAUUUAUGAUAGUCUACAUAAUUUUUUUUUUAAGUUAAUUUAAAAAAAAUAGCCUUAAUUCAUUUUUUGAUAAUCUGGGGCUAAAAUUUUAGACCAAAAGGGUUGGAGUAGAAAAUCUGUUUCUGGGCUAAAACUUAAAUUUUAUGGGCUAAAUAUUUUUAGAUUUUAGGUCAGGAUUGGAGAUGGUCUUAGAGACCAACAAAAAUCAAGUGGAUAAGAGGACCGCAAAGCUGCAAAACCUCAGUUUUUAUGUCAGCAAGGGUUAGUAACUUAGUUACCACUUACCCAAUGAGCCUCAUGCCAAACCAAUUUUCUACAGCUCAUUUAUCAUCUAUAGUAGUCCAAAGGAUUUCCAGGAAAACACAUUCCAUUAGAAAUUCAAAUUAUUUUUCACCUCAAGAAAAAAAAUUUAAAAAGAAAGAACAAAAGUGGUUUAUUAAUGACGGAAAACGUUCAAUAGCGUUGUCUGACUGAGGUAGUUUUAGCACUGAAUGUGACAACCCGUCUUUAAUUUUAUGAUUUUAUUAAUUUUAAAAGAGUGAAUUGACGAAAAUGCUUCUUGAGACGAGAUUGCUAACUUGGUUAAGCAAGUGGACAAUUAGGCCGUUUAGCGUUAGUUUAUUUAUUUAUUGUUUGGGCUUGACCCAAAGUUAAUACACACAGAUCUUCGGAGUACGUGACCCGACGAGUACGUAGGUGGUUAUCUCCGAGGAUAUAAUUCUCAUUCUACUUUACUUAUGUUUUGACAUCACGUGUGAAAUAGGUUCAUUAUCGCCCAUAAGCACACUCUUUUAUUUAGGCAUUUUUAGGUUUUAAUUUAUUAACAUUUUCCAAAUCACUACACUUAUGGCUCUGUCACCCUCUUGAUAUUGGCUAGCACAGCUCGAUUCGAAAUCCAGGUAGAUAUUUCAGAUCGGGGUAUGUCAUUGAAUAAGUAACAUGUGGAGUCGGAUGAGAUCAAAACAUAAGAGAUUCUACAUUUUCUUGUGAAAUUAACUUGCAAAUGACGAGGUCAGACACUCGUCCUAUUUUUCUCUAUAAAGUCAGUUUUUUUGGGGUCAAUUUUUGCCAGGGCCACCAUGUGUAGGCUAGCAGGUUUUGUUUCCUCGUGUUUACUUGGUUUUACCUUUACCUCUCCCCCUUCCAAGUCACGGACCCAGCUUUGAAGCCUUGAAAAAUCCAACCUACCUGCAGCACUGUGAAGGUAAAGAACAACAUGCUGAACCCAUUUUACAGCUCUUGUCACAUCCUACUGACCUUGGAUUCCAAUUCACCAUUGACAGACUACCAUCCAUCCGUUUACUCAGCAGCUAUGACUUUUGAAGAUAAAACGACAGUGGCCCAAAUUUUUUGACAUUAAUAAAAAGUUAAAAAUUAAAUUAAUUUAAAAAAAAAAUGAAAAUCCUACCAGCAAUGCACCGGUGCAGUGGACGGCUGAAUUGUAACUGCCACAAUCUAGCCACACAAACUCUGGCGCAUCUCAUACACCGGUUAACCGUAGAAAUGUACACAACAAAUAGAAAAACCAUGCCUACUACAUAUUACAGAAACUUCCAUAUGCUCAAAUAUUUAUUGAACCCAUGAGGGUGUCAAAAGUGCAGAGAAAAUCUCAAUUCGUAAAGCCAAAAGAAAAGCAUGAAUGGAAACCUGGGAAGGAAGCAUUCUAAAAGUUGUACAAACUAUACACAAACCACCCCCCACCAAAACACCCUGUAAAACUCUAUCCACCCUCAAUAAAUCUAUGCUUCUCAGCUCUCACUAUACACCGAAGAACUGACCCAGCGCGGAUAUAUAUCGACCAAAUGCCAAUGGAGUGACCGUAGUGCUCAUUCAUAUCAGAAUCCAUACGUUGCUUGCAGCCCUCAUCAGACAGAAGUUGCCUCUUCUGUCUGGCUUCCUCUGCUCCGGUGGUGAUGCUUUCCAUGGCGGCGCCUCCCUUUCCCGAAUGUGACGGGGUCAAACACACGCAGUCUUUCAGCUUCUUGGGGACUGAUCACACACUCUGAUGGAGGAGACUUGUAUCGGAUUCUGUCGUAGCAGUAGGAGUAUGUCAUGUGCUUCUUCCUUAAACCCUCCAUCUUUGUUCUUUGGAGGCGGGUGACACCAGUAGGGACUGAUUCUGAAUUUUGGGUGUUUUCGCACUUCUUUGAUAAUUGUUCGAUUGGAUCGACCGCACAGCCGUGUAGAACAAGGUCGGAGAACUCAGCCAAAUAGGGAGAGUACUUGUAAUUCACUCGGUAUUUGCCACCAUUGGUAGCCCAAUCAGAUCCAUCCCAUAUUGUGGCAUACAAUGACAUUGGCUUAGCAGGGAAGUCACCACCCAUCGAUUCUGUUUUCUUGAACUCUCUAAUGGGAACAUUGUCAACAUAAAAGCUGCAAGUAAUUGACAUUGGAAACAAAUACGCCGAUCAAAAUCUGAAUUACAGAACUCAUAAAAAAUGAGGUGAACAAUAAAAGGCGAGAAAUCGCUACGAACAAAAUUUUUGCUUGAAUUACAAAAAUUAUAUUUUCAUCCAGUUUCCCUAAAAUGAAAACGUGCACCAAAAAAUUCCAUCCUUUUCUUUUCUACUUUUCUCACAAACCAACCACAGCUGGUUUUGACGAAACAAGAGGCGGUAUUAAAACAACGAAAAGAACAAGUUAUGUGCCGUAUUUUCCUAAAAGGAGAAACCCCGCCUCUGCAUUUUCCCUACACAGUAAAACUCCAGACUUCAAAGAACAUGACAUUAUUGGUGACAAUUUGGAAAAAUAUGCCACAAAAAGUUGAUAUGCUAACACAUAGAUUUAGAAUAUACUAAUCCAAAUAUAGAGUGGAGAGUUUUGAUUGACGCUCACAUGAUCUGAGAGUCAGUCCAGAGAAUGCUGUACUGAUGGUAAUCGUCGGACGGAUCAAACCAGAGAUUGUAUCUCUCUUCCCUGCCGGUGUUGGUGCUUCCGUUGCCGUAAAUAUUGGUCUGAACCCUCCAUUCUUUGCCCCGUAUAUUCCCCAAGAACUCGAAAUCAAUUUCAUCAUGGUGCUUCGGAAACAUGUCACCAUUUGACAUCUGUUAACAUUAAACAGAUUAGAACCUGUAUUCCUAUUCGUUUAACAGCUUAAUGAGAAAAUAAAAAGGAAAACACCAGCAUACAUCAGUGUCGAAUAUUUAGUCAUCCGAUUGAUAUCGAAAAUUGUUCGUUUAAUAGGACCGAAAUCUUGAACACAAUAAAUGAAAGAAAAUACUCAUCUGGGUGUGAACUUCAGGUCACAAAAUGGACAUUUAAAAAUGUAAAAAGUAAUGCAGCCUAUCUGGGUUAUCUCAGAAGGUUGAGAAAACAAGUUUUUAAUUGGAUAUUGGUAGAAUUAGAUCCACAACAUUUUCUGGGCUCCACACCACCAAAUUUGAAACAAAAACUGUUCAGAUUUAUCAGCUAACCAUAAAGCUUGAAUCUUUACUGAACUGUUAAAUUGAGAAGUAAAAAUCUGGGUCAUAUUAUUUUGUACAACGUAAGAUACAAACAAACAACAAACAAAGAGGGAAACAAAAUUAAAAACCUUAAUCAGAUAGAAAAACAGGAUUAACUCACAUAAAACGCAACAACAACUCCAGCGGUGUAAUCAGCAGGCAGCUUAAUGGAAGCACUGAAAAACCCAUGCUGGUAGAGGUCCUGAGAAACAAAUCCAGACCCUGCAAACAGACAUAGCCACCAAAAACAAAACAAAGACAACAACUUCAAGGUAAAAAAAAACUCACGAAACGUCGCCACCUCAAAAACCCAGAAACCAAAAAAUCAAAACACUUUCACAUGAGUCUCGAGACAGAAACCCAAAAGGGAAACAGAUUACAGACCUGUCCGUUCGUCUAGUGAGAGAUGGACGGAUUUCCCAUCUCUAAGGAUCAUCAAAUUGUCAUCCCCAAAAAGCUUGGUGUACCCUUCAUCGAAGGGUAUGAUUGGUAAAUUUCCAGAGGGUGCAGAAGCAACAACUCCAAGAACAAGCACUUGGCAGGCACACAGAAACAAUCCCAGAUGAAAAAACCCCAUCUUUUCACCUAAAAAAUAAAUGGUUUUUCUUUCUUUCUUUGUUUUGAGUUUUUUUUAUUUGUUUUCAGAAUUCAGAGUGUAUAUAUAAGAAGGUGAAGAACUAGAAGAGAGCAAGAGCAGAGAGAGAGGUAGAGAGAGGUAGAGAGAGAAAGAGAGAAGCUUGUAAGAAUAUCUCUAUCUCUCAACAGCAAUGGGGAGAGAGAGAGAGAGAGAGAGCCGAAAAGGCUAAUGGGGGAAUGAAGGAAGACAAGGCCAAGGGAAAGUCAUUUUAUUGCCGAGUGUCAGUGGAAGCUAUUGAGCUGUUUUCCGUUCAUAUGCACAUCGCUCCACGCCCUUCUUUUCGUUUCUUUCUUUUUUAUUUCACCAAAUAUUUUAUUACCUUUAUAUUUAAAGAAAAUUAAUAAAAAUAAUUUGAAAAUUUUAAGUUUUAACGAUAAGGAUAAAAUAAAGGGUAAAGUUAAUAUUAUCAGAAUUGACUUUUUAGUGUAAAAAUGUGAUUUUUUGUUAAAGUGAACAAUACCAUAAGUUUUUCAUUAAAGUUUCUUUAUAUUUAUAUAGUAAUUUCUUUUAAAAAAAUCUGAAAAUGUCAUGAAUUUAUAUACUUUUUAAAAUUUAUUAUAUAAAAUAAAAUUUUAAGCGAUUUGUCGUAUUAAUUUUUCAAAAUUUGUUGUAAUGCAAUCUCUUUAAUUAAGGGGCAAUAUAAUUAUCCUUAAUGAAGGGGAUUUUUUUCGAAAUUGUUCAAUUUAGAUUGAGUAAUCAAAUUUGCAUUGCGUACAAUACAAAUUAUGAGUUCUUUUUUUUUUCUUUUUUUUUUAAAUAAAUGAAUGGAUAGUUGCGUAUUUUUUGUCAUUAAGAUAUGCAAUCACAAAAUUAUAGGUUCCGACUAGGUAUUCGGCUCAAAUAGAUACAGUGUUUGUCAUAUAUUUUUAGUCAAACUUGAGUCAUUCUAUAACCAAGCAAAACAAAAUAUCGUUAUACAAACGACUAACUGGUAAUACAACGAAUGAAAUGGAUGAUCCGUCUUGUUACCAAUCAAACACCACAUAAGCAACAUACGUAUGAAUGAACUACUUAAUCAACCGUAUCAAUAUUAUAAUGAUUCUUCAAAUUAUAUGGAAUAUAUCAUAAGAAUUUAUAACAUAGUAUGGAUGUUGUAUGCUGCAGGGGUUGGUGAAUGUUUUAAAUGAAAUUAUAAUUACGCGUUUACUAGUUUGGCAAAGAAUGGAUCUAAUGCUCAUAAAUACAUUCCAAACAGUAUUACAUAGAACUCCUGUAUUAGAGAGUUUGUCAACAAUGUGAUCAAUAUAUGUUUGGACUGAACACAUGACUUGUCGUCAUGCUUCACAAUAAGACAUGCUAAGCAUGCGGUUUACUAUUGCAUUGAGAAGAACCAAGAACUCAUCUAGGACGAAUUCUAUUGUUCUAUUCAACGAGAAGUGCCUCCUACUUUUUCAUUAAAAAUAUCUAAGAACUUGGUGGACCGUUGAAAAUGAGUUCUUUGUUCUUUCUCAUCUUCACUUUCUUUCUGUUGUCCAUACUACUAUGGCAUUGAUAUACAUAAUUAUACCUUUCAUUUAUAUAACAUCUUAACGUGCUUUGAAUUUUAAACUGACAUCACAAUUUAGAUAUAUGCUUAAGUCGUCAGUAACACGCAUUAACUAAUUCUUAAUUCCAUUAUUCCUUAUACAGUGAUUUCGAACACUUUAUCCCUCCUUCAAGACUUUGAAAUAGAGUACCCAUAGCUUGAAUGUUAAUCUUUGAAGAAGUCUACAUUCUUCAAAGAGGUAUAAAGUGCUCAAAUAAUAAUUGCAUUAAAAGUAAAAAUAUAAAAUAAAAAUAGACAGAAUUGAGAAAGCAUGAAUCAUUACGGGUAAAACAAAUUAUUAUUAAGACUUUUGGGGCAAAAAGAAGUUUACCUUUAAACUCUUUUUAUCCUUUUUAAAAACUUAAUUAAAAAAGGAAAAGCAGCUCAAUCAGGCAACCGCCCAAGGCGCCGUCCCUUUUCACGUUUAUUUGUGCAGCUUGCUUUCCUAAACUACCCCCAUAUUACGCUACGUAUUUACGGAUUUUCCACAACCAGUAUUUAAGAUUGAACGAUACUUGACUACUCAUCUUUGAGUAGCUAAAUAUUGUCCUUUAAAAUUUAUUUGAUACGGUCAAUAUUUCCAGAAAAGUAUUCAAAAAAUUAGAGAACGAUAGGGAAAUGGGAGGUGAAGUCUAAACUUCACCUUAUAUCGGAGAAACUAAGUCUAGGCUAAAAUCGAUAUAUAUUAUCAAAUGUCAAUAUUUCUAACACAUUUGUUAAAUAUCGAAAAAACUUUUAUAUUUCAUUCAUACCAAUGUUUAAUAAUUCUUAAAGUUUCAUUUUAAAUCUCAUAAUUCGAUCGUAAGCAACAUAUAUUUAUAUACAAUAUAUCCGUCAAUAAAAAUACUGAUAUUGAUAUUUUAAACACUAAACACAAGAAGCGGGCUGUGAUACCAAUCUGGUAAUUUAAGUCAAGCAUGUAGGCAAUUCAAUCCAAUCUGGGGGAAGCGUCUAAUUUCGGCGCGUAGAGGAAUUGACACGUGGUCCAAAUCACCGGACACCGGCUGAGCGGGCGAAUAUGCAAAUUACUCACUCAAUUUAUCAAGAAAAUUGGUUUUUUUUCUUUUCCAACUUUAGUAAAUUCCACUUGGCAAACGGUGCUGCACUGCUGACGUGACACCUUGUCUCACUCACACCUCAAAUCCCAAGUAGCCGUUGAGGGGACCCACCCAGAAUCCACAAAAAAGAAGCCGAGUUGUGAAGAAAUGGAUUUGGACCGUAAUUCAUGGGCCUCCUUAAGGAACCCGCUCCUAACGCCGUUAAUCACGGGGUCAAUCCCGUCAAAGGAAACUAAAGCACAGUCCCCUGGGGCGUGAGUCCGUGACCCCCCCCUAAUCAUAAGCUUCCUUAACGUCCGUGUCCGUUGAAAACGGCGUCACCUCCCCUGAUUAGGCCCCACAUUUCACGCGGAACAGAUAACAACAUUAUGUUAGUUGCUAAUUUUGGUUAAUUUACAGAAUUAAUAGAGUAGAAUAUUAAUCAAUACAAUAAUUACGUGAAUUCGAUUUGAAGUGAAUUUGCAUAUAACCGAAAUUGGGUAAAAUUCUUAUGAUAAUUACUACAACGGUAGCCAUUCAAUACUACGGUCUAGUAGUAUUCAUUCUUAUUUAUAAGUGAAACAUCUUAUGUUUGAAUCUCGUGAAUGGUGAAUUCGAUACCAAAUUAAGUUGUCUAUUGUAUGAUUUAGCCAAACUCUUCCCUCAUUCUAAUAUAAAAUAUAUCAUUAUACUAAAAAUAAAAAAUAAAAAAAAUAAAAAAACAACAACGGUAUAAUUGCCACCAAACUAGACUGUGCUAACAUACGCCGUUUGCGUGGCAUUAUACCACGUGGCGCCGUGGCAUUUGCCCCGCAUGGGAAAUAACAUAUGGGGAUCUAGCAUAUUAUGAGAGUUGAGAUCAUCCCGAUGUUGCAUGGAGGAUGAUGAUGCUGCCUAUGGCAAUGGUGUUUGCCAUGCAUGCACAUGUUUGCAAGAUCUAUAGCCGUCCACUACCCAAGUUCAUCAGAUCGACGGUUGAUGUUUGUCUCGGAGUUGUGAAAUAUGUUUUUGCCAAUCACCAUGCAAGUUAUGCAACAUGUGACUUUUUGUGGAUUUCUUAUUGGAGAACAUGGGACAUAGAGCACAACACGUUUUAAGGCUAUUUCCAGCAAAAAAGAAAAGAACGUAAAAGUAAUAUUUGACGCCAAAAGUGGAGAUAGGAUCUUCGUCUCUUCAACGGACCUUUUUGAGAGGAUUUCGAUUUUUUUUAAUUAUGUUCGUUUAUCGUACAUCUUGAUAUCAUUUUUCCUUAGGUACUGUUUGUGUUCAAUUUUAAAUAAUAUAAUUUAAAAUGAUUUAUAACCGCACGAUAUACGAUUAAAGGAUCUCCGAAAUCCUUACAAAGAGAAUCCGGCAAGGAUCCUAUCUCUCAAAAGUGAGUAUUGGAAUUGUGUAAGUCACCAUAUUAUCAACUCUCAAGUUUAAUUUUAUUUUAUGCAUUAGAAAGAGAUUUGAGUCAAAUAAAUACGACUUUGCAAAGUUAUAUUGAUUCCCAGCUCUUUAAGUGUACUAACUUUAGCACCAGAAUGCUGAAAAUUAUUAUAGAAGGCAUCAGAUUACUGAACACGAUUAUUUUCUUUUAUAUCUUGGAUUCAUGUUUUUCAAGGACUUCAUUCAUAAUAUUUUUAAUACUUUAUCCAUUUUUGCUAAAAAUGUUUUUUUCUUCGAUUGUAUUGAAAGUGGUUGCAAUCGAGAUUUCGCUUUUUAAAUGAGUUAAUUUUAAAAAAAAAUCAAUGCAAAUACGACACCUAAAAAUAAUGGAUAAAUAAUACCGACCAAAACAAAUACACCUAAAUAUAAUUGCUUCUUGGGUUCCUGGGGGGAUGUUUGCCUGCGGUCUAAGAAAUCGAGCUUUUUCUUUCGUUUCUUCUCUCGCACUCUUUUAUAUUUAAGAUUUUUAAUGGUGGGGUGGGGUCCGAUCAAUAGCUCUCAACCACGUGUACGCGGUCAGGAAAACCGCGACUUUUAUUCGCAUAGAUAUUUCCACGUCAGCCAUCGAGGAGGAGGAGGAGGAGGAGGAGGACCUGACCUUCUCUGCUUUUGGCUUCUGGUGGGUGGUGGUUCUUUUGUUCCUUCUUCCAGUGGUGGGCGUUGAGCGGUGGAUGGUGGGUGGUGGGAGGUGGUUCUUUUGUUCCUUCUUCCCGCGCCGAUUUUUGGUUGUCCUUUUCCUUAUGUGGCAAACCCUAACAUGUACUAUAUAUUCUCUAUCGCAUUUCAAAACAUAAGAUACAAUCUUUAACAAUAUUAUGUGACUAAUAUUUUUUUAUAGAUCUUAUCAUUUCAGAUCAUAAGAUACAAUCUUUAACAAAGAAUAAUAGCCCAAUCAUAUUCAGAUUAUUUACAAUUAUGAUCCGUGAUGAGAUAUGUAUCAAUGUUUCAAUUAAAGGUAUUACUUUUGAGUGUUAUAGAUGAUGAAAACUUAUGUACAUAUAAUAUUUUGUAAUAUAUAACAUGUUACAUGCACUUAUUCUUCACGUUUUUUUAUACGAAAAACAAUAUAAAAAAUUCAAAAUUUUCUUAAAAUUAUACCAGACAGAGAUAUAUAAAUUCUGACGGAACAAAUAGAAAGGAUACAACAGAAAAAUAAUUUAUGGGUCUGUUUUUAUAGCUGUUGGCUGUCCAGAAUAAGCUUUAAAAUUGAAGGCUUCCACUGUGAAACCAUGGUGCAUGGAAGAAAUAAAACAGAUAAUUUAGGGAAAAUAAUCAUUACAUAAAUGGCCGUGUAUUUACAAAAUCAUUUUAGAUUCCACCGAACGCAGCAUAAAGCCAAAAAAUAAUAAUUAUGAACACUCCGGUGCGCACCUCCUCCUCCAACAACUACUGCAUCGCAUCCUAUAAAUUUGUAUAUACAGAAGUAUUUGUGGUCAAAUAUAUAUAUCUGUAUGCCCGUUUUAUAUCAUUUAUUCCCGACAUGUUAAACCUACGAAUCCAUAUUUUUCUUAAUAAACGAUGUUAUCUACAUUAAAAGAAGAAGACGGACUUAGCUUCAUAAUAGGAUGGUAAUAAUAUGAUUUAAAUUCGUCAAUUGAUGAGAAUUGAACUUAAAACCUCUAAUUUACAAAUAAGAAAAAAUAUCACUAGACCGUAAUAUUAAGUAGCUCCACAAAUUGAAUUCUUAAUGCAAUCAACCGAGCUCCGAUCCCUCACUCCUUUACCCAUCUCUUUCUCUCUUUCUAUUACGAGUGUCGACAGGUCAGGACUCAAGAGGCUAAUUUCCAAUGCGUCAUUGCUUACAUUACAAGAAAAAGAUGUAAAUCAUGACUAUUAUUUGUCGUGAUGAAUAAAUAUAUCAUCAACCGCUCAAAUGGUGUUGUUUGAUUUGACAAUUUUUUCCUUCCAUUUGAUGUUCAAAGUUUUGUCAAAUUAUUGAUGUUUGAAUUUAUAAAUCAAUUUAUACUCACAGUUUUCCUUUAAGUUUUCAGUUUUUUAAAUCUCAAAAUUUGUUUAGUUAAAUUUAAUUUUCGUUUAAAAAAUAAAAAUUAACAACUGAAAACUAAAAUAAUUACUAAAAGGAUCCUUAAUUUGUUGUAACAAACGUAGUGGGCACACGCAAAUUAAAGCACGAGUGCCGUUGAGUUGAAAAAUAUGGUUUGGAGAUAGAGGGGGAGCGUUGGUGAUUGUCUCAUCUCACGAUUUUGCAGUUAAAGCUAGCCCCAUCAAAUGAGGAAAUUUUGUAGAGUGUCAAGGACAGUCUGAUACACAAAGUAUCAUAAUAUAAAUAGUUAUAAUUUUUUUUAAGUAUCCAAUCACUUAUAUUUUAACAUUUUAUAUAUUGGGACGUGUUCUAAGCACACCGUAAAAUCUUCUCAUUUAACACAUUUGCCACUUUCCUUGUUAAUCAUUUCAUAUUUGCAUGUAUAUAUUUUCAUUCAUGCGUAACUGACACCUAUCCUAUGAUUGAGCAUCUGAACUAAGUUUUUCAAAGUUGGAGUCACCACCACUAAUUUAUUUUCUUUAUGUUUGUUUGUUGGUGGUUAACAUAAUAAAUAAAGGCGUUUUGAUUGAGGACGCAAUGUACAGUUGCUUUCGUCUUUCAAGCUCAUUUCUCAUCGAUGGAACCUUAAUAUAUAUCUCUUAGCAAGAUUAAUCAAAUAUCCCAACCACUUUGUUUCGUUGCUUAAUCAUGUCCAUCCAUCUUUAUAUAAAUAGCCAGCUAGCUACAUGGUCACGGCCUAAACCCUAGCAUAUGGUAGUUAAUUUUAACCUUUUUCUAGACUAGGUCAACAUUAAUCGAUAACGAUAUCAAUGUCUUCAAUAAAAAUGAUGGAAAUUUGCUUAAAGACGUGAAAAUUUAAAUUGAAACUUUAGGGAAUGUUAAUAUAUCAGAAGUAUCGAUGAAAUAUGUCAAUUUUAAUCGAAACUUAAGAGUUUAUUCAGUAUAGAGUGAAGUCUAAGAGCUCGUUUGGAUAUACUUUUAAAAUGACCGAAAGCACUUUUAGAGAAAAAAAAUUUGGGUUCCAAAAGCACUUAAAUUACUUUCUGCAAUAAGCAUCAGUUAUGUACUUCUUCUAGGAAGCACUUUAAGUGCUUUUUCAAUAAGCACCAUUGACGAAUUGACGAAUUGACGAAUUGGAGAAAAUUUUGGUUCUAAAAAUAUUUUCUCCAAAAACGAUUUCAAUUAUUUUAAAAACACAUCCAAACAAGCUCUAACCCAUUUUCAUGUCUUCUCUAAUUUUUCCGUAUUUCCACUCAAAUGUAAAAAAAAUGAAUACACACACACACACACAUCACAGCUAGAAUUUUAGUUGAUAUAUCAUAUAUAGGAAUUUGUCUAAACCAUGAGUUAUAAUUUAAUAUAUCUUCAUUAGGAAGUCUUUUUCUUGGACAACUGUAAGAACGAAUAUUUAGAAACGAAAUCAAUAUCAUCCACCACUCAACUUUGGCAUGGUUUUUAAUUAGUGCACAUAUGAUAGAUAGAUAUAUGCGGGCCAAAUAGGUGCCUGCCAACUAGUCGAUGUAUGCAUAUUAACGAAAGACAUUCACAAGAAAUACAUGCCGCUCAUGUUAACUCGAUCCAUAUCCCUUCGUGUUAUUGUCAUGCAUCUAAAUUUUUCGCAUGAUCCCAAAAUGUCUACAACAUACAUGCAUCUAAAUUUUUCGCAUGUUCCCAAAAUGUCUACAUAUAUGUUGUCGUUCAUCAGGCAAAAUAAAUCGAAAAUCAACUUAAAAGACAUAAAUUUGACAAUGCUUGGAAAACUUUGAACUUUGGUCUGAUUUGAGCCCGCGACUCACCAUUUCGAAGAGAAGGUUAUCACGAGUCAAACAUAAUGCUUUGCUGUGACAUGAGCUUUUUCAACCGAAUUCUAUCAAUUAAAAUGUGUAAUAGGAUUCUAAGUUUUUAGGAUAUUUUCGAGAUUUUGUUAUUUGUUUAAUUCAUUUCUUAUUUGAACUCUUACAAAGUUGAGGACUAAAAGACACCAUACAAACCUCCUUUAGGGUACUAGGGUUUGUUAUCUCCCAUAUUAUCAAUCAAUAAACUUUGACCCUUUUUCUCUAAUGAUUUCCGAUAUCCUCAUCCUUUAAGUUUUAAUUUGAUACUUUUUUUUUGUCGUUGAGUCUCCUUUGCUCUUGCUGCAUGAAAGUAGUAAUAAUAUCAUAGCCCAUCGAGACAAUUGAUAAAUUGGAUACAGCUUGAUCCUUUUACUUGCUACAUCCAAAUGAUUCACACAAAACUAAAUUCUUUUAAAAUAGCGUAAUUACUAGUUAAGAAUCGAUAUUAUAUGGUAUCAAACAUUUACGUGCAACACAAGUUUGUCUAUCAGCUCCCUAUACCUUCCUGGACUCGAUAGUAUAAUUAAUAAACUAAUAUAUUGGUUAAAAAACUAAAUUUUCCAGUAAGCAAGCAUAAUCCAAGAAGAUUAAAAUAAUGCGGAUAAAAUUUUAAAGAAUAAAAGUUCAAAUAAAGAAAGUGUUGAAAGCGUGAUGGAACUGGAAGGAAGCGAGAGAUUUUCAAUGUGCUUGUAACGCAUGACGGUAUAUUACGUGUCUUUAUACAAUUAGAGGGACACUUGAAGAAAAAAAAAAAAACUUUCCUCCACUUAUAAAAAGACAUAUAUAGUACCGCCUCAUAUUCCGAUUACAUUGAAAAAUCUAAGUAUCAGUCUCCAUCAAGUAGUUAUGCUGAGAAACCUAACUCGGAAAUUAAAGAAGCUUAUCUGACAACCACUAGGACUCCGUGAUGAUUAUUUAUCUGUAUAUUAUGAAUGUUAAUCCCACAAAUAGAUAAUUAAAAAUGAUUGUCUUGAGUAUGCAGUCAUGAUUAGGAACAAUCAAAAACAUUUUAAUGGCAGGAAAUGCUUGCAUCAAUGAUAGCAAAUCCAUUGUCUUUUUCCCAUUCCUCAAAUUCAUCAUCCUUCCUCCAUAACCCUAGCUAUACAACUAGUCUUUGGUUCAUCAUAGCUAUGAGGGUAGGAAUAACUUGUAAAAGUAGAGUCUACAUGUAUUGGAUUGGUAUUGCUAUGGCCGUAAAUUCUAAAAUGGACCGGCUCAUGUCAUGAUUCAAGAUUCUUAGUUGCUGUGUCAUUAACUAAAAAUUCUGAUUCAUUGUAUGAGCUGGUCCAUGUAUAAAAUCCCCUACUAUGGCUAGCAAGUAUGUAGCAACUUGGGAUUGAAAAGGUAAUCACUUUGAAGUGUGGUCCUAAACAUGAAAUUCCAAGUGCAUGCAAGCUCAUGAACAUAAUCACUACCAGUAGUACUCUUUGUUGCCUUUCGUAGCAGGGUCCAAGGGAGGAAUUUGUGGGAAAUCAAAUGUCUCUAGACUUUUUAUUAUGCGGCUAAUUCUUAAGAAAGGGAUUGGUCUUUUGCAUAUAACUAGUCAACGUCAUAUAACCAAUUCAAGUUUGUAAGUUUGUGUUUGUUUAAGAGUAUACAAUUAUUUGAAAGUAACAUAUGAGAGUUUAGGGUCCUCAUAGCCUAUUGCAGGCCGGUCCUGUAUUCUAUCUGACGGACAGUAAUGACUUCAAGAUUGGUCUGUAAGUCCUAAUCCAGUUCAGAAAUAUGGGUCAGGCUAACCCAAUUGUAAAAACCAAACCUUUGAGGUCUGACUUUUUCUUCCGUAGAUAGAUCAAACCUCAGGGGGUUCUUGUGCCACCAACAUCGUUACUAAGAUGGAGCUCUCAAGCAAUGACGGAGCUAACAUAGGGUUAUUGGCUGUUAAAUUGUCAUAUUCUUCAUUCACUGAAAAAUAGUUUGUGAGUAACAUAACAAAGGUUGGAAUAACCUCGCAUGGAUUUAUUUGUUUGAAAAAGGCUAACCUUUACCUUUUCAGUCUAUUCUGCAACCACAUUUUUCUCUUUGGAAAAAAAGAAUUCCUCAAACAGCUAGAUAGCUAGGACGCCUCUACAAAGUGUAAAAUUAAGAGAGCGGAUAUAUACUUGGAUCAAUCAUCUACGCGAACUUGUGAUGCUUUGGUUUUUCCUUUUUCUUAUAAUAAUUGGGCAAAAUAAAUACCUUAGUAGAAAAAUGAGGUGGUUUUAUUUUGUCCUUCUGAUGCUUUGAUAAAGUUCAAAGUUUCCCCAGGAGAGAUUCCCAAAACCAACACAACAAGCAAUCCCAAGAACAAUGCAUGCAUUUUUAAUGACAACCUCUUUAGCAUAACACUCGCACAUCAAAAUUAUAGGAACGAAGUAGACCCAUCAACCCUCAUCAUUAAUUCCCUAGAUUAAUUAACUUCGCCGUCAUCUGUCCUCUGAUUACUUAAUUGCAAUGCAUACUACUAUAAACUAUAGAUACGAACGAUCAGCCUCUCGGUUGACAGUAGGUGCACACUUGUUUGGCAUCUUAGGACUCAUACUCUUGCUUGUUUGGCUCCUGCAUUACCGUGGUGGCAUCGACUAUGAUUCUGAUAAUUCAGAUCGAGUUUUCAACGUAAGUGAUCAUUAACCAUCACAAUCCAGCCAUUACUAUUUGCUUGCUUAAUAUUGGCUCAAGUUAAAGUUAAAGUCAUUUCCUUAAUUUGGCAGGUUCAUCCGUUUCUUAUGUUCUUCGGGUUUAUUUUUUUUGCUGGUGAAGGUACGUACAUAUUAGGGUACUAGGGUUUAAUUUCUUAUACAUUAUACGUGUACUUAUGCUUAAGUACUAAUAUCUGAACGAAAUAUUAUUGCAUGUAUUUGAUACACCAGCGAUGAUGGCAUACAAGACCGUAAUGUCGCGACACAAGGUGCAGAAGUACGUUCACGCCCUCUUACAUCUGGUAGCUCUAAGUUCCGGGAUAUUUGGGAUAUGCGCUACUUUUAGAUACCAUGACAUGAGGGACAUAGAUCACAUGUAUUCACUGCAUUCAUGGAUUGGCUUGACCACCUUUAUCUUGUACGGUUUGCAGGUACGUACGUAUAAGUAAUAACGAAACCUUCACUAAUUAGUUAAUUAAAGUAAAUAUAUUGUUCCUUAAUUACUUAAUUAAGCAUGUAUGCAUGGUUUGAUGUGGCAUGCAGUGGCUGUUUGGAGCUGCUACGUUCUUGUUUUCAAGAGGUAUGUCAGAGUCGUCGAGGCUCAGAAUAGUUCCAUGGCAUAUGAGUAUGGGUAGGGCACUGCUGUACUUGUCGAUCUGUGCUGCCCUAACUGGUCUGAUGGAGAAAUUCACAUUCCUUAGAAUUUCGAAUGUGCUGGGUCGCAGGGAAUCACACUUGAUCAAUUUCACUGGACUAGCAAUCCUCCUGUUUGGCAUCUUCGUCGAUCUCUCUGUCGCUCUUGCCCGUUAUGUGUGAUAUAUAGUUUCUUAAUUUAAGUCCAAUCCUUUUUUUUUUCAGCUGGUUUAUUCAGUUGAACACAUUGGGUUGGUGUUAUAUAUAAUGUUAAUUAUUUCCUAUGUAUAAUCCUUUUUUCUUUUGGUGUGAUUAAUUUGAGCGAAUUUAUGUAUUCGAGGGUUCAUGUGUAAGACCAAUAUAUUCAUUAUGAUAUGAAUUCAAUUAUUUUUCUAUUAAUGAUCAGAUAAUGUGUUGAUUCCUUAAUCGGUAUAAGUUUGUAAAUUGUAUCAGUCCCUAAUAUUUGGAAUCUUUUCUAACACAAUUUACUUAUAGAAUCACCUCCUAAUAGUUCGCAUCUUUAAUGAUGAUGUGACAUUAUUUUAUCGUACAAACAUCAUGAUCAGAAUUGUUCAUUUUCUUAAUCAUAUUCUAAAGAUAAUUUUUAUAAAAGUUUAUUCGACUUAGAGACUAUAUACUUAGAAAAUGUAUAUGCUUGAUUGGGGUGCUUUGUAAAUGUGAUUGACGACGAGUUAAUUUAGCCGUACGUGACACACAGAAACAGAAUGCAAAACAAACAUAUUCGAAGCUUUUGGCCUGGCCACCUAAAAAGAUCAGCCGGCUAGACGGUUUUCCAUAUUCCAAAUAUUGCUUGGCGGCAUCGAUCCUUCCAUAUUCCAAACAUUGUUUAGUUUGGGCAAAUAAAACUCUAAAUCUUUACAUUGAUUUCAUCCAAACUUCCAUGCUUUUCUCGUCGACACCGUUUCUCUUAUGAUUUAAAUACAGUCCUAGUAAAGCUUGUAGCUCUUGAGAGGAUUACACUCACACGUUACAACAAUGGCAACCAAGAGUCGUAGCUACCAAAUAUCAGCAAUCCCAGCUACAAUAUUUGGGCAUUUGCUAGCUAUAGCCAUAACAAUCCUGGUUCUUGUUUGGAUCCUAAAGUUCCGCGGUGGCUUCGCUCUCGAAACCCUCAUCAAAGAGAAAAUUAUAAAUGUACGUUACGUAAAUUUUUAAAUCUUGCAUACAUAUCAUAAGUGAAGUUUAUAUGAUCAUAUCCUUCAUCUCAUCAUAUUCUUCCUCUCAUCUUUCACAGGUUCAUACGUUUCUAAUGGUGGUUGGGUUUAUAUUGAUCGGUGGAGAAGGUAAUCAUAUUGGAGCUCACUAGGUCAAAAAAAUGUGUCUAUAACCUUGCUAGAACAAAUGUGCCCUCUUCACAGUUCAUAUUAGUUUAAAGUAGACUAUCGUUUAUAUAAAAAAAACAUUGCUAAAUAUCCCUAGAAUAUUAAGGACUGAUCUGAUGGGGUAGCAAUUUAUUGGUGCAGCAAUCAUGGCAUACAAGACAGUCCAAGGGGAAAGGAACACGCAAAAAGGGGCGCACCUGAUAUUGCAUCUUCUAGCUCUGGUGGCUAUAAUUUUUGGGUUUUACUGUGCCAUCAAGUUUGAUCACGAAUCCGGAGUUCAACAUUUUCUUACCUUACAUUCCUGGCUCGGCAUAAUCACCAUCUCGUUAUUUGGUCUUCAGGUAAUACUGACACCUUACGAUACUUAAAAUACGUCAACACCUUAUGGCGUCAUGUCACUUUUGCGGAGAAGCGCCUCUUAUUAACUAAAUGAUCAUACACUUAUAUUAAUGCUUGUUUUCCAGUACUUGUUUGGCUUCGUGCUGUAUGUGUUUCCGGGUGGCGACAAGUCGUCGAGGGGAAAUUUUAUGCCAUGGCACACAUUUUUCGGGAUGGUGGUAUUUCUGCUAGCAGUGUGCACGGCUGAGACAGGGUUGCUGGAGAGGUUCCUUUUCUUGGGCGUAAUAAAAAUGAAUGAACAAGUACUGAUAGUCAACUUCAUUGGCCUUUUGCUCUUUCUCUUUGCAGCCACCGUCAGCCUCACCGCCCUCCUCCCUGGGCCUUACUAAUUGAUCAUACCAAUUAUUCAUCUUUACCUGAGUAUUUUCUCUUGUCAAUAUGUUGUUUUGAGACGAAUUAGUUUUGUUGUGUUUUUUUUUAUACAACGUUAUAUUUACGCUAAGAAGUGGAAAAUAACAAUGAGUAGUAGUGUUAGGGCUCAUUGGAAAUGUUUUUAAAAUAAUUGAAAGCGCUUUCAGUUAUUUUAAAAGUACUUCUAAAUGAGCCCUUAAAUAUUAGUUCAUUACCACAUUCAUAAAAAUUUGUUGAGCCAUAUGGCUAGCCUAUUUGUAUACUUAAAUUAAUAAAGCAAUGCACAUUCAAGAAAGAUUAUUCUCAUCUUACUUUACAUCGUAAGUAGAUCAGUACCGUUUUACUUUUAGCAUAAGUUUCUCAUUCUUUUCGACAUGUGUAUAUGUUGUAUUUUGCAAAUCUACAAUCACAAAGUAAGAUGCUUUUAAUUUAAGUGAUUACCAAUAUUUGCUUUUAUAUUCGAGAUCUGUGUUUGAAUCUGCUUCCAAUAUAAAAGCAAAACCUGAAAUCACUAAGUAAUGAUGGUGUUUUUGAACCCACAACAUUAUUAGUUUUAACAAUGGUGGAAGUGGUGGCACCAAUGCAGUUUUUCUUGGUGCAAGCGGAGUUUGCAUACAGACUUUUUUUUCUCACCGUGUGAUUUGAUCAAGCGGCUGAAACUGAGUGAUUUGGUGACCGGUUUUGAUACAAAGUGGGAAGUUUUGUGUAAAAAAAAUAGGCGGUUGUGAUGCGAAAUAUGAUGUUUUGUGUAAAAAAAUAGCUGUGAUUCAGGUGUUUUUGAAUAAGACGGAGCAAAUCUUUGCAUUAGAAAAUAAAGGCUUUGUACAAUGCCUCACACUAGAAGAUACGUCCUUGCAUUGUUUAUAUAAGGUUGUGCACACAUAGGUGCUAUGUAAUGUGCCACCGUUGAGCGCUCAUGUGUGUGUGUAUAUAUAUAUAUAUUGUCGUUACGGAGAAAUUCUUAUGUUCACCAGAGGACAGCCUCAUUUGUACGGCCACACGUGGAAUUUUGUAAUGGACUACAAUGCAGAAGGUGGUCUUGCUUAAUUGUGUGUAUGAGCAUGCGAAAGACAAUCUUCCUCCAGACGGACACAAGAAUCUCUCGUUGCUAUGGCAAAGAGGGAGGUAGAGGGAGGCCUUGUGCAGCGUUGCUAUGCUCAACCACUGUUAUCCAGGAGAAUUUUUUUAGUGUGCGGGAAACACAGCCUGUACACUCCAUGUCAUAAACCAACUUGUAAUAUGACACUUGAUGUACCAAACUGCGUUCCUAGCACACUGGAAAAUCUCUCGAGGCAGAGCAUAUGCAGAUGGAAUGAUGCCAGCACUAGCUAUAUAAUCAAUUGAAGAAUAAGGUUCGAAUUCCACAAUGCGAGACAAUCUUUCACUUUGAUUAAAAUAACAAGCAGAAUCCAAAACUGAAUAACACUAAUCAAUAUACUUAACACAGUCAGCACCAUUGUUAAAAAAGAAUUAAAUAAAAGAACAGAAACUAGACCCUUUGCUGCUUUGUUGCUUCCAUUCUCUCCAACAAGCCAGCAAUCUCAGCUUGCAUUCUAGUUUUCAUGUUGUAGUAAUCGCAAUGUGAACUUUCCAAAAUUUUCAGCUCCUCCAGUUUCUUCCUUCGCUUUUCCUCCGUCUCUUUCAGACACAAUUUGGAAAACUUUCCGGCGUACUCUUCCUCCAGCUUCUCUGUCUUUGUCCGUAUCAUCUGAUGGUACCCUUCUGCCUCUCUCCGCGCUUCAUCAGCCUUGCUCUGGAACAUUCUAGCUUCCGCUUCCUUUAUCCUCACUACGCUUUCCAAGCUCUCAAACCCGUCUAUUUUUGGUAAUGUUCCAAACUGGAACUCAUCCUCAUUGCUUAUAUGGGACGAUUUGAGGGGGUUCUGACGGGUAUCAUUAGACAGCGAAUCACAUUGCAUACUAGAACUAGUGUUGUAAACAGCAUAUUUAGGAGGUACAGAAACAGAUUGUGAAAAAGGGGUCGAAUCUUUUCUCAGGCAGGCUUGAGAAGCAGCCAACUCUUUUGUGGAUAUGGUAGAAGCAGGAUAUUCUGACACUCCAUCUGUAUCUAUUUAAAAGGAAAAGCAAAUCCAGAUUUAGGCAUGAACAGAUACUGAAUAACACAUAUAUCUAAGUCGAGGAAGAAACAUUUAGAAUGAGUAUAUAAGCAAACAGUUCAACUCAAGCUGCAUCGAGGAGAUUCAAAUCAAAAGUGAAACCAGAAGGAAAGAAGAAAAUAGGCCAACACAACAAAAAAGUAAGCUGUAGAGAUUAAAAUGGUUUUUAACAGCCACAGGCAUAUGAUCCUCAUUGUAGCUAUGCAGACAGCCAGUCACAAGCCUCAAGUAAUCAACUCGGACAAGGCUCAAGUAAUCAACUCAGAGUAUUCUAUUUGACAUAGUUCAUAUUACGCUAGCCUCCAAUACGUGCAUAGAGUACCCAAUCAAGUUCCUUGAUUGGACUCGUACAAUAGACCUUCAGUGAUUGUUUUCUAAUUUGAUAAAGUAACAUUAUGCUACAGUAGUAUACGGCGAGCUGAAGAUUAUAUAGAAUUAUCAUCUCUAUGGUUUUAUAUUCAACAUGUGAAGAAAUAAAAGGUUGUGUGGUGUUUCUAAUACAAAGAUUGCUAGUUACGUUUUCUCCAAGACACUCUUUAUCAUCUACCUUAACAUUUCACUUUGGUACAUCAAUACAUUGCCCACAUUAAUGCCCAACAUUUGUCCCAUAAACAGUAGCUGACCAAAUGGCAAUUCGUCGAAUUUUUGUUUACAUCUAUUUAGUAUGCUUUUUGUCACAAUAGUUAUAAGUCAUUCUUAACAUGCAAGGAAUAAGCCACACUUAUGCAUAAGCAGUUCAUACUCCCCCACUGGACUAGCAGAAGACAAACAAUUUGAAAGUAACAGAAUCACAUACAAGUUGAAAUAGAAAACCGAAGAGGGUGACUUACAGUUAAAGAACUGAAUAAUGAAACUGCAGGCGUCUGAAGGAGACAUCAAUUGGCUUCCAAGCUUGGAGAUGAUCUCCUCAGCCUUAAUAUGCAGUUCCCGGCCUUUAAAAUCGUCGCUUCUCCUAAAAAUCUUCUUAACACAGUCAAGCUCCUUGAUAAGGGUCUCUAGUCCCCAGUCUUUUGCACAGCACAGAAACACAUCCUUGACAAAACCAAACAUUUCCGAAGCAUGGCCGCAUCCAAUGCAAUGAAAUUGCAUCUCAGUUGUCCCAGAGGGACCUUUCAAGCUAGGACCUGGUUUAAUGAGGUUCCUCUGAAUACCACAAGCAGCGUGACACCAAUGCGAACAAACAUCACAGCCAACCCAACCACAAGUAUUAUUGGCACAGUCGAAAUUCAAACACACAGGACACAUGCAGGAACUACAAAACCCCUUAUUUGCAGAGCAAAUUUUGCAGUCACAAUCAUCAACAGGCAAUAAGCUCUUGCAAUUCACAUUCUUACACCUCAUAAACGAGAAAAUCUCCACCAGCUCGGUUGCUGGAAGGCGGUUUUUCCCAGAUACAAAGUUCCCGAGUCCCAUUUUCACAGCAACCAACAUCUCCAAUUGAUCCUUCUGACAUUUAGAGAGAUUCUCCUUUGUAAGAUCAGACCUUCUCUGAAGCCGGUUUUGAAGGCUCACCAAUUCUUCCUUCUUCUCCGGCGUGGAUAUCAGAUUCUUCAAGUAUUCCUUAGUUGAUAAGAGCAUUUCCUCACGAAGCUCUUGAACUGUCUGAGCCAUGACAGUAACAGAUUCCGAAACAACUUCGUGAAGAAUUCUCUCCGGUCUAGAAAGUUUCCUGGCUCUCCCACCAACAUCCAUACUCUCCAAUCCUCUCAAACUUUCAGAACCUCUCCCUCUAGAAUCCCCAGAAAGGGUAUCGAUUGUCGGCUUAGCAGGCAAUUCAGAUGGAAAAAAGGAAAGGUUAUCAGAGCUAGUUGUCCUAUAAACACUGUUAUUAUUACAAGAAUCCUUACGAUUACUCUGCAUCAUUGACAAAAUCCCGCCGCCGUGAUUCGACAAACCAACUCCAUCUCCAAUCGGCUUAAACCUGCUAUGAACAGACCCAUUAGUCCCCUCCCCACAGUUAUAAAUUUGAUCAUCUUUCCCAACAGAAUAAUCGAAAUCCGUCGAAUUUCGGGUAAGCGAGCAACUGGGGUUGUGGGAAAAUGGGUGGGAGUAAGAGUACGACAAUGAAGCUGCUGUGAAAUCAUUGGAGCAGGUUGUCUGUGUGUUGUUAGCAGACGGCGCCAACGACUGUAUGCUUCUACUCGGCCGCAGCAUCGCCGGAGGAUCGCCAUUCUGCAAGGCGUUUGAGGCGGUGAGAGAGAGAGAUACCUCCGGCAAGGCUAGAGAGAGAUUCAAAGUCUCGAGCUUUGGCUUUUUGUCGUCCCUGCUUUCUCUCUCCGCCUCCUCCGCAAGCUCUCGCUUCGAGCAAUUCAACCUGGUUUCGUUCAAAUUAAGGAAAUCUCUCUCUACCCAUUUGUUAGAAUUCUCCGAAACCAUGGCUUCUUUACCUUUGAAACUCUCUUUCUCCAACGAAGUCAGCAAAUUUGCGCCGGCGAACUCCUUCUCGAGAAAACCCAGUUUGGAAUUGUCGCAGAGGUAGCUGAGAGUCAGCUCCUGGGAACUUAAAUUUCCAGUCUUUGAGGGUUUUGAUUGGAACCCAUCAGAACCCAUGUCUGAUUCUCUGAGAAAUCCGAACCCCUUUUCGGAGAAUCCCAUUUUCUCUUCUGGGUUGUGUUUAUUUUGCUUGGAGAUAUGGCGAGUGACCUUGCUCUGAGACGCCUCGUCGGCGGCAAGAUUCCCAUUCGCUCGAUCCAUGUCACCAAAUACGGCCUUAUUCACAGAGAGAGGGAGAGAGAGAGAGGACUUACCAGGUAAGAGAGAGAUAUAGGGAGGAAAGAGUGUCUGUGAAGACGAGAGGAAGUGAAAGAGAAACAGAGAGGAAAAGGUCUACAGGGGCUGUUUGGAAAUUAGUAAAGAAUCUGAGGGUGUGUUUGUCAACUGAUUCCUUCAGCCCACCAUUACUGAAAUCUCAGUAUCUGUAAAUCUGCAACGGGAGGAGCCCCAGCGGCUGGAUUUUUCAAGCGUUUACACCAGAAAACGGCGAUUCGUUUUUCUGGCUUUGAUCUGAAAUUACCGAACUGGCCAUCUGAAUUUGGUGGAAUUACUCUAUGCAAUGCUUUGAGUCAUCUUUUUCUUGGUAAAGACCUUGACUGGAGUCUAGGGGUGGUGCUGCUGGAAGGGGACGACUUUUUGUAUUUAUGGAGAAACAUAUGAAUUAACAUUUAAUUAGAGCAUAAUUAAAUCCUUAAAAAGGUGCUUAAUUGCUUUCAAUUAUGAGUCAAGGUUUAGCUAGUAUUUUCUAGUGUCGGAUAUUCAAACGGUACUCUAUAUGUUAUAAUAUAAGUAGAGAUAAUUUAUUUUUUAGUAUUUUUAUUCUUAUAUUAUGACACAUGGAGUACUCCUUGAAUACUAUACACUUUGAAAGUUUUAUCCUUUCCUUCCUGGUAAAGGGUUACAAGUUCAAGAAAUUUUCAUGUGUACUUGAAACUCUUGUCACGUAAAUGUUAUAAUGAAUUAAGGACAUUGUUAAUAAAUUUUACUUUUAAGAUAGUAUCACAGUUUAAUAAUAUUUUUCUUCGUUUAUAAAGUCAUGGCUCUCGUAAACGAUGAGUUAUAUACCCUCCAUUAUAUAAAUGUUGUUACAAAGUACACUGACAAGAUCAACUUACCUCAAUUGCCAUUUUUCAUCGAAGGGAAAGUGUGAAAUAAGGAAAAUGUCAUGGACUUUCUGAAAAUUAGGGGACAUGAAUAAUGUAGCUUAAUUGCUAUCUGAAUCCUGAGCUAAGAUAUUUUUGGUCAAAUGAAAUCAAGUUUAGCUGUCAUGGUUGAGAUUAAUAGAAAUUAGGUGCUUCAUUGUGUGUUAAUUAAUCUCAACUCAGUUGGAGAGCCACAUAUUCUAGUCACUAAUCAAGAAUAUGGCUUCCGUCAAAUCGGAAAACAACUUUGCUAAAAAAGAUUGCCAGAAUUAUUCUUUUGACUUGGAGAUGGAAUUAUAAAAUGUUUCACACAAUCGCAUGAAAUUUUGUAAGCAUAUCCUGAAGGUAGUCAACAACAUGAUUUUGGUAUAUUGGUGAACUUCUCGAAUUCAAAGAAUAUUAACCAAAGCACAUAAUCCAUUUUUUUAUAUGAAGGAACAAAGUAUUGUCCUUAAAGACUUCCAUUUUAUAUGACCCUCGAUUCUAAACUAAGUGACAUACGUUGAAGUUUUCUGUUUAAAGUGUUAUCUGAACUAUCUAUUAACAGAAUCAUCUUUGUGUAUGAAAACCAAUUAGCCUUUCAUUUGGAGGUAUAUUUUUGGCACAGUUGCAUCGCUUUUGUGGGCACUGAAUAUAGACACCUACAUUUAACACCCGUGCAUAAGAAAUGGUGUAUAUUGUGAUUUUUUUAAUUUUUUUAGUAGCGUCAACACAUGUUGGCAAUAAAAAACAAUAUUGUUGUAAUGAAUGUGAUAUAUUAAUCGGGAUCACUUUCGUAAAUAUCAUAUCGUCUUUAAAAAGAAUAACCAAUAUACAUACUAGUGUAAAAAAGGUCGUACCCAGUGCACAAGGCUCCCGCUUUACGCAGGGUCUGGGAGAGGUGAAUGUCGGCUAACCUUACCCCCAUUUAUGGAGAGGUUGCUCCCAAGUCUCGAACCCGAGACCUACCGCUCAUGGACGAAUGCACUUGCCAUCGCACCAAGUGCGACCUCUAGUAUACAUACUAGUGUAUCGUAGUUUAAUGCCAAAAAUACGAGUUGAAUUAGCAGAAACUUCACCGAUAAAAAGUUUUCAAUUUGUUUAGUAGCUACUAGCAAGCUGGCAUGAGAAACCCAAACAGUCUAGUACUCUAGUGUCGAAGGAGUUAAGAAUCUCUUCGGAUCAUUGUCCUGAGUCUAAUGAUCAAGAAAUUUGGACCACUCAAAUUAAAUUUUGCGGUUGCCAUUAACCAAUUUCAUUAGUCCACCUCACAUAAAAUAAGAGUCCGAAUCCCUCUCUUUUAAACGGUCCGAAUUUCUUGAUCUUAAGCUCCGGACUGUGAGAUCCGGAUUGGAUCCCAACUCGUGCAAUCUAAUACUGAAGUGCUCAUUAUCCAUAUAUAUAUAUAUAUAUUUUUUUUUCAGGUUUAGAGUUAUGAAAAUGAUGAAAAGUUUUAGUUUAUUUGAAUUGAAUAUGUGCAAGAAAAAUUGACGUUUUGUUCAUUUUAAACGUUGCUGUUUCUGCAGUUGCUGUUAUGCAGUUGACAGUUUAUUGCGGUCUACCAACAACAUCAUGUGCAUGCCGUGUCCAAGAGGCAACAAAGUUAGACUAGGUCGAUCCGUUGACGCAGUCGACCAUUCUCCUCUUGCUAAUCCAACAUAUAUAAUGGAUUUGGUCAUCUACUGUUCUUUUACCUUUUUUUUGUGUGUGGAAACACUGUUCUUUUACUUUUGACAGCAACAUAUACUGUUUUUGUAGGAUUAUAUUCGAACCGUAUUAUUCACCAGACACAUUGUUCAAUGAUAAAUGAUUAAUCAGAUGUUUUUUCUUAUUUUUUGCAUGAGUUUGUUGACGUAAGUUCCUAGGGAGAGGGUGGGAGGGAUUCAAAAAAUCAAGUGUGCGCUUUAACAAUUACUUGAUGAUUACGAUUGCCACGCAGAAAAGUGAUUAAUAAAUAUUAAGGACGGGCAAGACAUGAUUAAUUAACUGUUAAUUGUAGGACAUGAAUACAUCACCUUAGUACUCAUUCAUUGUUCGCAAAGAGAGUCAUGAUAUCUUAAUUAAUUAAUUAAUCAUAAAGGCCAUGGGAAUCUUACAGCAAGUAGCGGUUUGGUUAUUUUGGUAAUUAGCGGUGUAAACUAUGUAAAGUGGGUUGCUUUUAACCUAGACACGAAAACGACGUCGAACAGGUAAAACGCGUCCAGCAAUCCCAUUAUCUCAUGUCUAGCCAUUAACUUUGAAUGAAAUGAUUAUAACUUUGUUUUUUUAAAGAAAAUAAAUAUUAAACUUGAGGAGGAACUUGUAGCUUAAGUAGCUAACUAUUUUUAUCUUGACAUGUAUUCGAGGCAUUGUUUCGUUUUUGCCAUUCUUAAUAUCCUCUCUCUCUCUCUCUCUCUCUCUCUCUCUCUCUAUGUAUAUAUAAUAUUUAAACAUUAAUUCUCGUAAUUAAUUAACUACAGAAUUUUCAUAUUUUGUCGCUCCAAAAAUAACAUAAUUUUCCAUGCUAUUUUGAAAUAUGAGAUAUUCUAGAUAUUUUAACUGUUAACUUUUUAUAUAAAAAUACAAAAACGAAUGAUCAAAAUACAUAUAAUAUCUUAUACACCGAAUCACCCUAAAUUUUUUUGAAAAGCAAAUGUCCAUAUUGUGCAAUCUGAAAGAAAGUAAAUGGUUUGACCCUAAAUAAAAGUGAGUGAAAGAGUACUGGAAGGAAGGAUACGUUAUAUUGUUUGUUUGGCCAAGUUGCAUGCAUGAGGGAGGGAGGGAGGGAGUCAACACGGUAUUGACGUGUGCGGCUGCGGCUUCCUAAACCCUUUCGUAGUCUGUUUUUAUUUUGUCCAAAAACAAGAAUCAUUUGACAUUAACAUUCACUUCACACCUUAUAUCCAAAAUUUAAUAUUGGAUCAAUCACUUAGUAUUAUGUUGUAGUGAUAUUUUUUUUAUUUGUAAGUAAAAAAUCUUAUGUUCAAUUUUCGUCAAAAAUAAAUUUGAACCCCCUUAUUGAUAUCUCAUUGUGAGAUUUAGCUCACUCCUGAACCUUAUAGUGCAUGUAAUAUCAUUUGUUAAAAAAAAUGGAAUAUUGCAAAGAUUGAACGUUGAAAUUAAGAUUAAAAAGCGUAGCUCUUGGGGUCAUUUGAACCCGAUGACCCCACCUUAUCUCCACCAUUGGGAACAAUUCAACGAAAACUUAAUUUCUUGUCAAAUUAUAUUGAGCCUUGCAUGAGACUUAUAGCUCAAAUUGUCAAGAGCAUUUACCUAUGCACCUGAGGGGUCAUUGAUCCCUCUUAUAAUAAUUUAAGUGAACAAAAAGAAGAACAACAUCCUUAAUUAUGAAGUUAAGAAACAAAUACAGCCUUAAAACAAUUUAGAAAUAUCUGCAGCCGUUAUAAAUGGCAUAUCUCACUGUACAAAGUUAAUAUUAACACUAUUCGAUCAUGCUGCUUAAUUAAUAGGAAACAUAUCUAAUUAAACAGAAGUAACAAAAAUCUCAAAGCUUUAGAGAAAGAUCGGGUGAAGACGAACUUGUACUAUUUCUUGGUUCCAUGCUUGUUCCUGUAUUCAUAUUUGGAUUUUGGGCUAAUUGAUGACCUCCAGCUCCCUCACCCACCUGUCGGAAACUCCCGGGCCAAAACAUGCCCACAUCAUCCUCGUCCAUAAACAUCGGCACUCCAAAAUAGCCCUGACGAAACCUUGCUACGCCUCUUGUGUCGGGGACAAGGAACCUCUGAUGAUCUGAUGUUAUCAUAGUGUUUUGGUGCACUGCAGAAUGAGCUUGGAUACCAAGAGACCGGAACGCUGAAGGCGCAGAACGAUGUAAGGGGAGAGAUGCCAAGCUAGUAUACCUAUCGGGAAACAUUCCCAUACGCAUAGCACGCUUGGCCAUUGUCCUCUCCCUCUUAUGAGCAUUCUGAUGGCCACCGAGUGCCUGUGAGCUAUAGAACUUACGCUUACAGUAGUUGCAUGAGAAUACCCUUGGGAUUGUUCCUUCUGAAGUAGGGGGUGCAGCUGCUUCACUGCUAGUCUCCCCCGUGCCCUUCAAUUCAGUGUCGCCUGAGCUAAACUGGAGUGUCAAGUGAAGGGAAACAGGCCGGGGAUCUUGUUGUUGAUGCUUCUGAUUUGUGAGGCACGAAGAAGUGGUUGUGCUGUCCUUAGAGGGGUCAGGAGAUUCUUCUUGCAGAGGUAUGCUCGAAUAAGUUACUUGGCUCGUGACUUCUGAAUCAUUUUCAAAUUCCAAGUUCAAGUUUUGUGUUAACAUGUUUCGGCAGGACAAUGAAGUCAAGGACUUCGUUUCUUCUAUAUGAGCGUAAUCACACGAAGAGUUCAAUAAACUUUCUUAGAGUGUCGUUGUUAGCUUGCCCUUCACCUGCAAUCAUGAAUGCCAAAAUGAGUCAUCUUCCAUGACAAGGUGGGAUUCUUUCUUCUCCUCCAUUUCAUAGCAACAGAAUUUGAAAAGGAGGAUCAAUGAUGGUGGAAAUUGAGUACUCGAGCAGGAUGCAUGUCAAAACACAAAAGAAAACAUUUCAUGUCAUCUAAUAAAGACCAAUUAAUCGAUCAUCAACUUAAUUAUCACAGUCUUGAUAACAUUUUAACAUACAAAACACAUUCCAUGCGAUCUGCAACUAGGAAAUUAGAUAGUUGAACAAUUUCGCAUAAAAAAUAUGAUCGACAAUGUUCCAUUGGCAUACUACAUAACCGAAACUCAUAAAACGAUUUUAUCCAACACAGUACACAACUUCCUAGUUCCUAUAGAAUAUGGGGUUUUGCAAGCUCUGAACGUAUGAACAUUCUCUAAAAGUAAUAUAUUAUGACUUGGAAGCUGAUACGUGGUUUUGGAAACUGAACGGAGCUUGGAAGGCAUUGGGAUUCAAACGCACAAGGUGUCCAAGAACAUAUUGUGCUCUGGGGUGCCUUUGUGUCUCUUUGGUCAAAAGAGGAUAUCCGUCCUCUACAAGGCGGGGGAAUCAUCAGUUAUCUCUAAGUACUCCGAAGCUAUAGUGAGGAAUCAGUAAACCAACGGCUAUUAGUUAUCUCUAAGUGGCAUUUAAAUGGAAAGACGAAACAACCAUCCACCAAGUAUUGAAGACGAGAGGUUACAGUAAUUGGAGAACAUGAUGAAAUCCUAAACCUCCAGGAGCAUCACUAAGAACGGAAGACGAAAGUCAACAAAUUAGGAAAUCGAUAUGCUCAUAUAUACUUCAACAAGUUACCUUAAAACACUAAGCAUGAACAAACUAACAACGCAAUCGCUGUUGUUCCGUGUGAUUAUAAGAGAUAAUCACAUCAUUGGAGUAUAACAUGCGUGGACAUACAUUACAAAUUUUAAGGUAGUUUUCGCAUACCAGUACUCUUAAAACUGCAGAAUACCAAGUGCAAUUUAACAUCAAAAGCCCCGAUCGGGGAGAAAUCCAUACUUUAUAUGUUGUCAAUAAUACAUAAUUCAUCAACAUGACAAUACCAGUUAGCGUAUUUGAAUUUUGUUAUCAUACUGGAGCUUGCUUUUCACCUUUCACCUUUCACUUUUGGUAAUCUACCACAACCGGUUAAGUUUCCUGUAAUAAUAUAUGCAUCCAAACCAAAAGGUCCAACUUCAGAAAAAAACAUAAUCCUUUCUUUGUUUUGGGGAAGAAAGAAAAGCCACCAGGAAAAUCACACUACAAAGAAAACCAGAAAGCAUGGACUGGAUGGAUACAUACAAAAAAAUAUAUGAGAAGCACAAAAUCAACCAGAACUCACCAGGUAUGUACAAUUGAAUACCAACGUGAAAUUGGAGACGUGGGGUUAGGCCGGUGUGCUUCCCCUUACACCAAGUUCGAAUCGCGCUCGUAGAUCAGACUAGUUUAAAAUCUUGUGAAGAACAAUACCAACAAAACUAGAAAUUUAGAAAAGAUAGCACGUAGUAUGUUGAAUUGCAGUGAUUAAACAGUCGAAAACCAAUAAAAAGAAAUCGGAUUAAAUUAUGAGCAGCAAGCAACCUAGGACUACAGUGACAGCAUUCAAAAGCACACAAAAGCUGCUAUCAAAAUCAAAUCUAGAGAGAGAGAGAGAGAGUUGAAACCUGUAUAGUAUUGAAGGUGCAGGCAGGCAGGCUAGCUAUCAGCUAUGGAUUAGGGACAUGGGUGCUGCCUGUGCGUUCAAGUCACUUGGGAAAGUGCAAGCAAAGUACCACCAACACCACCACAAAGAAAUGACUAAAAACUGGCAUCUGGGUUUUUUUAUUGUGUAUAUUUUGACUUUUACCAGAAAAGUAGUGGGCAAAAGAAAUUAAAGGAGAAAUAAAUGAGGAUAAGAUGAGGGAAGGAAGAGAAAGACAGAUGCAAAGAAAAGUUGUACUGUUAAGGAAAAGAAGGAGUGCCGGAUCUUUUUCGAAGAUUUCAGGAAUUCGUGAUUUGUGUCUAUUUAUCGUAUAUCAUAUGAUUAUAAAUUAUUUUAAAUUUAAAAAUAAACCUAAACAAUACUAGGCAAAACAAAUUGUACAGUGCACGAUUAACGAAUUUUUAAAAUCAUCACCAACUGUGGUUACUGUUGGGAAAAGAAGGGCUGUGGUUACUGUUGUAGGAGAGAGAGAGAGAGAGAGAGAUGGGGACGAUGAUGGUGUCAAGUCAGACAAUUUAGUGUGUGAUAAUUCAGAUAAUAUAUUAUUAAUCACUCUCAUUUUUGUUGAAUUUUGAGAUGCUCUUCCUUAACCAAUGAGAUGAGAUGAGAGAGAAAGACAGAGAGGAGGGAGAGAGAGAGAGAAGCAAACAAAGAGACAGAGAGAGCAAAGGGGUACUUCAAGUAUAAAAGAUACUCGCAAAGACCAGUGUCUCUUUGCUCUUUCUUUUCUUUCACUUUUAAAUCAAGGAAAAUACUAAGGAGGUAAGAUUUUCUAUAAACUUAUUAUUCGAUGCUUCAUGUUUUUGCACAAUUUUUCUAUUAAUGUUAUAAAAUUUUAGGUAAAAAAUAUAAAAUGACGAAAAAUUCAUAAAGAAUUUCUCUUUAAAAAAGUCUUCUUAACAUUUCUUUUCAAACAAAGAAGGCACAUGGUUAUAAGUUCAUAUCAUAGGCCCAUACAUGGAUAUUUCUUAUUUUUAUCCCAUUUGCAUCUUAUUUUAUUUAAUUUUUUAUUUAUCAUUUUAUAAAUACAUGUGCUUACCUUAAAUGUGGGUCCACAAAUUUCUUGCAAGAUCUCAUCUUGAUUUGUGAAAUGACCGAACUAGAUCGCAAAAAUGAUAAAAAAAAAAAGGCGAUGUCUUUCUUGUAAUUCGAUAACGACAUUCCCCUUGUCAAGGGAUAGAUUUUUCAGUUUAAUCGAAAUACAGAGUGAUAUAUCACGUAUCAUUAUAUAAAUAAUAAGAUACGCGUGUUAAAAGAUUAAUAAUUUAAAAAAUAAAAUUUAUCAUCAUUUAUAUAAAAACACAUGAUGUAUCACUUAUGUUCUAAUCACAAUAAAAAAAUUCUCUAGUCAGGGUAGUAAGCUUUAAAUUAAUCAAAUUUUCAUCCCUGCUCAUUAUUUCAUAAUUAUUUAUUAUGUAUCAUUCCGUGUUUCGAUCACAUUAAAAAAUCUCUCUACGCCCUGGUGACCAUCCCUUUCACCAACUCCAAAACCUAUUUAAUUUUAAAAGUACCAAAUAAUAAAGAAAUGGCCGACCACUAGAACGUGGCGCUGACAUGUGUAAUCCACGAUAAGAAAAGUAGUAAUCUCCACUUCCUUUAGAGAAAUUUUUUAAUAUUCCAAAAUACAUUCUUAUAUAACAAGUGUGUAAUACAAGUUGUUAAAGUUUUUUUAUUCAAUUACUUGUAUUAUUUUGAUAAAAAAAAAAUACUUGUAUUAUAACACUGAGUGUAGCGGCCGUGUUCACACAAAAUAUCUCCUCCUCAGGCUGGGGGUAGAAACUAGAAAGAGCACUGAGCACCAUAAUUUAAAUAUAAUAAUUGUGAGAUUAAAGCAUGUUACUGUUUGUUUAGUGUGUGAUUUCGAUUUGUAUUAUUUUUUUAAUAUGCUUCGAGCUCUUACCCAUUAUUCUAAUAUCUGCUUCCUGUUUGUUUUAUACUUUUAUAUUCUAUGAUUAACAAUUUAACACAUGGGUUUUUGGCAAAACAAAACGUCACUCAAAAUUCUGGCCUAGGAAGAAAAAAGCACUUUGGGCUUUUACAAAAAGAACUUUAUCCCUGGGCUCAAAAUUCAGGUGACAGAAACUAAGGCUAAGUCUCAUGUACAUUAUGGGUUUGCAAAAAGAAAAAUGUUUGGUUGGAUAAGACUAUCUUCAAGAUUACAAUGUUGGGCUAGCGGCUCAAUACUAUGCUAAUUUAACCACUUACAUGGUCUGAAAAAAAUGUAGAUUUUAUCAUAAAAUUUUUACGUGCAAUUAGUAGUAGAACCAUUCAAAUAUAAGUAAUUUUAUUCUAUCAACUUUUUAUGUGCAAUUGCAUGCUUCAACAAACAUGAAGACUAACAUGCCAUUGACGAGCUACAUGUAAUGGUCGACAAACUUCAUCAGGGUAUCCUACUAAUGUGGCACUUAUGUUAGGAAUGAUCAACGUGAGCUAAGUGAGAUCAAAAUACAGAAAAAUAUUAUAUUUUUACUAAAAAUGCUCUACAAGUGGCGUAGCAAAUAUUUUCGACCUGAUAACUCUUUAGACCAGCGUGAAGCAAGUGAGAGCACGAUACAUUCAAACCUUUGUCUAUGAGGGCCGUGUAUGGUGUUCCUAUCCCAAGUUUUAUGUGUUCCUACCCCAAGUUUUAGAGAACUUUAACGAAAAGUUUUCGGUACUGUUCAUUUUAACGAAAAAUCAUAUUUUUACAUUAAAAAGUCAAUCACGAGACUAUUUACUUUACCCUUUAUUUUGUCCCUUACCAUUAAAACUCAAAAUUUUUAAAUCUUUUUCAUUAAUUUUCUUCAAGUUUUACUCAUACGGUGAGUGGAAUAUUUAGUCAUGAGUUUUAUCAUCAAACUUUUGGGUACUGUGAGUAGUGACGGAGCAAAGUACACAACAGAACACUGCAAUUCUGAAAUCUCAAAAUGCACUAAUUGCAAAUCGCCUGGUCAAGGUCACCCGUCGCCUGCCAUCCCCACAUCCACAUGCAUAUGAAGCAAAGCAGGAAAAUGGCAGAGAUGACAAACUUAAAAGCCACGGCUGACGCAUUCACCUCCGUCUAUUUCGGUGCAAGGGAUAUGUUAUCCACACAAUCCUAUUUAUUUCUCAUAUAUUCUUUAUUAAUUUAUAUUAUAUUAUUUGAUAUUCUUCAAUUUAUUCAAUCCAAUAAUCAAAAUUUUAAAGUUUUUUUUAUUAAUUUUCCUCAUAUUUUACUCAUACGGUGAGUGGAAUAUUUAGUCAUGAGUUUUAUCAUUCAAACUUUCGGGUACCAGUGAGUAGUGAUGGAGCAAAGUACACAACAGAACGCUGCAAUUCUGAAAUCUCCAAAUGCACUAAUUACAAAUCGCCUGGUCAAGGUCAAGCCACCCGUCACCUGCCAUCCCCACAUCCACAUGCAUACGAAGCAAAGCAGGAAAAUGGCAGAGAUGACAAACUUAAAAGCCACGGCUGACGCAUUCACCUCCGUCCAUUUCAGAGGAAUGGAUGAGCUAUCUACACAAUCUUAUUUAUUUUUUAUACAUUUUUUGUUAAUUUAUAUUAUUUAAUAUUCUUCAAUUUAUUUUAUCCGAUAAUUAAAAAUUAAAAAAAUAAUAUUAGAAGUAAAAAGGGAUGUAGACAGAUAUCACAUCCAUGUAAACGAAACCACCAAGAGUUACAGUAAUGAUCCACAAAGAGUGUGUUAAGAAAUACUAAAGAGAUUCUUUUAAAAAUUAGACUUUUUAUAAAUUUUCUACCACCUUACAGUUUAACAUUAAUUUUUACUCUAGCAUUAUAAAAUAUUAAAUUAAAAAUAUGAAAUGAGAAAAAGUAUAUGAAAAGUCUUAUUUCGAGAGAGUCUAAUUAAUGCUUCUCCUGUAUUUUCAGAAAUGUGGUGAACCUCCUUCGUGCAAGUUCUUAUCUUGUGGCCAUGACUUGCACUGCAGUCUACAAUACUGUUUCUGGUCAAAUACUGCACGCAACCCACUGACUUACAGGCCGAAUAUUGCAAAUCGUGACUCUAAAAUAUACAAGUUCAGCUAUGUCAUCUAAUUAAUCACUAAUUUAACAAGCCAACAUUAAUUUCAAGCCCAACCAACAUGGCAAAGAUGUGAAAAAGAACGUAAAUUUAAAGCCAUAUUUACAUAUUCCGGUGCGAAUAAAUUUACAUCCCAUAAUUAAAAAAAUAAAAAAUAAAUAAAUAUAAAUGCUCAUUUCAAGGCAUUUUGCAUGCCCUUGUACAGGCCAAGAAGUUUCUAUUUAGCCCUACCACUAAUUAUCACUUGAUCUUAAUUACGAAAGAAAUAUAUCUUCAAAUAUGACAUAAUCAAUCUUAUCGUUCACUUAUAAUAUAACACAUGUUGUACAGUUAUACCAUUAUGUAUUUCGGAUACACAAAUAUUUCUCAUCAUGUAUCUCAGCUAGUUUCUUGGACAUAUUCUUACAAUCUCACAAGAAUGCCAAUUAAUUAAUUUGGUUACUUAAUGACUUUGAUUUUCUUGCUUUGACCAGCUAUAUGCUUUUGCCCCACUAAGUAAUGGGGUAUCUUCUUGUCUCAAUACUAAUCAUUUUUAUCUUGCUUUGGCAGUUGACUAUGAGAUUUGCUACGUUAAUAUUCCUAAUCUUUUCAUCUAGAAUCUCUUAUCUCGUUAUUAUUCUAAGAUCAUAAACAAUAAGAUAAAAUUAAUUAACAGUGUACCACAAUUAAUUAUCAUUUUGAGCCGGAAUAGUUAUUUAACACUUUAGCAUUUGAGGUAAACAUUUUCAUUCAAAUUUAAUAAAAUUUCUCAUCUUUUGACACAUUUUUUAAAUAGAACACCUUACUGUACUAGGUAUAAAACGCCAAUAAUGAUUGGUUGAUUUGGUAAUGAUUGUUCUCUUUGGUAGACCAAGAUCUAGGUUCAAGUUCUGCUGCUGAUAAUCUCUCUUGGUGAGUGAUUUGUAAACACAAAAAAAGAGGUUAAACCCCCCUCUAUAAGCCCUCAAAGAAACUUAGGUAUGCUCGUCUAAAAAUUGAGUAGCCUCCCCCCCCCUAAGCUUUUUGUAAUAAAAAAAAAUGAUAACGUCCGAGAUCGAUAAAGUGAUUGAAUUGCAUAUGGGGAAUAUCUAUAUAUCACUAGCUACAAAAACUGUUCAGAAAUGUGGGAACAAUUUGCAUUUCAAUUAUAUAACAAGCUAACAACUGUGACAUCUUCUACAAAAAUAAAAAAUAAAAAGCUAAUUUACUUGGACAAAACUGAGUUUAUCUGGAGUUAGAUGCAUGCAUAAUAAACACACAGUUGCAGUAGUAGUAGUAGUAUCAUUGCACAUGCAAAUCCGGGGUUUAAGGAUUUAAAUAUGGGACACUUUGGAUGCGGUCCUUAGCUAUCAAUAUUCUUUGAUUGAAACCUUGUUAGUUUUUAGUUUUUGAUUGAGGUCCCUGACAUUAAUGUAAUAAUGUAAGUUACUAUAUUUUUAAAAUUAAAAAUUAAAAAUUGAAAUUUGUAAUUGUUUAUAUUAAUGAGAUUUUAAAUAAAACCCAUAAUUUAUGGGAUUAAAAAUAAUAAAAUAUAAAUUAUACUCUCUAUUAUAUUGUUGUGUGUGUGUGUGUACAUAUAUGUAUGGGUACAUUAACCAAAAUUAACAAAAAAAGUUAUUGUACCAAAACAUGGAUACAUUCUCAAAUCAACGAAAAAGAAUGUACCCAUAUAAGUUUAAACAUGGAUUAAAAAAUUUGAAAGGAUUUUAUAUUAAAAAAGGGUACAUUUUACAUAUAACAAAUUUUUGAUAUAUUUGAGAAUGGGUACAUUUAAGAUUAAAAAAAUUUAAAAAUUAUAUGAAUGGGUACAUUUAAGAUUAAAAAAUUGAGAAUCUUUUUAUAUAUAAAAAAAACUAAUAGGUACAAACUUAAUUUAAUUUAAUUUUUUUAUUAUUUUAGAAAUGUUUGAAUUGAAAAUUAAUUAGAAGUUUAAUAGAGGUGUGAGUAUUAAACCCUAAAUUAAUUACUAAUUUUUAUAUUAAAAAAUUAUAUAAUAAACAUGUAAAUUCAUUAUCACAUUAAUGCUAGGGACUUGAAUCAAAAUUUGAAAACUAAUAAGGUCUUAGUCAAUGAACAGUAAGAACUAGGGACCGGAUACUAAUUUUUCCUUUAAAUAUAUUGGUGUGCAGGAGUCGCAAAUGCAAUGAACCUUUGAAGCACUAAAUCUUUGCCAGAUUUUGUGCAGCGCCCAUCAGUAUUAACAUUUAGAAAUCAUUUCUAUUUAAAUUGAAAAAUUAGCUAGGGAAAUCAAGCGAAUAUUGUUAUACUAAAUCAAUAUCGAAGUCCCUAUAAAUAUGUUAUUGGAAAUUUGAGUAGUUUGAGUAGAAAUUUCUUUGUCCCACAUUGGUUAUUUCCAAAAGAUUUUAUCACUUUAUACGGCUUUGUCCUUUAUAAAAAGUGAUUGGAGUAAUAGGUCUGGAGAAUAAAAUUUGGAUCACCCUUGGGAUUGAGCUUUGGGGUGCAAUAAUUAAUUGGUAAUUAAUUAUAAUUAAAAAAUAUAUAUAAUUAAUAUGGGCUCUUGGGCUCGAGCUCUAAUAAUUAAAUUAUUUAAUUAAUUAUUUUUGGAUUUAAUUAAUUAUUUUUAAUUAAUUAUGAAUUUAAUUAAUUUUUAAUUUUUUACCAACAGACUCAUCCUUUCAGAUGAAGUCUGAAGAGUUCAGAAAGAACACAGACCAAAGCACCCAUCUAACAGGCAUCCUUCUUUUACAAUCACAAACAUCAUUUUUGAGAGAACCACACAGAAAUUCGCCAGAAGUUAAGUUUUCCGGUGCUGAAAUUCUAACUUGAUCGUUGAAUCUUGGUGAAGCAGACGUCGGUAGAACUACAAGCACUGAGUAGGGACGAAAUUUUAUGUUUCAAGGACAUUACGGUACGCAAGCCUCGAUCUUCAAUUUUUCUGUUUAAAUUUAUUUCGUUGUUCAUACUAUGUUCAAUAAUUUAUAUAUUCGCAUUUAUUGUUUAUUAGCAUAUAUAUAAUUAAAUCACAGAUUGUUGACAUAUAACCAACAUAUGUAUCAUCCUUGCACAAUCAGCAAAAUCAUUCAGACGCUCAAGGCUACCUACAAUUCACAAAAUUAAAUUUUAUUUGCGAAAAAUGAUUUAGAAGUAAGUUUAACUAGUUUACUUGCAUAUACAAUUCCUUUUUUCUUAACUUUCUUGGUCAUCCUAGCAAAUCAUGGGCAAUAUGAAACAUGGAUUUUCACUUGGUUGAAAAAUACAAAGAUCAAGAUCUAACGGUUAAAACACUCGAAUCUCAUACUCUUUAACUUUUUAUACGAAACAUAAUGCAUCUGGUAGGCUUGUAGCUAGCUAGCUGGGGACCUGAAAUGAAAGCAUCAAAUGGCUCAGUGAAACCAAAUUCAGGGCACCACGUACAACAAGACAUGCAGAAGGCAGAAGUAGUACUCCACUACUGCGUACGGUACCAGUACUUGUUAGUGCUAGCUGCAGCAUGCAAGCCAUGGCAUGGGACUCGAGUCCCAUUGGGAUACAAAUGCAAAUGGAAAUGAGAUGCUUUUAUCAGGUCGAUUAUCUACCUAGAUCGAGAAUCAGGCGAGGUAGAUGGAUAGAGCCUAGAGAGAGAGGAAAGCCAAGAAAAAGGAGCACUCAGAGUCCACCAUAAAGAAGAAGAAGCACCUGGACAGGACUGGACUGGCCUGGCCUUGGGAGGGUGAGGGACGGGGAUGGCAUGGCAUGCAUGGCAUUGGCAGGACUCAGGAGUGGGGAGGGAGGGACACGAUAUGAUUAUUUAGUUGAACAAAGAAAGAAGGAAAAUUAGAAUGUUUUGUUUGGGAUAGAAAGUGAUGGGUAUGGGCUUCACCUUCACCACCAGACCACAUGACAUGGCCGACAUACACACACACUAUGAGUGGCAGAAAAAUAUAGAUAGAUGAUGGCCUCAAAGUACAAGCGAGCACAUGUAUCGUGACGUUUUAUGUUAAUAAUUUAUAAAUUUUAUUUUAAUUAUUAUUAUAUUACAAGUAUGAGACGUUACAACGACAAUACAUUCAUGUUAUGAAUGUUACUUUCAACUCUAAAGCCUUUAUUAACUUACUUAACUAUAUUUUUCACACAUUAUUAACAUUAUUUGUAAAUAAGAAGUCUCAAAUUUAACUGAGUUUCACACUUAAUAGUAAUAGCCAUUGACGAUUGCUAGAGGACAAAGCAAGCCACCACCUCUCGUCUUAAAAUAUUUCAAACAUAGAAUAUAAGUGUAUAUGAAAAGGGUCCCCAUGCAAUCUUCCCCUUAUUCCAUCAAAAGAUAUCCCUUUUUAAACAAACCAGCAUCGACAAAGUACUAUUUCAAUCAGAAACGUGUGUUUUUAUUUUCCAAAAACAAUUCUCAUAUCAAUUAACAACUUAAUCUAGUAACAAAACAUUCAUCUCCAAAACUUACAAAUUUUUUUUUACUUCCAAAACUUACAAUUAUGAUCUUGAAGAAAACUAUGACUUGAGAAAAUAAAAUAUUAUUUAAAAAUAUAAAUUUAGAAAAAUUAUUUUUAAAACUCCAAAAAAUCACCUUGCACUUUUUUUUUUUUUUAAUUUUAUUGUAUACUUUUUGUUUGAAUAGAAAAUUUUAUAAUAUAUUAGACAAUAUAAAACAAGUUGAAUUUAGAAACGGUUAGAGCAUCUCCAACAACCUAGCGAAAUGAGGUUGGUUGGCUAAUUUAACAAAAAAAUGUAGCAAAAUCAAAAUUCAACACUCUAGCUAAAUGACUAGCUAUCGUAACUUUACGAACAAAAACAGGAUGUUGCCAAUUUGCCAUCCUCCGUGAGGGGACCGUAAUGAAUUAACCUUGAAAGUGGUGGAUAGCUAAAUUAACAAUUGAAUCAAUUAGCUAAAUUAACAUUUGAAUUAUUUAGCGAGUAUUGUUGGAGGUGCUCUAACGGGAUGGAUGCUCAUAUUCUCUCGUACCCGCCGGCCAAAUUUACUAUCCAAACCAAAUCUGCCUCAAACCGGUGGGGUAUUUUCGGAAUUCAGUCUAGAAGUUCGGGGUUUUAUGUAAUUUAGAGGGAAUGAGAUCCGGGGCUUGCCGCCAUGUCAUUUUCCCAAAGAUUUGUGAUUGCGAUUUUUCGACUUCCAUCCUCUCAGAGGCAGAUUAUCUGUCCUCUCAUUUUCUGUGUCUUCCUGUGCUAUUUUAUUUGUGUGAUCACUGUUAAGUGGCGUAAAUAUUUUAUAUUACUAUUUUAUUUUUGUCUUAUUAUUUUUAUAAAUAAAUAUAUAUAAAAUAUUAACGUGGUUUAACUGUGAUCACACAAGACAAGACAGGAAGGCACAAAGACACAGGAAGUGGCAAGGGCAGAGAAUCUGCCUCCCAUCGGCCCAAUUGGUUGGAUUAAUUCCAAAACACAUCGCACACGUCUGGAAAGAAUAACAAAACUGACCAAGCUGAAGAAAAUUAUGACUGAUUUAAUUGAAAAGGGAAAACAUAACUCGGGUAAUGAUUUUUGUGUAUUUCUUUCGUGAUCAGCAUCUCCGUUUAUUUCCAUCAUCUGAUUUUUUUUUAAUUUAUUCAAUUUAAAUGUUAAAAAUAAACAAUAUUACGGGCAAGUAAAUAAAUAAAAAAGACUGUGGAAAUCACUCUUUGAGAAACACAUCUAGUAGUAAUUAAGAUGUCCAAAUAUUUAUAGGACGAUUUAAAACUAACACAAGAAAUUAAAAGAAAACUAGAAAAGGCAGGCAUCAUAUCAGAUUGGUUCUGAUGUUUAAAUGGGCAAUUAUGCUUCCUUUGAGAGAGCACCAAAUAAAAGGUAAAACGCAUUUGGGGUGUUUCCUUUCUAAAGGGUCAGGAUCAUCAGACCCCUGAUAAUUUUUCAGUUGAAUUCAAACUUUUCAAAAAAAAUUAGCAAAGCAAUCAACAGAGAGAGAGAAAGUAGGGAAGAGAGAGGGAGAGAGAGUAGUGCAAAAUGCAAUAUUAUAAGGAACUAGACAGAGGAGAGGGGGAGAGAGAGAGAGAGAGAGAGAGAGAGAAAUUAGUUUAUAAAGUGGGAUGGUAGAGAAAGGGAGACAGGAGCGUAUCUCUGAAAAUCCAAAAAAUUCGAUUCAGUUUGCUUGCUUUAAAAAACAGUAUAAAAAGUCAUCAAAACUACUAUUUCAUACUGAAAAAAAUAAUAAUAAUAAAAGUAAUUUGAAAAUUUUAAAUUUUAACGAUAAAAGUAAAAUAAAGAAUUAAAUAAAUAAUAUUGAAAUUAAUUUUUUAAUAUAAAAAUAUAAUUUUUUUGUUAAAAUAAAAAAUAUCGAGACAUUUUAGAUUAAAUAAAAAAAAACCAUCAUAAAUAAAGAAAAAAGGUCCUCAUCUUUGUACAUUCAUUGUACUCUGCAUCAAUCCACCACCAUCUUUGUAUAAUUGUAGAGGUAAAGAUCGUUUCUUUCAGCAACCCCGUUUCUUUAGUUCUUUUGUUUCUCUCUCUACAACUCUCCAUCUUUCUCUCUCUGAAACUCUCGUUGGUGUGCAUUUCUGUGUUGUGUGCUGAGCUUAGCUGUGUGUGUUUUUUAUUAUUAUAUGGAGGCAAAACAGUGAACGUGCUUCUUCUUUGUCUGGAUGCCUCUAACUAAGCUUCACGCUUUGAGAUGGCAUGAUUGGAGCUCUCUGUGUUUUUUUAUUCCUUGAAAAAAUUUGUUUAGCAUUGACAGCCUGAGACUGACCAUUUUCUAGGGGGAGAGAGAGUGAGGAGAGAGAAAUACAAAGACUACUUUGGAAUUUGAGCUUUGUUUUCAUUUCCCCAUCUUUUGAGAACCAUGCUGUGCCUGUGAAUUGAGAAAUAAUUCUUCUUUUCGAGCUCUGGGUCUCUCUCUCUCUCUCUCUACCUUUUACAAUAGUACAAUGGGGUUUCAGUGAGAGAGGAGAGAAGAAAGUCCACACUCCACGGAGGAGAUAUAUAUUUGCUCAUAUUUUGCUUAUGCUUUCGGAAAAAAAGUGAAAAAUAAGCACUUUUAAGAAAGUGGGUUCCUUUGUUUCAGAUUAGAUAUGAGAUGGGUAAAGAGGAAACAAGAAGGAAAAUCAAAGAAAUUGGUUUAAUGCUGAUGGCUGGGACGAUGAAGAUGAAGAGCCACCACUCGGUGGCUGUGAGGUUGAAUGAGCAAAUGGGGGCCAAAAAAGGCUACACCUUUGUGCAGGCUCACAGGGCUUGGUUCCCAAAACUUUUCCUUCUUUGGGUUGGUGUGAUGAUUCUCUUGGGCUGGUUAACCUACAGAUACAUGGAUGCUGAUAACAAAGUGAGAAGGGUAGAACUUCUUGGUAGUAUGUGUGAUCAGAGGGCAAGAAUGCUGCAGGAUCAGUUCAGUGUUAGUGUUAAUCAUGUGCAUGCCCUUGCAAUCCUUGUUUCCACCUUCCAUUACUACAAGAACCCUUCAGCAAUUGAUCAGGUAUGUUUUGUUCUUUAAUUUUGAUCAAAACCCUUUUUUUGCUAUGAUAUCUUUGACUAAUUGUACAAUUUGGUUGCUAUAAGACAAGUAGUUUCUCAAUUUUUAUGAUGAUUGAAUGUGGUACUGCUAGUUUGUGAUUUGGGUUUUGUUUUUUGGGGAAAAUGCAGGAAACGUUUGCUGAAUACACUGCCAGAACCGCCUUCGAGAGGCCUCUUUUAAGUGGGGUGGCCUAUGCACAAAGAGUGCUUGAUUCGGAUAGGGAAAAGUUCGAAAACCUACAUGGUUGGACAAUAAAGACAAUGGAGAGGGAACCAUCGCCCAUCCGAGAUGAGUAUGCGCCUGUAAUUUUUUCGCAGGAAACCGUCUCUUACAUUGAGUCACUUGAUAUGAUGUCUGGGGAGGUAACAAAAGGAUUGUUUACUUUCACUUUGUCUAUCUUGUUGAACUCUAUGGCAUUAAUUGGAGCAUUCGUUAGGCGUUUCAUUUAACCUUUAAUUCUUCCACUACAUGAUGCAGGAGGACAGAGAAAACAUUUUGAGGGCCAGAGCUACUGGAAAAGCUGUUCUGACAAGUCCAUUUAGGCUGCUGGGUUCUCAUCAUCUUGGUGUUGUAUUGACUUUCCCUGUUUACAAAUCGAAGCUCCCUGCAAACCCAACUGUGGAGCAGCGCAUUCAGGCGGCUGUUGGGUAAGUCGGCAUACAACUAUAGAACUAUGAAAACCCUCUUCAGAUGCUUUUUGCAUGCUGUUAUUGUUACCUGCAUAUACUUUCGCCGGUUCCAUGUGCAUCCGCCACAGAAGUUGGCAACCUAUGGGAUGGUGCAUUUGAUUCUGUAUAAAAUGCAGGUACCUUGGUGGUGCCUUUGAUGUUGAGUCCCUGGUGGAGAAUUUGCUUGGACAACUUGCUGGGAAUCAAGCCAUUCAGGUUUAUGUGUAUGAUGUUACAAACACUUCUGAUCCCCUAAUCAUGUAUGGUCACCAAUAUCAAGAUGGUGACACAUCUCUUCUGCAUGAAAGCAAGCUGGAUUUUGGAGAUCCAUUCCGAAGGCAUCAGAUGAUAUGUAGGUAAGGGCAACCAUUCAAUAACUAAUGAUAGAUGGAAUAAUUGAGUGGUUAUGUCGUGCUAAAACACAUAAUUGGUUUCUUGAGCAGAUAUCAUCAGACGGCACCUAUGUCAUGGACAGCGGUUAACACUGCAUUCUUGUUCUUUGUGAUUGGUUUUUUGGUUGGCUAUAUCUUAUAUGGAGCAGCAAUGCACAUUGUUAAAGUUGAGGAUGAUUUCCGUGAAAUGGAGGAACUAAAAGUUCGAGCAGAAGCUGCUGAUGUUGCCAAGUCCCAGGUACUGUUUUCAACAUUCCCAACAUUGCUCAUUCCUCAAUGGCAUGUUUUUUUGAUAUGUUGCCUUCUUUUUUUGUGCCAGUUUCUUGCUACUGUUUCUCAUGAAAUAAGAACGCCCAUGAAUGGAAUCCUAGGUAUGCUAACAGAUCUCCCUGUUUUUAAGAUUUUAUUUUCAGAAUAACAUUAUAUAUCAGUCCGAAAAUGCACUCUUGUAAGAGGUACAAUCUUUAUUUUUCCAUGAUUGCAGGAAUGCUUGCCUUGCUUUUAGAUACAGCUUUAAGUUCGACCCAGAUGGAUUAUGCUCGAACUGCUCAAGCUUGUGGAAAGGCAUUGAUAACAUUAAUUAAUGAGGUGCUUGACCGUGCGAAGAUAGACGCUGGCAAGUUAGAGCUGGAAGAAGUUCCAUUUGGCAUUCGGUCGAUACUAGAUGAUGUCCUAUCUUUAUUUUCUGAAAAAACUAGAAAUAAGGGUAUAGAGGUAAGCCUCAAUGCCUUCAGCUCACAGUUACUGCAAUGUUUUUGUAGUUCUUAAAUUGUGUGGUGGUGAUGGUGAUACUUCUUAAAUUGUGAAAUUUGAACUGUCAUAACUAAUAAUAUCAUGUUACAUCUGCAAAUCUCCUAAUUCCGAUUUAUAUUUGGGAUGUGAAGCUGGCAGUAUUUGUUUCCGAUAAAGUCCCAGAAAUUUUUAUGGGAGAUCCAGGGAGAUUCAGACAGAUAAUUACAAAUCUAGUGGGUAACUCUAUUAAAGUAAGUGGAAGUUUUCAUUCUUUAUUAGCAACAGGCAGUAAUAGGAUUUAAUAAAAUCUUCGGUUUGUCCUGCUCAGGUUAGUGAUCAUAGAAAACUUAUGUUUGAGCUAUACAUUUGGCAGUUCACUGAACGAGGACAUAUAUUUGUCAAAGUCCAUCUAGCUGAGCCCUCAAAGGUGAUGAUAAAUAGGAAGUCAGAGACUUACUUGAACGGAGGACCAGAUGAAGGUGUGCUGACAUCCGAUGGCCAUCAAUUUAAAACUUUAAGUGGGUGUGAAGCAGCUAAUGACUGGAAUAGUUGGGAUACGUUUAAGCAUCUGGUGUCUGAUGAAGAAUACAGAGCUGAUGUUGAUGAAGCUUCUGAGAAGGUCACGUUGAUGGUUUCUGUGGAGGAUACAGGGAUUGGUAUACCAUUAGGUGCGCAGGAAUGUGUUUUUAUGCCCUUCAUGCAGGCAGACAGUUCAACUUCUAGACAUUAUGGAGGAACUGGUAUUGGCUUGAGCAUCAGUAAGUGUCUGGUUGAACUGAUGGGUGGUCAGAUAAAAUUCGUAAGUCGACCACACAUUGGGAGUACAUUUUCUUUCACCGCUAAUUUUAGGAGGUGCAAGAAAAAUGCAUUUAGUGACAUGAAAAAACCUAAUCCUGAGGAUCUACCUUCUAGUUUGAGAGGAUUGCGAGCAAUAGUAGUUGAUAGAAAACUUGUGAGAGCUGCUGUAACCAAAUACCACUUGAAGAGACUUGGAAUCCUUGUGGAAGUUGCGAGCAGCAUCAAGAUGGCCGUUGCUUCAUGUGGAAGAAAUGGUUCUGUGGCAUCCGGGUACGUUUACUCUUGCUAUGUCUUUAAAGUUUUUAAGGGGUUCAAUAUUUACUGCACUAAAACUAAAACAAUAUGACGAUUCAAUGUUAUCUUUAUUAACUGCCAAUGAAAAAGGUAGACUGGAAAACCAAAAAAAGGGUAGACUUAGAAAUAAGUAGGAUGUGUUAGCUGAAUUGAACUACUUCGUUAUAUAUGACAGGAAUAGUAUCCAGCCAGAUAUAGUUCUAGUUGAGAAGGAUUCAUGGAUUUCUGGUGAAGAACAUGAUCUUAAUGCGCAGAAAUUGGAUUGGAAACAGAACGAUCAUGCAUUUAAGCUGCCAAAAAUGAUUCUUCUUGCAACCAAAAAUCUUAGUCAAGCUGAAUCUGAUAAUGUAAGGGCAGCAGGUUUUGCGGAUACUGUAAUCAUGAAACCUUUGAGGGCUAGUAUGGUGGCUGCGUGUCUUCAAGAGGUCCUGGGCAUAGGAAAGAAGAGGCAACCAGGGAGAGUGGUGCCGAAUGGAUCUAACGUUCUCCAAAGUCUGCUCUGUGGGAAGAAAAUUUUGGUGGUUGAUGACAAUUUGGUAAACAGGAGAGUUGCUGCAGGUGCACUAAAGAAGUUUGGAGCUAAUGUAGAGUGUGUUGAUAGUGGCAAAGCUGCAUUGGCGUUGCUUCAAUUACCGCACAAUUUUGAUGCUUGCUUCAUGGAUAUUCAAAUGCCUGAAAUGGAUGGGUAUGUUUCGGUGUUUCAGUUAUUACAUUCUAGAUUCAAAAUGCCCUUAUUUUGAUGCUUUCCCGUUCGUUAUAUUUUUUUUGGCAAAAAUCUCUCAAACUCUUUCUUAGAAAGUGAGAAACGCAUUUGCUAGCCAUUGUGCUUGACCAAAUUGGAAUUGUAAUUUAUAAAUGGGACUUUUGAUUGCAGGUUUGAGGCAACUCGCAGAAUCCGGCAGAUGGAGAGCAAGGCAAAUGUUGAGAUGAAUGGAGGAUUUGAAGGACUAACAACAAAGGGUGACUGGCAUUUGCCUGUGUUAGCUAUGACAGCGGACGUUAUUCAUGCCACCUAUGAUGAGUGCCUAAAGUGUGGGAUGGAUGGAUACGUCUCAAAGCCCUUCGAGGAAGAGAAUCUCUAUCAAGCAGUGGCCAAGUUCUUCAAAACUUAAACCAGCCUCAGACUCGUAACAAGAACUAUCAAACCCAAAACCUGCAGACAUCUUCGUUGGUCGGAUGUUACAAGCAAUUUUGUGAUAUUCCCAGAGAGAACGCUGAGAGUUGGUCCUAGAACUAUGAUGAUUCUUAAUGGCUUGAAUGCAGGUUCGAGGACUCAUUUCUAACCAAAUUUUUAACUCUGAUUCGGUAUCCACGUACAUGUAUAGUAAUGCAAACCUCCAUAUCCCACUUUGUAUGUAUUGUAGGAUGAUCCUAAAAGGGAAGGAGCAAAAUGUGUAAAUGUUAUAAUUUUGUAUGCCUUGUUUGAAUCUUUCUUAUGAGGAAAAAGGUUUCAAAAACGCCUUUGUUUUUCGGGACCGGCAACGGUACACAUGCAUUUACUUAAUAUAUUCACCGUCUAGCGCUCAGAUGUGCAUCAUAGUGGAUUGUUAGAUGGUAAAUGAGUUAAGAAGGCACUGCAUUUCUGCAGGAUUUCUCAUUGGGCAUAUAGACUUUGUUGCAUUGUUUUGGACUUGAGGGCUUGAGGGCUUGUGCGUUGUAAGAAUUUCAAUUGGGCUUAUGCCAACACCCUCUCAAAGAUUUCUUGAAUGAUUUAAUUAGAGAAAAUAUCUCAAAAAAUUAAAUUUUAAAAUCUCGAAUUAUUAAUUGAAAUUGUCAAUGUUUAGUAUGACGUCGACAUCUGAUCUCUAUGUCGUAAAUAUUUAACCUAUAAGGAAGAGCAUGAUACGCACUACUCAAGCCGAUUGAGCUAGGUUCACGUCAACCAGAAUAGACACACAUGAGCAAUAAUUUGGGUUAAAUGUGGUUUAGUGAUUUUCUAAGUUUGGCAAUUCAAUAUAUAGUGUUUUCAAUUGGAAAAACCAACGCAAAUAUUUUAUGUGGCGUACACACACAUCAUAUGUAAGAUGCGGUCGUUUUCUUGCUCGGUUGUCACUUGUCGAAGGGAGAAAAUACACGUUUGCCAAGUUGAAGUUUUCAACUUCAAAACACUCGUGGAAUUAAAGUAUUAGCAUUAUAUUAUAAUAAAUAAAAGGCUGUGAUAUUCACACAUCUAUUUUUAUUUCUCCCACACAUUUUUAGUUUUCGGCCGUCAGAUCAGAUAAAUUGAAGAAGAUCAACGGAUAAAAAUUAAUAAGGAUGUGUGAAUCUCUAAAUAAAUAUAUAAUAUUGGCUUUUAACAGAAUACCAAUUUCUUUGUGGUGCCAAGUGGCGAGAGGGAACAAAUGUAGGACCCAUGCUACAUGUGGACAAGUUGCAUCGGACCAGGCUAUUGGUCUAAGUUUUGGUCUAAGUUUAGGACAAGGAUUGUCUGUCCUCACAUUUCCGAUGCCUUUUCGUGCCCUUCUGUUUUGUGUGGUCACGUUUAAGUCAUGUUAAUAUUUUAUAUUAUUUUUUCAUAGAGAUAAUAAGACAAAAAUAAAUAGUAAUAUAAAAUGUUGACGUGGCUUAACCGUGAUCACACAAACAGAAGGGCACAAGAUGGCACCAGAAAUGGGAGGGCAGACAAUCCUUAUCCCUAAGUUUAUGUUUCACCAAUGUCCCACCUUUGCAUGGUCCACACCAUGAGAGAUUUUUCAGUGUGACCGGUAUACGAAAUUGUACACCACGUGUUAUUAUGCAAAUGAUGAGAUAUGUGUGCUAAAAAAAUAAUAAUUUAAAAAAUAAAAAUUUUCACCACUCUUAUUAAAAUACGAAGUAUACCAUUUAUGUUCCCGUCAUAACUAAAAAUUUCUCUCACACCACAAAAGCAUUCGACGUUGUCUUGUUGAACACCAUCUACUUACCAAAAUACAAAUACAUCUCCAUCACAUAAUCGUUUAUGCACCCGACCCCACACAACCCGAAUGUUGUCGCCAUAUUCCAAUGGUUAAAAUAUGGCCUUCGCACUUGAGCGACGAUGAUAGUGGGUCUAGUAUCUCUAUGAUGACUUUAUGUAAUCUUUCUUUGUAUGGCCUCUUUAUUCGGCGAUAGACUAGCUAUAAUCGUAGAUACGAAUUUAUUGCGUCAAUCAUUUAUGUGACAAAUUUAUUUUCGUUAAGUUUGUGAUAGUCGUGUUGAGGUUUACUCAAGUUGUUUAUUUGAGUAUGUUCACUUUAGAUAAUUUCCUGGAGUAAUGUACCCAAUUAGCGUUGUUGUUUUUGUUUGUAAUGUUUAAGAAAAAAAAGAAAAUGAAAAUGAAACUUUAAUGAAAAGCUUCAAAUACUGUUCAUUUUAACGAAAAACUAUAUUUUUACACUAAAAAGUCAAUCUUAGUAUUAUUCACUUUACCCUUUAUUUUGUCCUUAUCGUUAAAACUCAAAGUUUUCAGUCUAUUUUCAUUAAUUUUCUUAAAAAAAGGACGGCAUGAAGGCAUAUAGUGGAGGCCCUGGGACUCUAUUUGGAUGUUGGACAGUGGGUUUUUGAAUUUAAAUUUCUUUAAUUUUAAAUAAAAGUAUGGAUAAAACGCUCCUAGCACAUUUUGAAGGACGAUGAAGCUUCAUCUCCACUUCAUAUAAUCCUUCAAUCUUUCCCGGUAUGCGAUCUUUCAUCACAUUCUCACACACCUUUUUAUGUAUAACGAAAUUCAAACUUAAUCGGUGAACAAUAUACAUUGGAUGACGUGAAUCAUGUAUGACCUUCACUUCAUGCGUGAGCAAAUCUGUUGUAAAUUGUAACUGUGAACACGGAAAAUUCCUGAAACGAAAGAGACAAGAACAACGUGCACAAACAAAUAUUUGUAUUUGAUAGUUUUGGGUUACAAUCUCUCUCUAUUUUGAUCCUCUGAUUCGAUCUCCGUAAGGUGUUGAUUUGUGGGAUGUGCGAUUGAUCCAAGGGCCGUCGAGGCUUGAUCUUGGAUGAACGAGGAUGAACGGAUCUUCAAGGGCUUUUGGGCUUGAUCUUGAAGAAUGGUGAUUGACGGAUCUUCAAAAUUUGUGAACACGGAAAAUUCCUGAAACGAAAGAGACAAGAACAACGUGCACAAACAAAUAUUUGUAUUUGAUAGUUUUGGGUUACAAUCUCUCUCUAUUUUGAUCCUCUGAUUCGAUCUCCGUAAGGUGUUGAUUUGUGGGAUGUGCGAUUGAUCCAAGGGCCGUCGAGGCUUGAUCUUGGAUGAACGAGGAUGAACGGAUCUUCAAGGGCUUUUGGGCUUGAUCUUGAAGAAUGGUGAUUGACGGAUCUUCAAAGGCUUUUGGGCUUGAUCUUGAAGAACAGUGAUGAAUGGAUUUCCGAGGGCUUUUGGGCUUGAACUCGAAGAACAGUGACGAACGGAUCUUCGAGAGCUUUUGGGCUUGAACGGAUCUUCGAGGGCUUUUGGGCUUGAUCUCGAAGAACGGUGAUGAACGAUGAACGCUUUCUUCAAGGGCCGUCGAGGCUUGGACUUGAUGAACAGAGAUGAGCGGAUUCGUUGAUGUUGUCAAUCCAAAGGGGCCGUUGGGGCUUGAUCCUUGAGGAUGAACAGUUGAUGAAUGGAUUUCCGAGGGCUUUUGGGCUUGAACUCGAAGAACAGUGACGAACGGAUCUUCGAGAGCUUUUGGGCUUGAACGGAUCUUCGAGGGCUUUUGGGCUUGAUCUCGAAGAACGGUGAUGAACGAUGAACGCUUUCUUCAAGGGCCGUCGAGGCUUGGACUUGAUGAACAGAGAUGAGCGGAUUCGUUGAUGUUGUCAAUCCAAAGGGGGCCGUUGGGGCUUGAUCCUUGAGGAUGAACAGUUGAUGAACGAUGAACACUUUCUCCAAGGGGCUGUUGAGGCUUGGGCUUGAAGGUGGAUGAUUGUUGAUCCAAGGGCCGUCGGGGCUUGAUCUUGGAAGAACGAUGAACGAAGAACGAAGAAGGCUUUCUUGAUUCUUCGGAAACCUGGAUGCUUGAAAGCUUCGGAGUUUCAGAGCUUCAGAGCUUCCGAGCUUUAAGGUGUAAUGUGAAUUGGUUUUCUUUAAAAUGAAUGAAAUAGGCUUGUAUUUAUAGAAAUUUUCCAAGGCCUAAUUUUGAAUAUAAUAUCCCAGAUGAAAUAAGUCGUUUCUGCCAGGUGUUGACACGUGUCCUAUUUGAUGACUUUUCCAACUCAUUUCAAUUUUCGUUGAGUCACACGCUACGUGUAAAAUUUAUGUAAUACAUGAGCGUUGACACUUUGAUUUACCGGUCAACAUUUAUUUACGAAAUUUCGAUGUCUACAAAUGCCCCCACUUCAAGGCACGUCGUUAUACAUGUGCUUGUCACGUGUAGGAGAUGCGUUUUUUGAAGUCCCUUACUGUAGAUGUCGAUCCAAGGGCCAUCGAGGCUUGAUCUUGAAUUGGGCUGGAGAUUGUUUCAAGGGCCGUUGAGGCUUGAUCUUGAAUUGGGCUUGAGAUUUCUUCAAGGGCCGUUGAGGCUUGUUCUUGAACUUUUGUUUGAAAUUUCUUCAAGGGCCGUCGAGGGCUUGAUCUUGAAGGUUGAAAUUGGGCCACAAGGAGCUUCAUGUGGUAGAUGAUCUUUGGCUUUGGUAAUGGAUGAAUCGGUACGUAUUUUGUUGCGCUUGUUGACUUUCCACAGCUUUGAUCUUGAACUGGGUUGGAGGAUUUUCUGGAUUCCUCCAAUUGUUGAUUUUCCACAGCUUAUUCUUGAACUAGGUUUUUUGAUUCAAGGGUGGUAGACACUUAAUCUUGAAUCGGACUUGUGAUUUCCUCAAGGGCCGUCGAGGCUUGAUCUUGAAUUUGGUUGGAAACUUCUUCAAGGGCCGUUAGGGCUUGAUCCUUGAAGGUUGACUUGAACACAUGACAAGCAGGCACUAGGUGAAGGUGACGACUUGUUGCUCUGUUCAAUCUUUCUAAUUCACACCUGAGCAGUUUUGGUCAACGGUAUGAUCUUCAAGAUUGAUGGGCUUUUCUUCCAGUUGGUGACUUGAUCUUUAAGGAUUUGAUUCAAGGGUGGUGAAUCGGCACGUGCAGCCUACAACGCCUAGUAAGUCGACCCAAGAAUUUGAGGGUCAAAACGAAUUCACCGUCAGAGUGAUUGCAACUUUGAUGAUAUGAGAUACUCUUGCUUUUGAAGAAGUAGCGGAUGAAUCGGCACGUGCUUGGUUGCACUUGUCUCCACAUGCUUCAAGGUAUCAUCUUCAUUUCCUUUAUCUGUUCCUCAGGCAGAUGUGGCAUCUUCUCGAGUUCUUCAUCUCAGACUCUUUCCGCCGAGUUGACUGAGCAUGCUGCAUUCUUCUCUGCUUGUUUCUUUCAGGCAGAUAUGGCAGCUUUCUCGAGUUCUUCAUCUCAGACUCUUUCCGCCGAGUUGACUGAGCAUGCUGCAUUCUUCUCUGCUUGUUUCUUCAGGCAGAUAUGGCAGCUUCUCGAGUUUCUUCAGCUCGGGACUCCUUCUCCUGAGUUGACUGUGCAGACUGCAUUCUUCUCUGCUUGUUCCUUCUGCACCUUGUCUCCACAUGCUGCAAGGUAUCAUUUUUCACUUGCAUUAUCUGUUCUCUCCAGGCAGAUGGGGCAACUUCUUUGGAAGUACAGCAGCAGUGGGAAACGAGUACUCGAGAGCAGUGCUAGGUAGGGCAAUCAGGGAAGGGUUCCAAGCAGUCGGUUCCUUACCCGAGUUUGAGUGGAAGUUCCGACAUAUUGUUUUCUUUAUCCUUGUCUUUGUAGGUAAGAACAAGGACAAAGGAAAGGACAGGGAGAACGCAUGAUAUAUGAGAUACUCUUGCUUUCUACCCUGGUGAUAUGAGAUACUUUUGCUUUGGAGUCAUUGGCUUGCAGAGGUACCCCAAGGAAUAAGGAACACUGAAUGACUCGAGAGGUUUCGUUGGGAAAGCAUUUUUGGAGAUGAAGAAAGGCUCUGUAUGUCUGCCUUGCUAUGGAAGGUGAAGGUGGACAGUUAUAGGAGGUCCCUUAAUACCUGUAGAGGUAUUAUUCUUUCACUCGUGUCGGCAACUAACGCGUGAUUGAACAGUAAACUUCACGUGCUUUCUCCUUCACUGAAAAUCUUUGACAAAUUACCCGUGAUUUGCGCAAAGUUGAAUGUGCAUAUGACAGGUGAUGACGCGGCUGAAAAAGACUGGCGCCUCUUCGAUAUCUGGGAUCGGCGCUUCGACAAAUUACCCGUGAUUUCCGCAAAGCUGAGUUUGCGCGUGACGGGUGCUGACGAGGCUGAAAAAGACUAGCGCCUCUUCGAUAUCUGGGAUUGGCGCUUUAACAAAUUGCCCGUGAUUUCCGUAAAUCUGAGUUUGCAUGUGACGGGUGCUAACGCGUCUGGAAAAGCAAGAUGCUUCUCCGAUUUCUGAGCUUGCCUCUUCGAUUUUUGAAUCGGCAUUUUCGAACUCUGAGCUCACCUCUUCGAUCUCUGAAAUGCCGUCGAGUGUUGAUUUUAUAGAGGCACGCAGUUCGUUUCAAAGCACACUUCGCUUGUGAAAACUCCCCUCUUGUACUUCUAAGAUCUUGAUUUGUGUCCGAUCUCUUCUUCCUUCAACACUUUGAAAAUGUCUGGACCCUCCGACCGUCGUUUUGACUUGAAUCUUGGUGAAGAGUCAGUCCCGCCUUUCUCCAGACAACAUAUGGCGCCCAUCCUUCAUAUCCCCUACUGGUCCUCUUACCGUUGGGGAUUCGGUGAUGAAAAAUGAUAUGACCGCUGCGGUGGUGGCCCGGAACCUUGUCACUCCCAGAGAUAACAGACUACUUUCCAAACGGUCUGAUGAGUUGGCUGUUAAGGAUUCUCUGGCUUCUCAGUGUGCAGUGUGCAGGUUCUGUGUCUAAUAUGGCCCAACGCCUAUUUGCUCGAACCCGUCAAGUUGAAUCAUUGGCGGCUGAAGUGAUGAGUCUCAAACAGGAGAUUAGAGGGCUCAAGCAGGAGAAUAAACAGUUGCACAAGCUUGCACACAACUAUGCCACAAAACAUGAAGAGGAAAAUUGACCAGAUGCAGGAAUCUGAUGGUCAGAUUUUACUUGAUCAUCGGAGGUUUGUGGGUUUGUUCCAGCAGCAUUUGCCUUCGUCUUCUAGGGCUGUACCGCGUAAUGAAACUCCAAAUGAUCAACCUUUUGGCUCCUCUUCUUCCUGGAGUUCCGCCGAGUGGUGUGGCUUCCAACAAUCACCUCCGGCGCCUCUNUUCCCGUCAUAACUAAAAAUUUCUCUCACACCACAAAAGCAUUCGACGUUGUCUUGUUGAACACCAUCUACUUACCAAAAUACAAAUACAUCUCCAUCACAUAAUCGUUUAUGCACCCGACCCCACACAACCCGAAUGUUGUCGCCAUAUUCCAAUGGUUAAAAUAUGGCCUUCGCACACUUGAGCGACGAUGAUAGUGGGUCUAGUAUCUCUAUGAUGACUUUAUGUAAUCUUUCUUUGUAUGGCCUCUUUAUUCGGCGAUAGACUAGCUAUAAUCGUAGAUACGAAUUUAUUGCGUCAAUCAUUUAUGUGACAAAUUUAUUUUCGUUAAGUUUGUGAUAGUCGUGUGUUGAGGUUUACUCAAGUUGUUUAUUUGAGUAUGUUCACUUUAGAUAAUUUCCUGGAGUAAUGUACCCAAUUAGCGUUGUUGUUUUUGUUUGUAAUGUUUAAGAAAAAAAAGAAAAUGAAAAUGAAACUUUAAUGAAAAGCUUCAAAUACUGUUCAUUUUAACGAAAAACUAUAUUUUUACACUAAAAAGUCAAUCACUUAGUAUUAUUCACUUUACCCUUUAUUUUGUCCUUAUCGUUAAAACUCAAAGUUUUCAGUCUAUUUUCAUUAAUUUUCUUAAAAAAAGGACGGCAUGAAGGCAUAUAGUGGAGGCCCUGGGACUCUAUUUGGAUGUUGGACAGUGGGUUUUUGAAUUUAAAUUUCUUUAAUUUUAAAUAAAAGUAUGGAUAAAACGCUCCUAGCACAUUUUGAAGGACGAUGAAGCUUCAUCUCCACUUCAUAUAAUCCUUCAAUCUUUCCCGGUAUGCGAUCUUUCAUCACAUUCUCACACACCUUUUUAUGUAUAACGAAAUUCAAACUUAAUCGGUGAACAAUAUACAUUGGAUGACGUGAAUCAUGUAUGACCUUCACUUCAUGCGUGAGCAAAUCUGUUGUAAAUUGUAACUGUGAACACGGAAAAUUCCUGAAACGAAAGAGACAAGAACAACGUGCACAAACAAAUAUUUGUAUUUGAUAGUUUUGGGUUACAAUCUCUCUCUAUUUUGAUCCUCUGAUUCGAUCUCCGUAAGGUGUUGAUUUGUGGGAUGUGCGAUUGAUCCAAGGGCCGUCGAGGCUUGAUCUUGGAUGAACGAGGAUGAACGGAUCUUCAAGGGCUUUUGGGCUUGAUCUUGAAGAAUGGUGAUUGACGGAUCUUCAAAAUUUGUGAACACGGAAAAUUCCUGAAACGAAAGAGACAAGAACAACGUGCACAAAACAAAUAUUUGUAUUUGAUAGUUUUGGGUUACAAUCUCUCUCUAUUUUGAUCCUCUGAUUCGAUCUCCGUAAGGUGUUGAUUUUGGGGAUGUGCGAUUGAUCCAAGGGCCGUCGAGGCUUGAUCUUGGAUGAACGAGGAUGAACGGAUCUUCAAGGGCUUUUGGGCUUGAUUCUUGAAGAAUGGUGAUUGACGGAUCUUCAAAGGCUUUUGGGCUUGAUCUUGAAGAACAGUGAUGAAUGGAUUUCCGAGGGCUUUUGGGCUUGAACUCGAAGAACAGUGACGAACGGAUCUUCGAGAGCUUUUGGGCUUGAACGGAUCUUCGAGGGCUUUUGGGCUUGAUCUCGAAGAACGGUGAUGAACGAUGAACGCUUUCUUCAAGGGCCGUCGAGGCUUGGACUUGAUGAACAGAGAUGAGCGGAUUCGUUGAUGUUGUCAAUCCAAAGGGGCCGUUGGGGCUUGAUCCUUGAGGAUGAACAGUUGAUGAAUGGAUUUCCGAGGGCUUUUGGGCUUGAACUCGAAGAACAGUGACGAACGGAUCUUCGAGAGCUUUUGGGCUUGAACGGAUCUUCGAGGGCUUUUGGGCUUGAUCUCGAAGAACGGUGAUGAACGAUGAACGCUUUCUUCAAGGGCCGUCGAGGCUUGGACUUGAUGAACAGAGAUGAGCGGAUUCGUUGAUGUUGUCAAUCCAAAGGGGGCCGUUGGGGCUUGAUCCUUGAGGAUGAACAGUUGAUGAACGAUGAACACUUUCUCCAAGGGGCUGUUGAGGCUUGGGCUUGAAGGUGGAUGAUUGUUGAUCCAAGGGCCGUCGGGGCUUGAUCUUGGAAGAACGAUGAACGAAGAACGAAGAAGGCUUUCUUGAUUCUUCGGAAACCUGGAUGCUUGAAAGCUUCGGAGUUUCAGAGCUUCAGAGCUUCCGAGCUUUAAGGUGUAAUGUGAAUUGGUUUCUUUAAAAUGAAUGAAAUAGGCUUGUAUUUAUAGAAUUUUCCAAGGCCUAAUUUUGAAUAUAAUAUCCCAGAUGAAAUAAGUCGUUUCUGCCAGGUGUUGACACGUGUCCUAUUUGAUGACUUUUCCAACUCAUUUCAAUUUUCGUUGAGUCACACGCUACGUGUAAAAUUUAUGUAAUACAUGAGCGUUGACACUUUGAUUUACCGGUCAACAUUUAUUUACGAAAUUUCGAUGUCUACAAAUGCCCCCACUUCAAGGCACGUCGUAUACAUGUGCUUGUCACGUGUAGGAGAUGCGUUUUUGAAGUCCCUUACUGUAGAUGUCGAUCCAAGGGCCAUCGAGGCUUGAUGGAUCUUGAAUUGGGCUGGAGAUUGUUUCAAGGGCCGUUGAGGCUUGAUCUUGAAUUGGGCUUGAGAUUUCUUCAAGGGCCGUUGAGGCUUGUUCUUGAACUUUUGUUUUGAAAUUUCUUCAAGGGCCGUCGAGGCUUGAUCUUGAAGGUUGAAAAUUGGGCCACAAGGAGCUUCAUGUGGUAGAUGAUCUUUGGCUUUGGUAAUGGAUGAAUCGGUACGUAUUUUGUUGCGCUUGUUGACUUUCCACACAGCUUUGAUCUUGAACUGGGUUGGAGGAUUUUCUGGAUUCCUCCAAUUGUUGAUUUUCCACAGCUUAUUCUUGAACUAGGUUUUGAUUCAAGGGUGGUAGACACUUAAUCUUGAAUCGGACUUGUGUGAUUUCCUCAAGGGCCGUCGAGGCUUGAUCUUGAAUUUGGUUGGAAACUUCUUCAAGGGCCGUUAGGGCUUGAUCCUUGAAGGUUGACACUGAUUGACAAGCAGGCACUAGGUGAAGGUGACGACUUGUUGUUCUCUGUUCAAUCUUUCUAAUUCACACCUGAGCAGUUUGGUCAACGGUAUGAUCUUCAAGAUUGAUGGGCUUUUCUUUCCAGUUGGUGACUUGAUCUUUAAGGAUUUGAUUCAAGGGUGGUGAAUCGGCACGUGCAGCCUACAACGCCUAGUAAGUCGACCCAAGAAUUUGAGGGUCAAAACGAAUUCACCGUCAGAGUGAUUGCAACUUUGAUGAUAUGAGAUACUCUUGCUUUUGAAGAAGUAGCGGAUGAAUCGGCACGUGCUUGGUUGCACUUGUCUCCACAUGCUUCAAGGUAUCAUCUUCAUUUCCUUUAUCUGUUCCUCAGGCAGAUGUGGCAUCUUCUCGAGUUCUUCAUCUCAGACUCUUUCCGCCGAGUUGACUGAGCAUGCUGCAUUCUUCUCUGCUUGUUUCUUCAGGCAGAUAUGGCAGCUUCUCGAGUUCUUCAUCUCAGACUCUUUCCGCCGAGUUGACUGAGCAUGCUGCAUUCUUCUCUGCUUGUUUCUUCAGGCAGAUAUGGCAGCUUCUCGAGUUCUUCAGCUCGGACUCCUUCUCCUGAGUUGACUGUGCAGACUGCAUUCUUCUCUGCUUGUUCCUUCUGCACCUUGUCUCCACAUGCUGCAAGGUAUCAUUUUCACUUGCAUUAUCUGUUCUCCAGGCAGAUGGGGCAACUUCUUUGGAAGUACAGCAGCAGUGGGAAACGAGUACUCGAGAGCAGUGCUAGGUAGGCAAUCAGGGAAGGGUUCCAAGCAGUCGGUUCCUUACCCGAGUUUGAGUGGAAGUUCCGACAUAUUGUUUUCUUUAUCCUUGUCUUUGUAGGUAAGAACAAGGACAAAGGAAAGGACAGGGAGAACGCAUGAUAUGAGAUACUCUUGCUUUCUACCCUGGUGAUAUGAGAUACUUUUGCUUUGGAGUCAUUGGCUUGCAGAGGUACCCCAAGGAAUAAGGAACACUGAAUGACUCGAGAGGUUUCGUUGGGAAAGCAUUUUUGGAGAUGAAGAAAGGCUCUGUAUGUCUGCCUUGCUAUGGAAGGUGAAGGUGGACAGUUAUAGGAGGUCCCUUAAUACCUGUAGAGGUAUUAUUCUUUCACUCGUGUCGGCAACUAACGCGUGAUUUGAACAGUAAACUUCACGUGCUUUCUCCUUCACUGAAAAUCUUUGACAAAUUACCCGUGAUUUGCGCAAAGUUGAAUGUGCAUAUGACAGGUGAUGACGCGGCUGAAAAAGACUGGCGCCUCUUCGAUAUCUGGGAUCGGCGCUUCGACAAAUUACCCGUGAUUUCCGCAAAGCUGAGUUUGCGCGUGACGGGUGCUGACGAGGCUGAAAAAGACUAGCGCCUCUUCGAUAUCUGGGAUUGGCGCUUUAACAAAUUGCCCGUGAUUUCCGUAAAUCUGAGUUUGCAUGUGACGGGUGCUAACGCGUCUGGAAAAGCAAGAUGCUUCUCCGAUUUCUGAGCUUGCCUCUUCGAUUUUUGAAUCGGCAUUUUCGAACUCUGAGCUCACCUCUUCGAUCUCUGAAAUGCCGUCGAGUGUUGAUUUUAUAGAGGCACGCAGUUCGUUUCAAAGCACACUUCGCUUGUGAAAACUCCCCUCUUGUACUUCUAAGAUCUUGAUUUGUCCGAUCUCUUCUUCCUUCAACACUUUGAAAAUGUCUGGACCCUCCGACCGUCGUUUUGACUUGAAUCUUGGUGAAGAGUCAGUCCCGCCUUCUCCAGACAACAUAUGGCGCCCAUCCUUCAUAUCCCCUACUGGUCCUCUUACCGUUGGGGAUUCGGUGAUGAAAAAUGAUAUGACCGCUGCGGUGGUGGCCCGGAACCUUGUCACUCCCAGAGAUAACAGACUACUUUCCAAACGGUCUGAUGAGUUGGCUGUUAAGGAUUCUCUGGCUCUCAGUGUGCAGUGUGCAGGUUCUGUGUCUAAUAUGGCCCAACGCCUAUUUGCUCGAACCCGUCAAGUUGAAUCAUUGGCGGCUGAAGUGAUGAGUCUCAAACAGGAGAUUAGAGGGCUCAAGCAGGAGAAUAAACAGUUGCACAAGCUUGCACACAACUAUGCCACAAACAUGAAGAGGAAAAUUGACCAGAUGCAGGAAUCUGAUGGUCAGAUUUUACUUGAUCAUCGGAGGUUUGUGGGUUUGUUCCAGCAGCAUUUGCCUUCGUCUUCUAGGGCUGUACCGCGUAAUGAAACUCCAAAUGAUCAACCUUUGGCUCCUCUUCUUCCUGGAGUUCCGCCGAGUGGUGUGGCUUCCAACAAUCAACCUCCGGCGCCUCUCAUUUCUGGAGCUCUGCCGAGUGGUGAGGCGGCACCUGAUCGUCCUUGAAGAUCCCCUCCUGUAAAUUUGAUUUGACUUUUUUUUUUUUUUUUUUUUUUUUACUGAUGUAAAAUGUACACUUUUUGUAAAUUUUCCAAGAAAUCAAUAGAUGAGCCUUAUUUCCUUUUUUAUGUGUGUGUGUAUAUAUAUAUAUAUUUAGUGCCAAAAGCAUAAAGAAAUUUUUUAUUUAUUAUUUUUAUUAUUAUUAUUAUUUUUAUAAUUAUUAUUAUAUAUAUAUUUAUUUAUUUAUUUUUUUUAAUUUUUAUUUUUAUUUUUUUUUUUAUUUUUUUGCAGAUGGUAAUCAUGGUGCACCCGUUUUCUUCACAUGGUGCCAGACGCACCAAAGAUCAAAAACUUUUUUUUUUUUUUUUUUUUUUUUUUUUUUUUUUUUUUUUUUUUUGGCCUUUAAUUAUGGUGCCAGAUGCACCCCUCCCCUUUUUUUCAUAUGGUGCCAGACGCACCAUGCAUUUUUAUUAUUUUAUUGUUCUAUUUUAUUUUUUUAUUUUUUUCUUUAAUCAUGGUGCAGUGUUCCACCAUAUAUUUUUUAUUAUUAUUUUUUUGUAUAAAUUUGGAUGACGGGAUGGGGAUUUGCAGGGAGCGGAGCAAGGAGGUGGACGGAGAAAGGGAGCCGGAGGUGUGGAGUUCGUGGCUGAUCAUCCUUGCUGGGCAGAAGGAAAGGUCUUGCAGAGGAGGACGAGGACGAGGACGAGUCGGCGACGUGGCUGCUGCUCGUUGCUGUUUGCUAUGCUCGCUGCAUGGAAGGAUGCCCAUUGCCAGGGUGGUUGUCUGCUGCAAAUGAGGCUUUCUCGCCACGCUCCGUUGCACUCUCACCGUCCGCAUUUUCUCUGAAAGCUUCGCGGAGCUCCGACCGAGAGAAGAUCCUCAGCAAAUUCCUGUCGCCCUUGGCUGGCUGUACAGCCUCAUUCACAUCCGUCACAGCUGCCACCUUACCCGUUAACUACCUUGGCAGCCUCACUGCUCCGUUGAGCAUUCUCGAAGCCAUGUCCGCGCGGACGGAAAUAACCGGCGCUGGAGGAGAAAAGAAGGUGGUUGAUGGAUCUAGACCAAACUCGCUGGAGUUGCAGUGGAGGUGCGGUGCUGCUGCUGGUGCCGGUGAUGAUGGUGGUGGGGGAAGGUUUUGAUUUCUUUUGAUUCUCUACAGAUUUUUUUAUGGUGGUUUUUUGUUUUGUUAUACUUAAACAUGUUGAUCCUCCUAAUUAAGCUUUGAUUAGGAAGUUCCAACAGGGCAUUUUGGCCCAGCUCCUGUGCCAGCGUACAUCCCUAUGGCUCCGUGACCGGAGUUCAACCUUGGAAUUUGGCAGUUGAAAGACUUGAAGGAUGCCAUGUACAGGGAUGAAGAUGCUGGAAGUAGGGAAGUCGCCAAGUUUAUGUUAGCAGCUGCAAAUGAGGCAUCUGAGCCAUUGGCCUCGCUAGUCACGUUGGGGAAGGCGGAGGAUGUGUACUCUCCGGCAGCCUUUGUUGGAGACGCAAAAGGACUAUCAGGAAGAUUGUGCUCCAAACCUUCCAGCAAAUCACCGAUAUUGUCAUGGGGGCUCUCCUUACCACUACCAUUGCUACUUCGGCUACCACUACCAUUUUAGUCGUUGUUGGCCAUCAUAUCUUUACCUAGAACAGCAGCAGCUGCUUCCUUGAGCAACUGAUCAGCAUCCACUGCUGGAGUCAAGUGUGGCAUCGGAGAAAAACAGUUAUCGUGGUGAACUUCUUGGCCGUUGUGAACCGAAUGAAGCACUAGGUUUCGACUGAACAUGUUGGGAGACUGGGUAGGGGAGUGAAUCGGACUGCUGGCAGAAAGAGCGUGGUGGUGAUGCUUCUUGACAUCAUGUAGCUGCAGGCCCAUCAGUCUUCGACUUUGAAUUUCAAGUGCUUGCAACUCAGCUUGCUCCUCCAGCUUCCUCCUCCACAGCAUGUCUUGAGAAUUGUAAAACAUCUUUGCUCCUAGCUGGAGAUCGUAAGGGUCUCUACCAUCCAGCCCAGUAGGUGUACCACAGGGAGACAAAUCUCCUCUUUCCACUUGUUGCUGUUGUUUCUUUUUAUGAGCUUUGCCCUUCUCCUUGUAAGGCUUGACAAGCACUCUAGCAUCACAAACAAAAUGAGGGUUCCCUUUGGCCAAAAUCAGCUUCACCGUCUCCGGGUACAAGAAUGUAACGAAUCCAAACAUCCUCUUCUGCUGGUAUGGGAUUCUCACGUCUUGGACCGGCCCGUACAUGCUGAAAUAGUUUGAGACAUCUUCCUCUCUGAAAGUGCUAUUUGCCGGGAAAGUCAAAUAUAUCUGCCUUGAAGCCGGGUUCACAAUCCCCGCCCCACCAUUCAUCGAAAAAUCGGAUCUUUCGAGGCGGGAUCGGCUGAACUUGUGCAUAUCAUCACCCAUCAUCAAGGAAGCUGCCGCAGCCCUUUGGGAAUCAGUUUGUUGCUGCUGAAGUAGGAAGUUCAUGCACUUGGAGGAGUAAGGAAAGGAAUUGGCUGACGCUGCCAUAAGCUGAGAAGCAGCAGCAAGCCUCUGCUGCUGAGCGGUUUUAGAUCUGAGAAGCGCUUCAUGGUCCAUCAUCUCCAGCUUGCUCGGCGACCCAACAACCACCUGUCCUCUGCCGUCGACGACGGCGUCUCCUAGCCCACCGCUGUGCAAGAACCUGCAGCUGGCUCCGUUCUUGCAGUAGCUUCUGGCGAAAUACAGGCAGGGUUUCCACCCAAACCCUGAGUUGGGGUCCUCCAUGCACACGUCGCUGACUGAGCAACUUCGUCGAUGGAGCGGCUGAGAUUUGAGACAGGCAUUGGACUUGAUCGCGGAUUGGGCUUGGAGGCUGCCACUUGGGCCUGGAUGACCUCCUUUUGAGAGGCUGGCUGCUGAUGGAUAUACAUACAUAUAUAUAUGUAUGUAUUCCCUUUUUUUUUAAAUACAUAAAACAUAUGUAUUUUUUUUUUUCUAAUAAAACAUUAUUAUUAUUUUUUUAUUUGUUGUGACUGAACUUGAAAUUGAAUAUUCAAGCUGCCUACGUACCCUUCUAAAGAGAUCAAGUCGAAACGUAGUUCAAAUACAUACAUAUAUUUUUUUGGUAUUUUCUUUUUUGUGCCGUUUGCAGUUUCAGCUCAUGCAGGCAAGGAGUGUUGGUGUCAUUUGCAGUUUCAACUCGUGCAGACAAGGAACAUUGGUGUUGCCUUUUAUGCUCGUGCAGACCAGGAGCGUUGUGCCAUGCAGUUUAGGCUCGUGCAGGCAAGGAGCCUUAUGCCAUGCAGUUUAGGCUCAUGCAGGCGAGGAGCUUUGGUUCGUGCAGUUUAGGCUCGUGCGAACAAGGAGCAUUGUGUCUUGCAGUUUAGGCUCUUACAGACAAGGAGCUUUGGUUCGUACAGUUUAGGCUCGUGCGAACAAGGAGCAUUGUGUCUUGCAGUUUAGGCUCUUACAGACAAGGAGCUUUGGUUCGUCAAGCGAUCUGAGAGAGUCGUUCCUCGCAAUCUUCAUAGCAAGGAGCCUUGACUGAGUAGUUGAAGAAGUCUUCUGGGAAGAUGUCACGCAUCGUGAUGGGGAUGGAUGAUCUUCGUGUCAAAGUUUCAUUAUCUCCAACACUUUCACAUUGUUCUAGAGGUGAACAUAAGCUGUUUUGCCCCCUUUCCCAUUGGUGAGCUUGUGGAGAAGACAUAUGCUUCUUGUGCAAUUUCUUCGGAGUGACAUAAGUCCAUCCUUCAACUUCACUCGGCUUGACUGGCAUGUUUUUGGAGCAUGCCCCCAGCGAUUGAGGUGAAAAUUUUGAGUUGACAGAGCCGGAAGUGACGUCUUUUUCCAGGAUUUCGUCUUCUUUGUCUUCUUGGGCCUUCUCUUCAGUGUGGUCCUCUUGGGUUUGUUGCCGUGAAGAUUGGCCGGUGUAGAUGAUGGUGCGCCUCCUUACCUUUAGUGGUCCUUUUGUGUCGACUUCCAAAGUUGCUUGGCGCUUCAUCCUUGAAGGAAUCAAGCUUUGAACAUCGUCUUUUCCUGCUAGACUGUCGGGCUUCUCUCCCUUUAGUGUUGUCUUCCUGUUUCUAGAAGGCUUCUUAGCUUCUUCAAGUCUGUCCAAAGCCGACCGUUGCGGAGGAGAUCUAGCUGUGCCGCUUUGUUUCUUGGGUUUUGAUAACCUUUCAAAGACUGAUCUUUGAGGUGUUGGCGUCUCAAGCCUUUUGAAGACGGAAGUUUGGUCUCGACCACUGAUGCGAUCAAGUGCUGCAAUUCUAGGUUUUGAAUAAUUCAGCCUUUCGAAGACUGAAGUUCGAAGGGCGGGUUUAGGCUCAUCUUUUGGCCUUAUGGCUUGUGGUCUUGGCUUCCUCAUUUUUUUAUAGGUCACCGAUGUCCACCCUUUCUUAUCACCAGUAGAUGCAUCUUGGUUGCUUGCCCCCGGUAAUGGUUGUGUAGGAGGUGCCAUGUGACUUGAACAUUGACGGGAAUGGUCAUGCAUGCUUCGGAGAUGCACAGGAUCGAGUGAUUCAAACACGAUAGUAGUAGUGUGUGCCGCAGCUGUGUCUUCGAGGUCAAGCUCGAUUUCCCCUUGUUGUGCUAGCUUUAGGAUGAGAUCUUUCAGUACGAAGCACUUUUCCGUUGGAUGACUGAUGAAGCGGUGGAACUUACAGUAUCUUGGGUUGUCGGUACGAUUCAUCUCUUCCGGCCUUCUGCACUCAGGCAAACUGAUCACCUUCUUGUCCAACAGGUCUUCUAACAUGGCAACCACAUCAGAGUCGGGGAAUGGAUAAGUUUUCUCCUCAAGCUCCUUCAAAGUGCGUCUACGCAUCUCUUGAUCACGAAAGCCUUCGGCUUGAAUCGCCUUGCCUCGUGUAGGGAUUUUGACGGGAGCUUUGUUGACUGUCAUUGCUUCCUUUGUGGAUUUCCACGUAGCCUUCUCCACCUUUGUCUCAAGAACUUUGUCGUUCUUGUAGUUGGCGAUCGGUUCCUUCUUCCCAUGAUGGGCGAUGCUUAGCUCCAUGUCAUGGGCGCGAGUGGCUAGCUCUUCGAAGGUCCGUGGUUUGAUGCCUUGAAGAAUGUAUUGCAAACCCCAUUGCAUGCCCUGGAUGCACAUCUCAAUUGAAGAGGUCUCCGAGAGCCUAUCUUUGCAGUCGGGGCUUAGAGUGCGCCAUCUGUUGAUGUAGUCAAUGACUGGCUCGUCCUUCCACUGCUUUGUGCUCGUUAGCUCUAGCAUGCUCACAGUGCGGCGGGUGCUAUAGAAGCGGUUGAGGAAUUCUCGCUCUAACUGCUCCCAGCUGUUGAUGGACUCGGGCUCCAGGUCCGUGUACCACUCAAAGGCGUUUCCUUUUAACGAGCGCACAAACUGCUUGGCGAGGUAAUCUCCCUCCGUCCCUGCAUUGUUGCAGGUUUCCACGAAAUGUGCGACAUGUUGCUUCGGGUUUCCCUUUCCGUCAAAUUGCAUAAACUUCGGCGGUUGAUAGCCCCUCGGCAUCCUUAAGGCGUCGAUCUUCUUUGAAUACGGCUUUGAGUACAACUCGGAGGUAUUUAAGCUCCCUUCGUACUGUGCCUUGAUGGUGUUGGUGAUCAUCUCUUGCAGCUGCUGGAUAGAAAGAGAUCCCAUUAGUGCCGCUGCUUGAUCUGGCUCGGGCUUCGCAUCGUUUUUCUCCACCUGAGGCUCAUCUUCUGGGUUAGGGUUCUCUCGUCGUCCUGUGGCUCCAGUCGGCUGACGAGUGCAGCGAUUUGCAAGUCUUUUUCUUCCACAGUUCGGGUUAGCCUUGCGAUUGCUUCAUUCAUUUGAGCCAGCUGCUCAUCGAUUGAAGUUGCUCCAAUGGUCAUGACUUGCAUGGCUGAACCGUCGCUUGAAUCGGCAUCGGAGAGCAUGGAUUCGGAGUAUUUCCUUGGGCUUUCCCCCCUUGGUGCCCUUAGCGAGGCUAAGGUGAUCAAAGGCUCGUGCCUUGGGUGCUUUUGUUCCCUUGGCAUAGUUGAUGCAGAGGUGAAAGAGGCGGCAGAAGUAGCUCUUGCCAUGCUUCGAGUCGUGAUGCCUAAAGUGACACCACUUGCGACGAGGAUGCUCUUGUUCUUUGCGCCGGUUGCGGGAACAGUUUGAGCCUUCCUUGAUGCCAUUAAUUUUCGAAGUGCGCUUGAAUUUCGGAGAAAGAGAUGAGAGGCAGAGAUGGUCCCACCGGGCGUGCCAAUUUGUGAACACGGAAAAUUCCUGAAACGAAAGAGACAAGAACAACGACGUGCACAAACAAAUAUUUGUAUUUGAUAGUUUUGGGUUACAAUCUCUCUCUAUUUUGAUCCUCUGAUUCGAUCUCCGUAAGGUGUUGAUUUGUGGGAUGUGCGAUUGAUCCAAGGGCCGUCGAGGCUUGAUCUUGGAUGAACGAGGAUGAACGGAUCUUCAAGGGCUUUUGGGCUUGAUCUUGAAGAAUGGUGAUUGACGGAUCUUCAAAAUUUGUGAACACGGAAAAUUCCUGAAACGAAAGAGACAAGAACAACGUGCACAAACAAAUAUUUGUAUUUGAUAGUUUUGGGUUACAAUCUCUCUCUAUUUUGAUCCUCUGAUUCGAUCUCCGUAAGGUGUUGAUUUGUGGGAUGUGCGAUUGAUCCAAGGGCCGUCGAGGCUUGAUCUUGGAUGAACGAGGAUGAACGGAUCUUCAAGGGCUUUUGGGCUUGAUCUUGAAGAAUGGUGAUUGACGGAUCUUCAAAGGCUUUUGGGCUUGAUCUUGAAGAACAGUGAUGAAUGGAUUUCCGAGGGCUUUUGGGCUUGAAACUCGAAGAACAGUGACGAACGGAUCUUCGAGAGCUUUUGGGCUUGAACGGAUCUUCGAGGGCUUUUGGGCUUGAUCUCGAAGAACGGUGAUGAACGAUGAACGCUUUCUUCAAGGGCCGUCGAGGCUUGGACUUGAUGAACAGAGAUGAGCGGAUUCGUUGAUGUUGUCAAUCCAAAGGGGCCGUUGGGGCUUGAUCCUUGAGGAUGAACAGUUGAUGAAUGGAUUUCCGAGGGCUUUUGGGCUUGAACUCGAAGAACAGUGACGAACGGAUCUUCGAGAGCUUUUGGGCUUGAACGGAUCUUCGAGGGCUUUUGGGCUUGAUCUCGAAGAACGGUGAUGAACGAUGAACGCUUUCUUCAAGGGCCGUCGAGGCUUGGACUUGAUGAACAGAGAUGAGCGGAUUCGUUGAUGUUGUCAAUCCAAAGGGGCCGUUGGGGCUUGAUCCUUGAGGAUGAACAGUUGAUGAACGAUGAACACUUUCUCCAAGGGGCUGUUGAGGCUUGGGCUUGAAGGUGGAUGAUUGUUGAUCCAAGGGCCGUCGGGGCUUGAUCUUGGAAGAACGAUGAACGAAGAACGAAGAAGGCUUUCUUGAUUCUUCGGAAACCUGGAUGCUUGAAAGCUUCGGAGUUUCAGAGCUUCAGAGCUUCCGAGCUUUAAGGUGUAAUGUGAAUUGGUUUCUUUAAAAUGAAUGAAAUAGGCUUGUAUUUAUAGAAUUUUCCAAGGCCUAAUUUUGAAUAUAAUAUCCCAGAUGAAAUAAGUCGUUUCUGCCAGGUGUUGACACGUGUCCUAUUUGAUGACUUUUCCAACUCAUUUCAAUUUUCGUUGAGUCACACGCUACGUGUAAAAUUUAUGUAAUACAUGAGCGUUGACACUUUGAUUUACCGGUCAACAUUUAUUUACGAAAUUUCGAUGUCUACAGUAACACCUUAAAAGUAUUUGAAAUUCUAUCUUAAAAUCAAUUGACAAUAAGAAGAGUAAUCUAACUCCUUACAAAUUAUUGAAAUUUUUUUUAACUUUUCAUUUUUCAACAUGAAAAAUCUACAAAUUAGCUAUAAUGUUACAUGAUUUACCAAAAUUGAUGGAUUUUGAAUCAAAUAUGGACGAAUAAUAUUGAACAAAUGAAUUUGCUGCGUAUUGCUAUAUUAUUUUUCUUCUAGCGCUUGAAAUUUGGAAGUUAGAAUCUUUGUGCAAAAAAUAGUAAAAAUAAUUUGAAGGGGGAAAUUAAAAAUAAAAUCCACCAUCUGUCAGUAGUGGCCAAUGGAGACCAAGCAAAAGAUCGUAUGGAGAUUUGGGCCCCAUGGACCUUCUUAUUUUAAUCUUUGGGUCGUCAAAGAGUUGGCCCUUCACGAAUUAAAAACAAAGAAAACUAAUAAAAAUAAUUUGAAAAUUUUGAGUUUUAAUGAUAAGGACAAAAUAAAAUGUAAAAUAAAUAGUACUAGAAUUGACUUUUUAGUGUAAAAAUAUGGGUUUUCGUUAAAAUAAACUGUACCAAAAGUUUUUCAUUAAAAUUCCCUUAAAAAUAAUUAUUAAGAAACUUGUUCAGCAUUAAGGAAAUUAAUUAAGGUAAUUAGAAAUUUCAGUCCCCGAUUAAUGCUGAUGUCUCGUAAAAUGGUUGCCCGGUACUCGGUACACAAAUACACAGAUUACAGAUAGAAAAAGUCAAAAAAUUCACAUAAUUAUUUACUCAAAAAUCCAAAUCAUCCUUAUUUUACUUUGAUAUCAUUCACACGGCGUAUUUGCCAAUUAACAAAUCCACUAGGAUUUAAUUCUAAUUAGAAAAAGUCUUACACCCAACAUUUGCCUCAUUAAUCAUAUAAAACAUAAAUGGGUAAUAGAUUAUAAUCCUAACCGCGUUUUCUAUUUUCCUUUCCUUUUUUUAUUUAUUUAUAUUAUUUAUAAUAUUUUUUAGAAAUACAAAAUUGACCACAUUAUUUACAUAUUAUUGUUCUACGAACCUAAUUGUAUAAGAGAUUAUGCAAGCAUUGCAUGUCCAAAUAACAAAACUCUUGAUCACAAAUUAUGAUCUUAUUUCUGAAUAACACAAUAUCCUAAACUAUUUAAAUUCACAAGAAGCAGAAUUGAACAUUGACGAAAAGGGAUAUUGACACUACCCAACCAACUCACCAUACCUACACGAAAUCGUAGUUUACAUAACACAAUACACCGUCAUUUGAUUUGUGUCAGUCAUACAAUAUCACAAACUUAAAAACUAACACAUAACAUUGUAUAUUAGCACAAAAUGAGAUAAUAAUGUACUCGUGUCGUAUAAGUUAUUCUCCGAGUCAGAAAAUUGAGAUGGAAUAAUACCAAACAAAUAGUGAGAUGGAAGACAGCAAAGCUCAUAUCGAUUGUCCACUAUACGAGAACUCCAAACAGGCAAUACGCCAAUGCUUCUCUUUCCUUUUCCAUUUAUUCCCUUUAAUUUUUUAAAUUGAAAACAGAGAGAGAGAGAGAGAAAUUCCCACGUAAAUCAAAUUGCUCCACUCCCACUUCCCACCAAUUAAAGUUAAACCCCCCAAAACGUUCACCUUUUUCUUCUUCCUAUUUUCCGCCCAACUCUCAGAUUCUCCGCCCAUUUGUCCUGCAUUGUUCUGCGUUUCUUUCUCUGUUGAAGUCUCUGCCUUUUUCAUUUUUUGUACACUUUCUGGCUGACUUUCCCGGAAAAGAUGAAGGACCCCCAUCUGGGUUUCUGGGGCUGUUUCCCUGUUCUGCUACUUUUGUUCGUUUCACUGUACCCACCAUCAGUACACUCCCAGUCCGGCGGCGGCGACGACGGAGCGGCCAUGGAAGCACUCAGCAAAAGCAUCGGCCCCAACAGUCUCGGGUGGUCCGGCACCGAUUACUGCAACUGGGGACAAGUCAGUUGCACCAAGGACGGCAAGGUUUUCAAAAUCCAAUUGGGUAAUCAGAAACUCACCGGCACGCUUCCGCCGGAAAUUCAAAAGCUUUCAAAUUUGCAGCAACUCGAGGUUCAGAACAACCAACUCACCGGACCUUUUCCGAGCCUCUCCGGGCUGCAACCGCUUCAGGUCCUCCUCGCCCACGACAACAACUUCUCGUCCUUCCCUUCCGAUUUCUUCUCCGGACUCACCUCUCUUGACAGCAUCAACAUCGACCACAACCCCUUCGCAGCGUGGCAGAUUCCGGACACUCUUAAAGACGCCACCGCGCUGAGGGAAUUCUCCGCAACCGAGACCAACAUCACCGGAAGAAUCCCCGAUAUCUUCACCGGUUCCAAUUUCCCAGGUUUGACUGAACUGCAUUUGGCUUUCAAUUACCUUGAAGGCGAAUUGCCUGCUAGUUUUUCGAGUUCGAGUAUUCAGUCCCUCUGGUUGAACGGCCAACAGGGCACCAAUAGGCUUAAUGGUACUAUUGAUGUGUUACAGAACAUGACUUCUCUGCGUGAAGUUUGGUUACAUGGUAAUUUUUUCACCGGUCCUAUACCGGACCUGUCGACAUUAGGUACCUUGACCACUCUGAGUUUGAGGGAUAACAGGCUUACCGGAGUUGUUCCGGCGUCGUUGUUGAAUCUUAAAUCCCUUACUGUUGUUAAUUUGACCAACAAUAUGCUUCAAGGGCCAAUGCCGAAGUUUGGCGAUGGGGUUCAGGUGGAUAUGACAUCGCAAAAUAGGUUUUGCAGUGAUAAGCCGGGUGUUGAUUGUGACACUCGUGUCAAUAUAUUGCUUUCGGUCGUCAAAGACAUGGGUUAUCCUACUGUUUUUGCAGAGAGUUGGAAAGGGAAUGAUCCUUGUAAUAACUGGAAGGGAAUUGUGUGUCAUGGAGGAAACAUCACCGUUGUCAUCUUUCGGAGCCUGGGUCUGAGGGGUACGAUCUCUACAAAUUAUUCUCUGAUUACCUUCUUGCAAACAUUGAGACUUGACAAUAAUAAUCUCACGGGUACUAUACCAAAGGAACUUACACAACUGCCCAACCUUCAAGAGAUAGAUGUUAGUAACAAUCAACUUGACGGUCAAGUACCCAAGUUUAAUGAUACUGUGCAAGUGAAAACAGGUGGGAACCCUCGUAUUGUUAAGGAUGGUCCCCCUUCGCCAGCGACGCCUCCUAAUUCACCGCCUGGCUCACACUCAGGCGGAGGUAAAAAAUCUAGGACUGGGGUGGUUGUUGGGGCUGUCAUCGGCAGUGUUGGUGGAUUGGUUGUAGUUGGGUUUGUUGCUUUUUGUCUACUUAAGAGAAAGCAUUCUGGCAGAGUGCAAAGUCCAAACGCGUUGGUUAUUCAUCCUUGUCAUUCUGGAGAUCAAAAUGCAGUCAAGAUCUCGGUUGCUAGCCCUGGGGUUAAUUGCGGUGGAAAUGAGUCCUAUAAGAGUCCGGCAAGUAGUGGACCUAAUGACAUUCAUGUGGUUGAGGCGGAAAGUAUGGUCAUUUCAAUCCAAGUUUUGAGAAAUGUGACCAAUAAUUUCAGUGAAAAUAAUGUAUUAGGAAAAGGUGGGUUUGGAACUGUGUACAAAGGGGAGUUGCAUGAUGGGACAAAGAUUGCAGUGAAGAGGAUGGAAUCUGGAGUGGUGGCGGAGAAAGGUCUAAAUGAGUUCAAGUCUGAGAUUGCAGUUCUGACUAAGGUCCGACACCGCCACUUGGUUGGACUUCUUGGCUAUUGUUUGGAAGGAAACGAGAGGCUUCUUGUUUAUGAAUACAUGCCUCAAGGGACUCUUAGUAGAUACUUGUUCAACUGGAUAGAGGAAGGUCUGAAGCCACUUGAAUGGACUAGAAGGCUGACCAUUGCCUUGGAUGUUGCAAGAGGGGUUGAGUAUCUCCACGGUUUAGCCAACCAGACUUUCAUUCACAGGGAUCUUAAACCUUCGAACAUUUUACUCGGAGAUGAUAUGCGGGCUAAAGUUUCAGACUUUGGACUGGUUCGUCUUGCUCCAGAAGGGAAAGCCUCAAUUGAGACGAGACUAGCCGGAACUUUUGGCUAUUUGGCUCCUGAGUAUGCAGGUAAAAUAUUUCUAUACGCACUCUUCUUUUCAAAUUCCAUUUUAGAAGUGCGAAAGGUGUUUGCUUUAUAAUGUAUGAUUAUAUAUUCCAGUAAAUGCCAUUGUUCAAUGAACUACGAUAACUAUUAGAUUAUCUCUCACUGAUUGUUCUUUGUGCAAACCACUGGAAUAAUCAGUGACAGGGACCGAACUGUGAACAUGAUAUUCUUUAUCGUGAAAAUAUGAUGGCAUCAAGUUGGGACUUGCAUUAUGUUGCAUUGACAGUAUGAGACUUUCAUAUGCUAGUCAACACAUGUAGGACUGAAUUAGAUUAACCGCAGCAUUUACGCACUAAAAUCCUAUGUUCCAAUUCUUUGAAUUUCCAUGGAUAUUCUGGCUUGCAUAAUUUUCAAAAUCAAGGAAUGCAAAGAAGAUAGAAAAGAGCGAAAUGGCUUCUGUCUGUGCCUAGCAUUUGUUGUCUCGAACAUGUUGACUGAAUUCAUAUGGUUUGCAGUACUUAUUUAUGCUUACAAUCUUUCGAUUAAUAAAAAUUCGAGGCACUAAAACCACAAUUUUGUAAUGUAUCAGCAACUGGGCGGAUGACACUCAAGGUUGACGUGUAUAGCUUUGGAGUGAUAUUAAUGGAGUUGAUCACGGGUAGAAAAGCAAUUGAUGAAAGCCAAGCAGAGGAGAGGUUGCACCUUGUUACAUGGUUCCGUAGAAUGCUCGUUAACAAGGAUGCACUCCGGAAGGUCAUUGAUCCAACCAUUGAUCUCAAUGAGGAAACUCUUUCUAGUAUUAGCACUGUCGCUGAGCUUGCUGGGCAUUGCAGUGCAAGGGAGCCCUACCAGAGGCCUGACAUGGGUCAUGCAGUCAAUGUGCUUUCGUCGCUUGUUGAGCAAUGGAAACCAUCUGAACUCGAAGAUUCUGAUGAUAUGCAUGGAAUUGACCUCGAAAUGACCUUACCACAAGCACUGAAGAAGUGGCGGGCUUGUGAGGGCAAUAGCAACCUUGAUGAUUCUUCGUCUUCCUCAUCAUUGUUUCCCAGCGGGGAUAACACCCAAACCAGCAUACCUACACGGCCAUCUGGAUUUGCAGAAUCGUUUACAUCAUCGGAUGGGAGGUAAAGGUAGAGAAAGAAGUUCAGAGCUACAUUGAAUGUUCAAAUGGCUUGUAGUUACUGUACUUAGGGUUGGCUUUGGUAUUGAUAUGCUUUGAAAAAAAGCUGCUUCUGCUAUGAUGUGAGAAUAAGCAGCUGUAAAAUAAAGUGUUUGGUAAACUUUUUUGUAAAAAUGCUUUUGAAAAAAAAAAAGUAGUAUUAUAAUGUUUGGUAAACUUUUAUGUAAAAUAGAUGUGAAAAAAAACUAGUUUUUCAAAGCUGGGUUUUGCAGUUUCUUGUUUUUGGCUUUUUUUCCACCAAAAAUUGUGAAAAAAAGCUGAAGCUGAAUGUUUACCAAACACAAAAACAACUCCUAGCUUUUUUUUAUACCAGUUUUUUUCAGAAUCACCUCAGUAUCAAACCAGGCCUUAUUAUCCUGAUGUGAACAGGGGAUGCAUUUUUCGUUUACUUUUGUUGAUGCACAAAAUCAGCGAGGACUUUGGUACAACAGAAAGUGUUAAGUUUGUAACCUUUGCUAGAUUGCUCCGGUCACUAGUAUUGAUAAGUAAGUAAAUGGAUAAGGACAUGGAAGCAAACAUAAGAUGUACGUGGUUCACCUAGAUUGGCUACGUCCACGGAGUAUAUGAGUUUUCAUUAAUUGUGAAGGGUUUACACAAGUACAUAGGUUCAAGCUCUCCUUUAGUGAGUACUAGUGAAUGAUUUAGUACAAAUGACAUUAGGAAAUAUUGUGAGAGAAUGAUCUUUAUUUAUAGAAGAGAUUCUUUAGUUUCAUUCUGAUAUUGACACGUGUCGUGUUGUGAUUGGCUUCUAAUGUUGACACGUGUCGCGCUAUGAUUGGCUUCUGAUGUCGACACGUGUCGCGCUGUGAUUGGCCUCCUGGUUUGAGGGAAACUCUUCUGGGUCCUUGACGGUAUAACGUUGACCGGUGCUCAGUAGUUUCCGAAUUGAUCAAGUAUGGUACAAACAAUUUUAUUAUGUUAAGAUAGUUUAAUUAGUCUGAGAGCUUAAUGAAAAUGGCUGCCUAAGCCUUUGAUGUGAUCCAAGAUUUUGUCCCUCUCUGUGAACCUAGUUUAAAAGUUUGCCCAAAGUUGUUUUCGGUUUGGUCAAUGUCAUACAGGAUUGGGCGAGACAAAAUACACAUAAGGAUUGUGGACCGUGCAACCGACCCCUUCCCUCUACUUGGUGCAAUUAUCGUCCACCCGUCCCUCUAUGAACUCAGAACCAAGAAAACCUGUAAACUAGUCUAAUUUACGUAUUAUGACUAAGUUACGUUAAUAUUUUAUAUUAAUUUUUUUUAUAAAGAAAAAAACACAAAAAGAAAAAUCUAAGAGAAGAGGAGAGAAGCAGAAGGGAUUCGGAAGAGUGAGAAUCUUACGCGGUUUGCUAGCUACAAUGUUGUUUUGUUUUUCUAGUUAUAAAUUAUAAUAUUCUCCAACUCCAACAGAGAGUUGAGGGGGGCCACAUCCUGCAUGUCUUGACUUUAUCCCCAAAUCACUCGCCGUUCUGUUUAGUCCAAUUCUUUAUGUGCCGUAUUUGUCAGGUCUGCAACGUUGACGUUUUAGUCCAUUUUUUUUUAAUUUUAGUUGAAAAACAUAUUUUAUGCUUGAUAAUAAUUUACAAGGUAGAGUGAGUAUCCUCGUCGG